rnacentral:lncRNA from 1 species
UGGUCUCAUGAUUUGAAGGCUCAAAGACACCUGUAUCCAGGUUAACCCUUGAGACCCUUUUCUUUAACAACUCCUCACCAAUUUUCACAAGAUCAUCCAAAUUUUCCUUUGUGGCUAUGUCGACUGAUGAAGUUAUACCACUCAAUGUAUCAUCCUGUAUUUACCCUUUGUGUCAGUAUAAAUGGUAGACAAGGACAGAAGAAGCAAUUGACUUUCAGAUAUCUUUAGGACUGAGGAAAUUAUGAAGAAGAACAAAAUUUAAAUAAGAAAUUUGACUUUGUAAGUGACUGUAAAUUUAUGCAACCACAGGCAGCAAAGCUGUACCUGUAUCCGAAGAUAGCUUUUUUCAGAGUGAAGGGCUUGAAAAACCUGUGAAAGGUGUAAGUCGACCAUAUCUCCACUUGCUUGGGUAAACACAUCCACUAAGGGGGUGGAACCACCACUGGUCAACCAUCCCAACAGACCCCACUCGGCUGCUUGAUCCGCAUUGUAUUUUUCUUCGGCUUUUGAUGACCCAGUUCCCAAGGAUAUUACUAAAAACCGGCCAUAGUCCAUUGGCUUUAUAGGAAAGAAAUCAGGACUACCCCGGAUGAUCUCCUGGGUCACUUCCCCAAUAGCAACCAAAGCCUGAAACAAGAAUCAAUAAUUAAUUGAAUUGUGAAAAAAAAAAAAAUUAGAACUGGGUAGUCUAAGAUGCAACUUCAAAAUUAGCAAGUACCGGAUUAUUUGCAGCGACACCACCAUCAAUGAGGUUGAAUUCUCUAACUCUCCCGGUAGGGUCUUUGGUUUCGAAAUAAUGAGCUGGAAGAUAAGUGGGUGCUGCUGAGGUUCCAAUACAUAUAUCUGACAGUAAGGCAUCUAAACUUGGCCUGCUCUUCACCUAAAGCAUGGAAAUCAAGCAUAUAGUAUUAAUAUGAAAGUUAUUAUAGCUCCCUUCUUUCAUUACAAUCUCUUAGUUUUCGUAGUUUGGGUUAGAAGGAAAUGAAAUUGUGGAAAGAAGAUGAACCUGAUAAGUGGAAAAUAUUGUUGGCUGAAGGCACUUGAUGUCAAAUGUUGGGAUAACAACAUUAGUAAGGGUCUGGUGUAAUUGUGUUUCUCCUAGUUUUUCUUUAACAAGGUUAUGCAGAUACUUCCCAUCAUAUUUUGGUCCUGAUAAGGAUGUAACUGCCUUCGUGACAUAAGGAAUUGGAACAUAACUGCAUUUAAAAGAAAGAUCAUGUUAACAACUACAAAAAAUAUUGAAGUCUAGUUAAUUGUAUAUACACAAAUACUAGCAUCCUGUCAUCUUAAUCAAGAUUUUCAUCAUGAUAUAUUUGUUACCUGUGCUGUGGGAAGAUCAUAGGGCAGUGCUCAAGGUAGAAGUCCUUGAUAUCUUUGGCGGAAAACAAGGGUCGGCCAGUGUUUUCAUUGGGAGUGGUUAGCAUGGCAGUCACGAGGCCACCGGUGCUUGUUCCUGCAAUCACAUCAAAAUAAUCUGAAAUUCUUGCGUCUUCACCAUCCAGCUUCUGCACCAUGGCCAAACAAUCUAGUGUUAGUACUUAUAAAAUAUAUCGAAUAUAGGAUAUAUAAGUUCGAGAUUAGGUAUAUAUUAAUUUUAAAAGGCAAAUGGAAAGGCCAUAUUUUGUUAUUAUCAUGUAAAACCUUAUAUUUCCUACCUGAAGCUCAGACUCGAGGAAGCCAAGGACUGUUCCUGGGAUAAGCCCUCUUAUUCCACCUCCAUCGAUGCUGAGAAUGGUGAUUAGGUUUCCAUAAGUUGGAGGCUGUAGGGGUGAUUUUGGUUCUUCUUCCAUUAGCAAUCGAGGGAUGAAGGUAUGAACUUGAGUCAUGGAGGAGAGAAAAAGGGAGAUUUGCUAUUUCAAGAGACUUAGAAUAGAAUUGAAGUUUCUGCAGGAGACUUAGAAAUAUACUGAGACUUUUGAGUCCUCUUUGAUAACUAGGCAGGUGUAUUUAUAGACUCCUUAAUUAGCGUAUAUCCCUGAUUUUCUUGCUCAUACUUUUCUAAAUGGACCUGGUUCAAGUUGGACCCGGAUUCAUCAUUCAGGAUAAGUUGAAAAGUCCACAAGCAAAUCUUCUUGUCUUAUAGAAGCUAGCCAAAUGGUCACAUUGGCAUGACUCCUGGCAACUGUAGGUAAGACCAAAGAGAAUAGCUGGUAAGAAGGAUUAGGUGACUCAAUAAAGGUUGAGAUAGGAUGAAUUUUCCUAACUAAUGGAGUUUGUGAACAGGUCAUGGAAACACUAAGUCUUAUGAAAUGAUUCUGGUUUCUAGCUAUGUCUGGUGCAAAGAAUCGUGAUGGAGACAAGCCUAAAUGCGCAUACCAAACAAAAAUUUAUUAUUCAAUGCACACAAAUUUGUGUUCGUAAAUGGAUGCGCUUGACUGGGGAUGGCGAUGAUUUUGAAAGAACACCAACUAGGGCAACGAAAAGUACUGGCCAACGCGGCACUUGCACCAUGAAUGACAAGGAACGAAUAAUUCAAUGUCAAGCAGCAAGGUUUUACAUAAUUUCCUGUUAGACAUGAUUUUUUUGACCUAUUAACCUCAUGCUUUUCAUACUUAAUAUCUGUAAAAUUGUACACACGAUCAUUGGCUUCUAUAGUUUGUAGAAAACUACAUGGUUAUUCAAUAUUUUUUGUAAUUACAGUUCUAAGUCCUGUGAAUUUUAGAUGAUGUGCAGUGCGAAGACUUGGUUGACUGUUAGUUACUGAGGUUUUCCCACAUCUCCCAAAUGUUAAAAUGAUGAAAUUAUUGCCUAAGAAGCACCUGUUGCAGAAUCAUAUUUGAACGUAAGGUAGCAAAUUAUAGCUAACUAAAAAUAGGUUAUAUUAUAUUAAACUAUCAGAAGUUUUCAGUGCUUUCAUCUUUAUCAAUCUGUGUUGGGCGCUUAUUUAAUUAGCAAGGUUGGAAGUAUGAAGGGUGACAGCAUCAUUAAUGGACUUCACUUAACGUCGACCUAAUGGUGGUUAAUUGGUAUUUAAAAAUUAACUUCACAUCCAUCAAGGAAAAAAUCAUGUUUGUUUAUCAUGAUUAGGCAAAGAUGCAACGCAGCCGGGAAGUGAAAAAACGAAAGGACUGGUCAACUAAGGAAAUCUGUUGGUUGCCCUAGUGAAUUUGUGAACCAUUCACUGGAAACUUCAAAUUUCGAACACAGCAUGGCCUAUUUACUUUCAUGUUGAGCUCAGUCUAGAACAAAAAUAAUACUAUUACAGCAUUAUUAGAACAGCUCUAAAGAGUUGGGAAUUGAUGCUGGAAAUACUUUGUUCCUCAUGGUCUUUGCAUGUUAAUCUUAGCUGCUGGGCUUAGCAGGGCAUUACUAUUCAGAAAUUCUGAGAACUCCAUGCCCGCCCGUAUUUCAAAUCCCAAAUUUGACCCAAACCCUAACUUAAUUGAAAGCAGUUUAGAUUUGAUCUUUUCAAUCAGUGCCCUUGAGUCCUUGACCAUUCCACCCUUCCAAAGCCAUCCCUUCGUUUCUAUUUCAUGGAAGCUAGCUAUCUAUGCUGUAACGCCAUCAAUCCAUUCCUGACUCUUUGUGAUGCUUUAUAACCCCCGAAGGAAGAAGAGCAAAUCAGCCAAUAGAAGGUAGAUUCAAUUGGAGUUAGGGUUCUCUUACUUUAACUUAUUGAAUCCCUAGACCUAGCUAAUUAACCAGGAGCACCUUCCACCAGCAGUUUAUGUCCAUUUAUAAAUACAAUCCUAGUCAGUUCUACAUUGCCACGACCUUAACCCCUGCCUUGAACACCGGACCUUGCUGUCUGGGAACGCUGGGCAGUAAUGGUUAAUAGAGUCCCAGGGAAACCACAGAAAAAUAAGACAUUCAUAGAUUUUUACCUACAUUCAUUGACUCUUGUAUUAACAUUUUUGGCUCAUACUCUCGUGUAACAUUUGAGGAAAAAAGUGUAAAAGGAAAUUAAUAGAAGAAAAGAAAAUAUGAAUAAAAAUAAAUAAAAAAUAAAAAAUUAAUAAAUUAUUUUUAAAUGUUUCUUUAAAAUUUUAACUAAUUUUAAAUAUAUUUAAUUUUUUAAUUAUAAUUUCAAAUAAAAAAUUAUUUAGGUAAAGACAAAUAAGGUAAAGGCUAUGCAUGGGUCCAACAAAUUGAUUAAGUGCCUCAAGGAAUAAAGGCCAUUGUUUGAAAGUAAACUUGAAUUUGGAAAGUUUCCAAAAGUUAGAACAUGAUUUGAUUUCUAAAAGAUAGAAUACUUUUAAUGCAAAUCUUGCAUUGCAUUUUAUAUUUGUCAAUGGUCUUCAUCUUUUAGAUUAAGAGGAAAUGGAAUUCAUGAUUUCGGCACCCAGUUUCUUUGGAGCUUUCUCUCUUAAAAUUCCUCUCUUCCCUUCAAAUUAUUUUCUUUCCAGUUCCCAUGGUUGGAACAAUUGCUAGUACUUGGCCGGGGAUGACAUGUCAUUUCGAUGGUGGUGGUGUUUUGGUGAGUUGUUUGUCACAAGUUAAGGCUGGUGGAUGUAGAUGGGUAGUGUCGGCCCCUUAACCUUUUGACCCAAUAAAGAAGGAAAGGGCCUCAUGAGAAGGCCUUGCACCCAUGGGAGCCUAGACGGGGAGAGCAAGGAUAGCUUGGAGGUUUGGUGGUUCAAACCCCAAGAGUUGAAAUGAGGAGACCAUGUGUGGGCCAGACAAGCAUCUGGCACGCGCGCGCACUGCGUGCGCAUCAGGUAGGCUUCUCGUGCACACUUAGCGCCUACUAGGCAUAUGUGGGCUAUGGAGUUGGUGUAGAUGGAGGCUGAGGUUUAUUUUGAAAUAUAAUUUAUAAUUAUUUAAAUAUUCCAUUAUGUCUCCUUAAGCAGGUAUGAUGUCUUUUCCAAACAUCUUGAGAAUGAUUCGUAUUGCUCUUUAAAGGGGGGGAGGGUAGGUGACUUAAGGAGGCACCAUGGCACGACCUUGGGCAUGCCUAGGGCACACGGACGACACUCAAGCACGCAUACAUGGGCUCCAUGACAUGUGUGGCGUGCACCCUGUGGCUGCAACAGCAUGGGGCUUGGUGCGGCCUACCUUCUCCCUAUGCUGGCACGAGGGCGCCUAAGCCUUGUGCAGUGAGCCAGUUGGAGAAGCCAUGGGUGCAAUGCCAUGGUUUGAUGGAGCACUAGACGUGUAGCUGACUCGAACCCAUGAUGCCAAUGCAUGACACCAGGGCGCAAUGCCCUGUGCUCCAGGAAGAAACAACCAUGGGUGCAAUUCCAUGACUCGUUGUUGUGGAGCCUUGACCUGACAGAGGGAGCUAGACACAUGACUAGGCCAUGAGCACCUUAACAUGGCAUGGGCUCACACAUCAGUGUAGGGAGGACACACUGAUGCACCAGUAGGCUCACGCAAGCAGUUAUGGCGGUUGUGGCAGUUGCAUAACCACCAGUAGGCUCAUUGGUUUUGAAUUUCAAAUUGUAAUUGUAGGGUGGGUCAUUUAAAAAGGCCCUUGCCUUUUUGAGACAUAGGAUGGGAUGUUGUCUUUGAAUGCUUAGGAGAUUAAGCAUUGUACUUUGACUCAGGCAAAGUGUUGAGACACUUUGGAAAGAAAAUUUUGUAUCUUGUAGAGUUGAAUAAUACAAGUUGGGAAGGGUGUUCCCGUAAUUGUGUGGCUUGUUACAUUGUUUUUCUAAGGGUUGGAAAGAAAGGUUAGUUAAGGAAGGGUCCUUAGCACUGCACACUCAGUGAAAAAAAUUGGGCAGAUAAUCAGGGGUGUGAAAGGUAGUGUAGUUGGGUUGGUGUGGCAUUAUUUUGUUGUAGGUGGGGAUUGAAAUGCUUGAAUUUUGAUUCAAGCUCUCUCUCAUGUCUUUAUUCUUGGAAUUUUAGUGCCUGUUUCUUCUACUGUAAUGUGUUUAUAUCAUUUGUUAAUCUGAGAAUACUAUUAUGUGAUUCAUGAAAAUUUUGGAAUGAGGUAGUGCACAAUCUAUUUUAUAUCUAUGAAGUGUGGAUUUCACCAUUAGCUAGAUACAAGCAAUGGAGAGGAGGGUUGAACUUAAGACCUCCAAUCAAACCGAGCUUUGAUAACAUCUUGAAUUACCAAUUUUCCAAAAGGUUUAAACAUAUAGUAUUUGGGUUCAAUGUACAUAUCAGAUGAUGGUCAUUCUUUUGUAAUAGGAUGCAUAUUAGGUCUCAUAACCAUUAUUUCACUAAGAGGGUAUCUUAAGUUGACUUUAGGUUAAAUUAUUCUUAAAUUGUUAACUUAAAAACUUAUUACUUAUUUUUUAUUUUAAAUAUUAAGGUUGUUUGGUAAAGCUAACUUAAAAUCUAUUCUAAAUUAUCAAAUUAACAUAUUUAUAUCAUUAAUUUUGAUUAAUAUUUAAAUGUGAAUUAAUUUUAAAUAAUAAAUUGAUUUAUUAAAUAAUUAUAUUUGAAGUAUUAUAAAUAUAUAAGAUAAGUCUAAAAAUAUUAACUAUAAAAUAUGAGUUAAAUGUAAAGUCAUGAUUAUAAAAUAUACUCCCACCAAACAUGAAUAAAUGAGGUAAAAAAAUAUUUUACAUUAAAAAUAAAUUAAUUAUUUUAACUUAGUACUUAAAGUUAUUAAGUUUGACUUUAAAUUAUGAUAUUAAAUUAUUUUACUAAAUAUGUUUGAUCUACUUAAUAAUUUAAAUUAAAUCAUUAAGUUAUAUUAAGUUAUUAAGUUGAUUAACUAAACAUCACUACUACAAAAAUAAUUUAUGGUGUUACUUUUAAAAUAAUGACACCAUAUGAUUUAAAAUCCAUAAAGGUGACACAUCAUAUAAAAAUUUUCAAUUAAGAUAGAUGAUAUUAAUUUUAAGUUUAUAGUGUUAGUUUUCGAAAAGUGACACCAUAUAAAAUAAAUUUUUUAAAAUACUAUAACUUAAUGGGCCUACUUUGAGAAUAAUAAUAGUAUAAAAAAAACUCAUUGUUUCCACAUAUUCACAAUCCAAAAAAUUCUCAUUCCAUAACCCUAACCAUAAUUUUCUUCUACCUCUUCUCACACCCAUAGUUAACACACAAUUGCUUUUCUCUACUUCGUGGACUCUUAGGUAACCCAAAAUCUCUUAGAUCUAUCAUUUUCAUUUUUUUUAUUAAUGUCAAAAUCUUUAUUAGCAUAUGAAUUGAUUUAUAUUCAUUGAAAAUCUCAUUCCAUAACCCUAACCAUAAUUUUCUUCUCCCUCUUCUCACACCCGUACUUAACACACAAUUGCUCUUCUCUACUUCGUGGAAUCUAAGGUAAACCAAAAUCUCUUAGAUCUAUCAUUUUUUUUUAUUAAUGUCAAAAUCUUUAUUAGAAUAAUUGAUUUAUAUUCAUUGAUUUGGUAUAUCUGUAAUGUGGAUUGUGUAAAUAAUGUUUUUUUAUUAAGUUGUAGGAAAGUAAAAAUUAGGUUGAACAUUCCACCAUAUUUUUUGUUUCAUUGUUAAACCCAUAAACCCCAAAAUGAAUGAAAAUAAGAUAAAUAAAUGAUUUUUUAAUAUCUUUCAUACUCAAAAUGAGGGAUAAACAUUUUACGGUAUGAAAUUUUCUUUUGAUCUUACAAGAAAUUUCUUUUGAUGAGACUUUCUGUUUAUUUUCUAGGAAUAUUAUAGUAUAUUGUAAUGAAAAUAUGUAUUGGUGAUAUUUGAAAAAUAAUUUUUUAGAAAGUUAUUCUUAAUAUUGUCAUCUCCCUUAUAAGGAAAAAUGAAAUAGUUUCCAUAUCAUGUUAGAGUUGGUUUGGAAUGUUGGAAUUAACAAUGAAAAAUUAAUUUUCUUUUUUAUUUAUUAAUGUAAAUGAUUUAUUUAUUUAUUUUUAAAUUUAAAUAGGAAUGAAAGUUUUCAUAAUUAUUAAAAUGAUCAAAUCUUAUAUUUUGAUUUUUUUUUAUAUUCUUUUACAUGGUAUUAUGGUUAAUAUCUCAUCUUGUUCUAUUCAUAUUUUUUCUGUUGUGAUGAAGAUAUUGGUUGGUCAUAUUUGAAAAAUAAUUUUUGAGAAAAUUAUUUUCAAUAUUGUCAUCUCCCGCAAAAGGAUUAUAAAAAUAUGUUUUAUUUUUGCUUUCUUUUCUUAUUGUUUUUAUAUGCAUUGACCAAGCUUUGGUGUAAUUUGAAAUUGAUGAUAAAAUUUUCCUUUCAAGGUUAGGAAAUUUCUAUAAAAUCCUUUUAUUACAAACUUUUUUCCAAUUCCUUCCAUAAAACUCUUAUUUUUCUUCAUUUUUCUUUUUUCUGAAAAAGAUGUUUGAUAAUUUAUUUAUCUAAAGAAUAUUAAAAGUAAAAAAUUUAAAAUAUUGAAUAUAUUUUCCUUUGAUGUUUAAAAUUUUUAAUUUUAUUUUUAUUUGAACAUAUUUUUCAUAUCCAAUUUUUUAUUAAUUAUUUUAAUUGAAAAAAAGAAAUAUCAUUUGGAGUUAUGACUGAAAAAUCAAUAAUUUUUAUGAAAGUUCUUUAAUUCUUUCUCAUACUAUUUUUUCUCUUAACACUUUUUAAUAAUGAAUUAGGUUUUUUGUCUUAUAUACACAAUUUUCAUACUUGUUAUAAUAUCAUGUCCUAUCAUAUUAGUAGUUGAAAACAUUUUUAUAUUUUGUUACUAAAAUUUUAUUUUAUAUAAUUGAGAUGAAAUUUAAUGUACAUUGUUAUUUCACAAAAUGAACAUUUAAAAAUAUUGAAAUUAAGAAAAUCCUUUCAAGAAAUAAUAUAUAUAUAGAAUUAAAUGUUAAAAAUGAUUUUUAAAAGCAUAAUGAAUUAUAAAAAUAAAUUUAAAAAGUGCAGAUUUUAAGUAGAAGAUUAGUAUUUUCUAAAAUUUUAGAUUUAUAUUUUGAUUUUAUAGUUUUGAUUUAUUUUUUAUUUCAUGGAAUUGUUUUUAUUUGAGUUCAAAUGUGACUACUUUGUUAUGAGAUUCAUUAAAGAAAUAAUUGUUGAUUCUACAGUUAUUGCAUUAAAGGUUUUACUCAUUUAAUGAAUUGUAUAUAGUUUCAUUCUUCCAAUUAUUGUGGUAUUAAUGUUAUUGUCAUUUGAUUUCAGUUUGAUGAUUAAAAAAAAAAAAACAUAUUCUUAAGUAGAAUUUGAUGAAAUUAGAGGACAAUUGACUAUUUUUGUGUUAUAACUAAUCAUGAAUCAUGUUGCUAUAUCGUGAUCAUGCAUGGUGAGUCCCUUAGUUGUUAUAUGAAUUUUCCAUUGGUAUCGUAUAACAUUACUUAUUUUUUACGAACUAUUUUUAUAUUAAAAUGGGAAAAAGAAAAAAAAAACAUUAGUUCUUAAAUUUGUUUAUUUUUUAUAACAUUAAUUAAAUUUUAUUUUCACUAAGAACUCUAAAACUCAUUAAACUAUGAAAUGCAGGCACUAACAGAAAGAGCUUGAGGCACCAAGAAAGAUGGCCUUGAGCAAGAAAAGGAUGAGAAAAAGGACACAAUGCUUGAGUUGUCUUCCUCUUGUGUUGGAAUAUUGCAUUGUCCAUAAUCUAUUUAUAGGCUAAUCGAGCAGCAAGGCAAGUGCUAUAGAAUGCUGUUACUGAUGAGAAUUUGAAAAUCAAGAAAAUUCGGCGAACAUGAGAUGGUCAUGGAGUGCAUGCAUGGUCUUCUUUGACAUUGUCCAUGGUCCAGAUUACAUUUCUGUGAUCACACUUUCCUAUAUUUUUUGAAGACACAGAAUUUUCUCGCGUGAAGACUUUAUGAUUGACGAGUAGGUAAUGUGAUAUGCUGAUGAAGUCAGCUUCUAGCACAGAGCCCCAUUAAUGGGAUAUUGUUGAAUUGGAGAAUGUUUCCACACGCUCAAAAUGGGGCGUUGUUUUAGCAUCAAGAAAUUGUCAUCUUCAUUGGCUUGUUGGAAUAGUGAUGUAUGACUGAUGACUUGUUAGGAUUUAUCUGAAAAUAAAGUCCAAGCUUGCUGCUUCUUCUAGGGUAGCACACCAUAUAAAGCUCUCUCUCCCUCUUUCUCUCUCUCUCUUAUAAAGACAGUGAUGAUGGUCCAAAGAAGAAUUCCCAAGCAGGCAGAGAUGCACAACUGCAAGUAAUUACACACAGAAUGAAGGCGUCUGGCCAGAUUUAACAUGAGAAAAUCAUGAUUAAUACAUGAUUCUUCACCAAUAAUUGAGUUGAAUGAGUCUACUAUUCAAAUCACAUUGUUAAAAAAAAAAACAGAUAAUAAAGAUUCAAAUCACAUUAUUAAUGAGUGGGCCGGUCUCAUUUAAGAACACGAUUUGACAUGCAAAAUUAAUGGAUCCAUCCAUAUACAACAUCUACCACAACUCAUUUAAGAACAAAUUCUGGUUAUUCUAAUAAUUCACCAUUUUUCUUCAUGGAAUCAGUUUUGAAAUAGUCCCAAUUUAGUACUAUUAAGAGAGAGUAUCAAGGAAAAUAUUUGGUAGGUGGGCGGUGAAUCAAGUUAAUUAGAUGGUGAAGAAAAACUAAUGAGAGAUGAACUUAAUCAACAAGGUGUACCUCUUUUUUCUGUUGUUAAUCCAACUGUGUUAGACAUUGCUGCUACUUAUAAUUGCCGAACAAAAGGUAAUAACUCUUGCUUGAAAUCAAAUUAAUUCCUGAUACCUUUAUUUUUUAUAUGUACACAAAAUGGCCUUCAUCAUAAGUGUUCUGCAAACGAACUGCGUGCUCCUUGAAUGUGGAGAUAUGGCUGCUCCCACGAAGUUUCCAUACCACAUUUUGAAGUAUAGCUAGUUCUCGUUCUGAUAUUAAUCCACACUAAUGCUGGCAGCUUCCAACACUGGUAUAAUACCAUGUUUUCCAUCUUUUUUUUCCCCCUGUAUGUACACAUAUUAUAAAGUCCAUAGGCUGCACACUCUUCACUAUUUUAAACGUAGAGAACCUUGUUAAAUAGUUAAUAACCAAAGAAAGAUAAAUUAAUGAACAUGCAAAUGACGUUGAUAUCUUCUAUAUAUAUAAUUAGUACUACUAGCAGUCUGCUUUGUCGUGCUGUUGCAUCCUCCUAUUCUUGUAUUUGUGUACAAGGGACAAAUCAAACCAUGAGGAUUACAUGACAACACGGCACCAUGGUCAUCACAAAUGUUGUUCAUUUGCUCUUGAAACAUAUGGUGCGGGAACCAGGACAAAUCGACUAAUCAUUACAUGCACGGCAUUAUAAUAUUGGUGAUGACAUAAUAUAUGCUAAAUAGGGUGUAAUAAAUAAAUAAAUAAAAUUAGAGAAAAAGUGUACGUAAGGGAAACAAAAAAGAAAAAAAAGAAAAAAAGAAAAUUAAAAACAUGAUGAAGAUGACAAGAGGGUAAAAGAGAUUUUUCACCAAACAUUUGAUUAUUAACUAUAGAAAUGAGUUUGGUUUACAUAUUCCUUACAAGUUAUUUUACUUUAUUAUUAAUUGAAAACGAUGUUGUAUUACUUGGCAAACAAAGAUGGUGGUAAGUUUAGAAUAAUGCAAUAUAUGAUUUGCAUGCUUUAUUCCUUGGUAAUAUUAUGAUUUUUUACUACAAUAUUCUUUAAUUGACUUGGGCAGUGUCGGGUCCAGAAAGGCUGCAUCAGUGCCUAGUGAUUCUCAUUCAGAUGUAUAUCUGGACCAUUAGGGAACCAAGAUAAUAUUUUUGUGUUUGUGUCGCUGUUGUCCUUUAAAAUUAUUUAUCCUUGCAUCUAAAUUAAUAAUUUGUUUUCUCAUACUUGUAGUUUUUGAAAUAAAGUUAAUUCAGGUAGACCAGUUUUUAAUCAGACCUCAAUGCAACAUAUCUUCCCAUCCUACCCAAGAGAAGCUACUGAAAGCUCCCAUGACUGAAGAGAGACAACAAGGAUUCUAUCCUUCUGGAUCGACCUAGCACUCUCUUUUAGAUUCUAUCCAUCUAUUUGUUCUCAUCUUAUUUCUGGGAAGUUCUGUGUGGACAACAAGGAUUCUAUCCUUCUGGAUCGACCUAGCACUCUCUUUUAGAUUCUAUCCAUCUAUUUGUUCUCAUCUUAUUUCUGGGAAGUUCUGUGUUACCCUAAUUAUCAUAUAUAUAUAUAUAUAUAUAUAUAUAUAUAUAUAUGUUUCAACCCAUCUCAGUGUCUCUUGAGUUACAAGCUAGCUAGAGACAGACAAAGGAAAAGGUCAUUGAUAGUUCUUGUAGAUUUGUAAAGGAUAAGUAUUAUUUAUCCUUACAUCUAAAUAAUUUGUUUUCUCAUGCUUGUAGUUUUUGAGAUAAAGUUAAUUCAGGUAGACCGAUUUUUAAUCAGGCCUCAAUGCAACGUAUCUUCCCAUCCUACCCAAGAGAAGCUACUGAAAGCUAGCUCCCAUGACUGCAGAGAGACAACAAGGAUUCUAUCCUUCUGGAUCGACCUAUAACAUAAUGUGUUUAUGCUGUGUUUAGGUUAUAUAUAUAUGUAAAAAUAACUUUUUUGUUUUAUGUUUUGAGUGGUUGUCAUUAGUCUACGUGGAGAUAUUUAGUCAAGUUAAAUAUCUUUGCAUCUGGUUUGAAAUCUAGUGACUGUACAACAAAAACUGCAGAACCGAGAAUGCAAAGUGAAAAAAAGAAAAAGGGUCCUUUGUUUUUUGGUGGACUGUUUUAACUCCUCUGUUCCCAGGUCUGUUCCCAGGUGUUACUCUUCCAUUUUUUCUUUGUUUAGCCAUUCUCUGUUUCAGGCUGAAACUACAGCCAACAUGACCUAGCACUCUCUUUUAGAUUCUAUCCAUCUAUUCGUUCUCAUCUUAUUUCUGGGAAGUUCUGUGUUACCCUAAUUAUCAUGUAUCUUAAAAAUAUAUCCAUCUAUAUAUGUAUAUACAUAUAUAUAUAUUAUAUGUUUCAACCCAUCUCAGUGUCACUUGAGUUACAAGCUAGCUAGAGACAGACAAAGGAAAAGGUCGUGAUAGUUCUUGUAGAUUUAUAAAGGAUAAGUAUUAUUUCCAGUCCAUUCUAAUUAAUUGCCAUUCCCAUAAUGUAGGUUGAUACAAAAUUAGAACUUAUUCAAGAAAAUAAUGGAAAUAAUUCAAUCUUGUCAGUAAAAUGUUCUGAGAAAUAGAGGUCGCACUAAAUCACAAUAAUUUUGACUUGCACAGUCCUAUCAGAACCAUAGAAGAAAUUAAGUGGAAUCUAUGGACUUACAAUACCUUAAUACUAGAAACGAUUAAAUUGGUUAUUAAAAUAUCCCAUUUGGGAUUUAUUUUUACAAUAAGAAUAGUGAAUUAAAAGGCAGACAAUCAGAAACGGGACUACAACUUAACUAGAAAUUCAUUACAACAGAAGGAAUCAUUCAUAUCAGACAACGACCAAUCCUUUAGAAGCGGCAGCAUGUCCAUGUGGUGACCUAGUAUCUCUACGUUGCUUCUCUUGGGAGAGUAGUCUUGUAAAACUGAAAAAUUAGAAGGAUUUUUUAUUAUUAUAUGAUUAGUUAAUUAACUAAGAAAACUCUAGAAUAAAACUCUAAAAAUAGUUAGAUACCUUGUGAGAGCCUCCUCAUUGGUCUCGUGAUUUGAAGGCUCAAAGAUACCUGUAUCCAGGUUAACCCUUGAGACCCUUUUCUUUAACAACUCCUCACCAAUUUUCACAAGAUCAUCCAAAUUUUCCUUUGUGGCUAUGUCGACUGAUGAUGUUAUUCCACUCAAUGUAUCAUCCUGUAUUUACCCUUUGUGUCAGUAUCAGUGGUAGACAAGGAACAGAAGAAGCAAUUGACUUUCAGAUAUUUUUAGGACUGAGGAAAUUAUGAAGAAGAACAAAAUUUAAAUAAGAAAUUUGACUUUGUAAGUGACUGUAAUUUAUGAAACCACAAGCAGCAAAGCUGUACCUGUAUCCGAAGAUAGCUUUUUUCAGAGUGAAGGGCUUGAAAAGCCUCUGAAAGGUGUAAGUCGACCAUAUCUGCGCUUGCUUGGGUAAACACUUGCACUAAGGGGGUGGAACCACCACUGGUCAACCAUCCCAACAGACCCCACUUGGCUGCUUCAUCAGCAUUGUAUUUUUCUUCGGCUUUUGAUGACCCAGUUCCCAAGGAUAUUACUAGAAACCGGCCAUAGUCCAUUGGCUUUAUAGGAAAGAAAUCAGGACUACCCCGGAUGAUCUCCUUGGUCACUUCCCCAAUAGCAACCAAAGUCUGAAACAAGAAUCAAUAGUUAAUUGAAUUGUGAAAAGAAAAAUAAAACUGGGAAGUCUAAGAUGCAACUUCAAAGUUAAUGAGUACCGGAUUAUUUGCAGCUACACCACCAUCAAUGAGGUUGAAUUCUCUAACUCUCCCGGCAGGGUCUUUGGUUUCGAAAUAAUGAGCUGGAAGAUAAGUGGGUGCUGCUGAGGUUCCAAUACAUAUAUCUGAUAGUAAGGCAUCUAAACAUGGUCUGCUCUUCACCUAGAGCAUGGAAAUCAAGCAUAUAGUAUUAAUACGAAAGUUAUUAUAGCUCCCUUCAUUCAUUACAAGCUCUUAAUUUUCAUAGUUUGGAUUAGAAGGAAAUGAAAUUGUGGAAAGAAGAUGAACCUGAUAAGUCGAAAAUAUUGUUGGCUGAAGGCGCUUGAUGUCAAAUGUUGGGAUAACAACAUUAGUAAGGGUCUGGUGUAAUCGUGUUUCUCCUAGUUUUUCUUUAACAAGGUUGUGCAGAUACUUCCCAUCAUAUUUUGGUCCUGAUAAGGCUGUAACUACCUUUGUAACACGAGGAAUUGGAUCAUGACUGCAUUUAAAAGAAAGAUCAUGUUAAUAACUACAAAAAAUAUUGAAGUCUAGUUAAUUUUAUAUACAUAUAUACUAGCAUCCUGUCAUCUUAAUCAAGAUUUUCAUCAUGAUAUAUUUGUUACCUGUGCUGUGGGAAGAUCUUAGGGCCGUGCUCAAGGUAGAAGUCCUUGAUAUCUUUGGCAGAAAACAAGGGUCGGCCAGUGUUUUCAUUGGGAGUAGUUAGCAUGGCAGUCACGAGGCCACCCGUGCUUGUUCCUGCAAUCACAUCAAAAUAAUCUGAAAUUCUCGCGUCUUCACCAUCCAGCUUCUGCACCAUGGCCAAACAAUCUAGUGUUAGUACGUAUAAAAUAUAGCCACUAUAGGAUAUAAGUUUCAGAUUAGGUAUAUACUAAUUUUAAAAGGCAAAUGGAAAAGCCAUAUUUUGUUAUUAUCAUGUAAAACCUUAUAUUUCCUACCUGAAGCUCAGACUCGAGGAAGCCAAGGACUGUUCCUGGGAUAAUCCCUCUUAUUCCACCUCCAUCGAUGCUGAGAAUGGUGAUUAGGUUUCCAUAAGUUGGAGGCUGUAGGGGUGAUUUUGGUCCUUCUCCCAUUAGGGAUGGAGUGAUGGAGGUAUGAACUUGAGUGAUAGAGCAGAGAAAAUGAGAGACUUGUUAUUUCAAGAGACUUAGAAUAGAAUUGAAGUUUCUGCAGGAGACUUAGAAAUGUAGAGAGACUUGGAGUUCUCUUUGAUAACUAGACAGGAGUAUUUAUAGACUCCUUAGCAUAUAUCCCUCAUUUUUCUUGCUCAUACUUUUCUAAAUGGACCUGGUUCAAGUUGGACCGCGGAUUCAUCAUUCGGGAUAAGUUGAAAAGUCCACAAGCAACCAGUAUCUUCUUGUUUUAUAGAAGCUAGCCAAAUGGUCAUAGACAUGACUCCUGGCAACUGUAGGUAAGACCAAAGAGAAUAGCUGGUAAGAAGGAUUAGGUGACUCAAUAAAGGUUGAGAUAGGAUGAAUUUUCCUAACUAAUGGAGUUUGUGAACAGGUCAUGGAAACACUAAGUCUUAUGAAAUGAUUCUGGUUUCUAGCUAUGUCUGGUGCAAAGAAUCAUGAUGGAGACAAGCCUAAAUGUGCAUACCAAACAAAAAUUUAUUAUUCAAUGUGCACAAAUUUGUGUUCGUAAAUGGAUGCGCUUGACUGGGGAUGGCGAUGAUUUUGAAAGAACACCAACUAGGGCAACGAAAAGUACUGGCCAACGCGGCACUUGCACCGUGAAUGACAAGGAACGGAUAAUUCAAUGUCAAGCAGCAAGGUUUUACAUAAUUUCCCGUUAGACAUGAUUUUUUUUGACCUAUUAACCUCAUGCUUUUCAUACUUAAUAUCUGUAAAAUUGUACACACCAUCAUUGGCUUCUAUAGUUUGUAGAAAACUACAUGGUUAUUCAAUAUUUUUUAUAAUUACAGUUCUAAGUCCUGUGAAUUUUAGAUGAUGUGCAGUGCAAAGACUUGGUUGACUGUUAGUUACUGAGGUUUUCCCACAUCUCCCAAAUGUUAAAAUGAUGAAAUUAUUGCCUAAGAAGCACCUGUUGCAGAAUCAUAUUUGGAGGUAAGAUAGCAGAUUAUAGCUAACUAAAAAUAGGUUGUAUUAUAUUAAACUACAAAUAGUUUUCAGUACUUUUGUCUUUAUCAAUCUGUGUUAGGCACUUAUUUAGCAAGGUUGGAAGUAUGAGGGGUGGCAGCAUCCUUAAUGGACUUCACUUUAUGUCGACCUAUCGUGGUCAAUUUGUAUUUAAUGAUUAACUUCACAUCCAUGAACGAAAAAAUCAUGUUUGUUUAUCAUGGUUAGGCAAAGAUGCAAUGCAUCCGUGAAGUGAAAAAAAGAAAGGACUGGUCAACUAAGAAAAUCUGUUGGUUGCCCUAUUGAAUUUGUGAACAAUUCACAGGAAGGUUCAAAUUUCGGACACAGCAUGGCCUAUUCACUUUCAUCUUGUGCUUAAUCUAGAACAAAAAUAAUACUACUACAGCCUAAUUAGAACAGCUCUAAAGAGUUGGGAAUUGAUGCUGUAAAUACUUUGUUCCUUAUGGUCUUUGCAUGUUAAUCUUAGCUGCUGGGCUUAGCUGGGCAUUAAUAUUCAGAAAUUCUGAUAAGUCUAUUGCCUGUAUUUCAAAUCCCAAAUUUGAUCCAAGCCAUAUAUAACUUAAUUGAAAACAGUAUAGAUUUUAUCUUUUCAAUCAGUGCCCUUGACCAUUCCACCGUUCCAAAGCCAUCCCUUUGUUUCUAUUUCAUGGAAGCUAGCUAUCUAUGCUGUAAUGCCAUCAAUCCAUUCCUGAUUCUUUGUGAUGCUUAAUUUAUAACCUCCGAAGUCCAUUUGCUUACAUUGAUUACUUACAUAGAAUUGAUAUGAUCAUGGAAAUAAAUAACGGAAGGAUUCUAUGCAAUUUACUUCAAGAUUAAUGAACCUACGUCUACUAAAAAGUUUUGUUUUAUUAUAUGUAGCUUUGAUCUCAACUUAUAUAUCUGCUGCAAUUCAUAUAUGAGAUAGGGUUUUCUUGUCCUCAUAGUCUGCACAACUUUCUACCAAAGAAGUUCACAAUGUGGAGUAUGAUUUAAAGGCUGGGAUGAACUGAGAAAAUGAGCGAAUGUUGAAAAUCUGAAGGUAUUUAUUAGAAUAGCAGGGCAUUUUUGUAUUGGUAAUAAAUCCGUUGUAUUUUCUGUUUUGUUCUGUUUUGUGAUCUGGUGAGUCAGUUACGGGUGUAGUUCUCUAGGCUCUAUAUAUAGGCAUGCUUUUGGGUAUUCUGAAUUGAUCUUCAGAAAACAUGAAUGAAAAGCAGAUUUUCUUUGUAGACCCUCUCCCUUUUUCUUCAAAAACAACUAACAUGGUAUCAGAGCUUUUCCUUCUACUCGCCUCUGUUCGUAUUCAUCUUUCUGUCUGAUGGCUAGAGGUAAUCAAUCCAACGUGCGUGCUGUGGUUAGAUUUUUCGACUUGUCACCAAUGGAGGAUUCAGGUAGCCCAUUUUAUCUCCAUAAUUCCACUGUCACUCUUCCAAAUGAACAUUCUGUUGCUGUCACUAGAGUAGGGUCUGUUGAAUUGUUUGAUUGUUUCAUUAUCGAAAAUGUUUUAUAUGUCCCACAGUUUCAUUUCAAUCUUCUUUCUGUUAGUGCCCUUACUCAAUAUCAUCAUUGCUCAGUGCAUUUUGUAUCUGAAUCUUGUUUUAUCCAGGACCGUAUGCAAGGGAAGAUGAUUGAGAUGGGUAGAUGCCGUGGCAAUCUCUAUGUUUUGAAUCCUACCAACCUUUUUCCUAUACCUUCUAGUGUCACAACUAUUUGUAAUAAUGCCUCAAAGACGGAACACGAGCUUUGGCAUUACCAUCUGGGUCAUCCCUUUUAUAAUAGGCUCAAUUCAUUGAAAGAUGUAUUAAAUCUCAAACUAUUUGUUGGCCACCCUUCUCAUUGUUCAAAUUUUCAUUUAGCUAAACAAAAGCGUUUGACAUUUCCAAUUUCAGACACAAUUUCAUCGUCUCCUGACAACCCGACUCUUGGUAGCUUGGCAUGUAAGGGUAUCAACAAAAUUUAUACCUAAGGUCCUUACACUAAAGUAGCAAAGCUACUAUAGCAUAGUGGCUCUAGGAUCGAACACUGGGAAGGGUUUUUACUUUAACUGGUGAAGUUCGGAGGAUGGAGUGAACUUUUCUUAAUAAAAAUUAGGUUAAGAUGAAAACAUAAAAAGAUGAAGGUGUUGUACUAAACUAACAUGAAAAUAGGUUAAAAGAUGGAAAAAGAAGUUUCUCAAAGCUUUGGAUAACCAUGUUUAACUCACUGUGUAAAAAUGGAGAUUUUGGAACUUUUCACCUCGAGUUGGGGAAGCAACUAAGGUGAUGCUUACUUCCCGAACCGGUAUGUGUUUAACAACUGAGUUUUAGUCCUUCAAAACUUACAAAAAGGGUAGCUGAACCUCAUAAAUGCUCUUUUAAUGAUAUAGGUCAUCUCCUCGACUUGCAAUACAAUGGCUCGUAGGAGAUAACUAAUGAACGUCAGUGGAUCUAACAAUAAGAAUCCACUGAGACCAAAAGGUUAUCAAGUAUUGGCCAUUCAAAGCAAGUCAGAGGGAUUAAAAGCUUUACUUUGAAUGAAAACAUUUAUGAUGCUCAACUACUUACAUUCAUGGCUUGGAAAUCUCCAUCCUGACACAGGAGCUUCACAUGACAUCCAUUACUUCAAGAAACUAAAAGGUUUUAGCCUCUCAUCCUUGGGGAUUUCAUCCUCCAAGGAUGUUUGGCUACUAAGAAAAUAGAAAAUAGUAGAGAGAAAAAGAAAGCAAAAGAUACUCUGUAUUUAGCUAAGUGUAAAAUUUACAUAAGUUGGUCUCCUGGGGAAAGUUCCCCGACCCUUUAAAAAUGAAAAUUACAAAACAAUAUAUAUCAGGUUGUUUACCCCUGUAUUCUUGCUUAACAACUAAGGAAUCAUCUAAUUGGUGGAUUACAAGGAGAGAAUUGGGAUUUAGACAACAAAUAUUUGAAGUAAAAUAUCAAAAAACGUCGGUCGCAAAUAUCUGGAAGCACUCAGGAGAAUUUCGCAGGCGCACAAAAUGGCUGCGAAAUUUCGCAGACGAACAAGAUGGCUGCGAAAUCAUUUCGCAGCCGAAGGCUGAUUUCGCAGCCAAAGGCUGAUUUCGCAGCCCUGCGAAAUUGGCCUUCAGCUUGGAGUGAUCUGCUUCCAUUGGCUCUAACUUCUUCAUUUCAACUUUGAUUUGCGAACCGUUUGAAGCAUUGGAUUGUUGGCUUCCCAAUCUUCGAAACGACAUAAAGUAUGCAUAAAUUGGACUUCAGAAAGUACUCCAAAAGUGGCUGAAAUGACUGUCAUAAAAAAUGCUUCAAGGUAGAUUCUCUCUUUACUUCUCCUCCUUGCAUUCCGGAUUGGUUAUGGCAAAGGACUUUAAGGCUUCAAAGCUCUGAUUCUUCAUGUUUCUGAGCUUUCCAUUGCUUUGCCAUGGAUUCCAAAUAACUCUCCUCCAUCUUGGAUUGCUUUGGUGAUCAAAUUACUAACAAAAACACCAAAACUUACACAAAGUGAUUAGAAGUGAUUGCAAAGGUCCUUAAUAUGUUAAUUGGGUUAAAAGGCAAUAAUUACUACUCAAAAGUGUUUAAAAGAGUUAAUUACAAGCUAUCAAAUAGCACUUUUUGAGUAGUAAUCAUCUCCUUUUGAAUUACUACACCUUGAUAUAUGGGGUUCUUUUCAUCACCCCACACAUGAAGGUUUUCGUUACUUCCUUACCAUUGUUGAUGCUUUUUUCUUGAUUUACUUGGAUAUACUUGCCGCAUGCUAAAUUUGAUGUCCUUGAUGUCUUUCCGACAUUUUAUAAUCUUGUUCAUACUGCAUUUGGUAUUAAAAUAAAAUCAGUGCAUUGUGACAAUGCUCCUAAGCUUUCUUUUUCAAAUUUCUUUCGAGAAAAAAGGAUUUUAUCUUUUCAUUCUUGCGUUGACAUGCCUCAACAAAAUUCAGGAGUUGAGCAUAAGCACCAACAUAUUUUAAAUGUUGCAAGAGCACUAUUGUUGCAAUCCAAUGUCCCAUUAGGAUAUUGGGGUGAUUGUGUAUUAAUUGCCACAUACCUUAUUAAUAAGACUCCAACACCUAUCUUAUCUAACAAAACUCCAUGUGAAGUUCUAUACAAUAAAGUUUCCUUCUAUACUCACUUUUGAGCUUUUGGUUACUUGUAUUAUCGUUCUAGCCUUACUCACCAUAGCACAAAAUUCUCUCCACGAGCCAUUCCUUUAGUGUUUCUUGGUUACCCACCUGGUUAUAAAGGUUACAAGUUGUUGAAUCUCUCCACCAAUGCCAUAUGCAUUAGCCGUGAUGUAGUUUUCCAUGAAUUUCUAUUUCCUUUUCGGUCCAUUGAUUCAAACUUUUCCUCUUGUGAUUUUUUUUUAAUCGAGUUCUUCCUUCUUCCAUUCACAAUUUUUUUUUUCUGUUUCUAAUGUUCCAAAACUUAUCUCACCCCCUACAGUCUUUACCAAACUUGCUGUCCCUUCCACUUCUCGUCCUGUUUGCCUCCCUAAACCACCAUUAUAUCUCCAAGAUUAUCAUUGUUAUUCCACAGUUUAAUCCACAUCUUCUGUAACAUAUCCUCUUUCUAGUGUUCUUGGCUAUGGUAAGCUCUCCUCUUCUCAUCAUGCUCUUGUUCAUGCCAUUUCUUCCCACAUUGAACCAACUUCCUUCUCUCAAGUUGUUGUGAUUCCAGAGUGGUACCAAGCUAUGCAGGCUAAACUUCAAGCUCUUAAACAAAAUGGUACAUGGUCUUUGACAUCUCUUCCUCCUGUCAAACAUCCCGUGGGAUGUAAAUAGGUCUACAAGCUCAAAUUUUGAGCUGAUGGUUCUCUUGAGCGUCACAAAGCUUGUCUUGUUGCAAAGGGAUAUACUCAACAAGAGGGUGUAGAUUAUCUUGACACCUUCUCUCCCAUAGCAAAAUUAGUCAUUGUCAAGUUUUUUUUUUUUGGCUCUUGUUGUGAUUCAUGGCUGGUUUCUCACUCAACUUGAUGUUGACAAUGCAUUCCUUCAUGGUGAUAUGACCUAAGGAGUUUACAUGUCCCUUCCUCCAAGGUAUCACUGUGAGGGGGAGUCCUCACCUUCCAAUGUUGUUUGCAAGCUCUACAAGUCAAUUUAUGGGUUGAAACAAGCUUCUGGAUAGUGGUUUGCAAAAUUUUAUGGUAUUCUGUUAGCUAAAGGUUUCACACAAUCAAUUGUGGAUCAUUCCUUGUUUACCAAAUAUGAUGGUGACUCCCAUAUUGCCUUAUUGGCAUAUGUUGAUGACGUUGUCAUUGUGAUCAACAAUUCCAACCAUAUUGAAGAUCUCAAAAGGUUUCUUGACAACCAAUUUAAGCUCAAAGACCUUGGAUAACUUAAAUAUUUCCUUGGUCUCGAAGUUCCUAGGACAAGUAAGGGGAUUUCAGUUAGCCAAAUACAUCACGCUCUUCAAUUGCUAUCUGAUAUAGGUUUUUUGGGAUGUAAACCUACAAGUACACGAAUGGAAGCUAAUAUCCAACUUUCUCAAGAUGAUGGGGAGAUUCUUGAAGAUGCUGGAUUGUAUAGGUGAUUGAUUAGCAAGCUCCUAUAUCUCACAAUCAUGCAACCUGAUCUAUCUUACUCAGUUAAUCGACUUAGUCAGUAUCUUGCCAACCCAAGAUCUACUCACUUGCAAGCUGUUCAUCGAAUUUUACAAUAUAUUAAAGGUACAAUUGGCCAAGGUAUGUACUUUCCUUUUUCUUCAACAACCCAACUCAAAGCCUUUACUGACUCAGAUUGGGGUGCUGUGCUUGUAAAGAUAUAAGAAGAUCCAUCAAUGGGUUUUGCAUUUUUCUUGGAGAAUCAUUGAUUUCAUGGAAGUUUAGGAAACAAAGUACAGUUCCACGCUCGUUAGCUGAGGCAGAAUAUCAAGCAAUGGAAAAUACCACUUGUGAACUAGUCUGGUUGAUGUCUUUCCUUCCUGAUUUUUGCAUUGAACACAAACAACCAACUAUAUUAUUCUGUGACAAUGAGGCAGCACUUCACAUUGCUGCCAAUCUUGUGUUUCACGAACAGACCAAACACAUCGAAAUUGAUUGCCAUCUUGUUUGUGAGAUGAUACAAACAGGUUGUCUCAAAACAAUGCAUGUAUCUUCUCAACAUCAAAUUGCAGAUCUCCUUACCAAGGCUCUCUUACCAACACAGUUUAAAUUUCUUCUCAACAAGAUGGGAAUUCACAAUAUUCAUUCUCCAUCUUGAGGGGGAGUAUUAGAAUAGCAGGGUAUUUUUGUAUUGGUAAUAAAUCCGUUGUAUUUUCUGUUUUGUAAUCUAGUGAGUCAGUUAUGGGUGUAGUUCUCUAGGCUCUAUAUAUAGGCAUGCUUUUGGGUAUUUUGAACUGAUCUUCAGAAAACAUGAAUGAAUAACAGAUUUUCGUUGUAAACCCUUUCCCUUUUUCUUCAGAAACAACUAACAAUAUUGAAACCCUUAAUUAACUAGCAUUUUUAUUUACUCUGGAUGAAGAUGGGGCUGAAGGAAGAGUGCUUGAAGUUAAUUUCCUUUGUAACCCAUCCAUUUUGCUUCAGCUAAGAUGAAGGAAGAAGAGAAAUCAGCCAAUAUAAGGUAGAUUCAAUUGGAGUUAGGGUUCUCUUACUUUAGCUUAUUGAAUCCUUAGGCCCAGCUAAUUAACCAGGAGCACCACCCACCAACAGUUUAUGUCCAUUGAUAAAUACAAUCCUAGUCAGUUCUACACUGCCACGACCUUAACCCCUGCCUUGAACACCAGACCUUGCUGUCCGGGAACGCUGGCCAGUAAUGGUUAAUAGAGUCCUAGGGAAACCACAGAAAAAUAAGACAUUCAUAGAUUUUUACAUACGUUCAUAGACUCUUGUAUUAACAUUUUUGACUCGUGUAACAUUUGAGGAAAAAAGUGUAAAAAGAAAAUGAAGAAGGAAAUUAAUAGAAGAAAAGAAAAUAUGAAGAAAAAUAAAUAAAAAUUUUAAAAUUAAUUAAUUAUUUUUAUAUAUUUCUUUAAAAUUUUAACUAAUUUUAAAAAUAUUUCAAUUUUUUAGUAUUUUUUUAUUAUAAUUUCAAAUUUAAAAAUUAUAUUAAAUUUUUUUUUUAUAUUUUUUAUUAUAAUGUCGAAUAAAAAAUUUCGGCACCUUAGUUUCUUAGGAGAUUUCUCUCUUCAAAUUCCUCUAUUCCCUUCAAAUUAUGUUCUCUCCAGUUCCCAUGGUUGGAACAGCAGCCAGUACUUGGGUACGCUAUGUCAUUUUGAUGGUGGUGGCGUUUUGGUGAGUUGUUUGUCACAAGCGCUCUGAGGCUGGUGGAUGUAGGUGGGUGGUGUAGUGGGGUUGGUGUGGCACUAUUGUGUUGUAGGUGGGGAUUGAAAUGCUUAAAUUCUGAUUCAAGCUCUCUCUCAUGUCUUUAUUCUUGGACUUUCAGCGCCUAUUUCUUCCGCCACAAUGUGUUUAUAUCAUUUGUUAAUCUGAGACUACUAUUAUGUGAUUCAUGAAAUUUUUGGAAUGAGGUAGUGCACAAUGUGUUUAUAUCUAUGUAGUGUGGAUUUUACCAUUAGCUAGAUACAAGCAACAGGGAAGUGCAAGAUAAUAUGUGUUCGUGUGUGCACCAGAAAAGAAUUUUAACCAGGGUGAAAUUCAAACUGUGGUUGUGGGCUAUAUCUACCGUGCUUCAAUUUUUUGAUAGGGAUAUUUGAUCAACAACUUUUGAAAAAUUUAUGAAUUCAACAAAAUAUCUCUUCAAUAUUAACAUUGCCUUGAAAAUGAUGAAGAAAUACAUCACAUUGACAAUCUUGUCAGGCUGUGCAGGAGAUAUAGUCCUUCUGAAACUUUCACAAUAUUACCCACCAUCAAACCUAAGAUAAUAUUUCACCCAACUUGCCUCUUCUCUUUUUGAUAAAGUAUCACAAUCCGUGAUGGUGUGGGCUCUUGCAUUAAAUUGUGUUUAAGCAUCAUGUCUAAUUUGUUUCAUUUGUUUUGCGAGUGUCAAACAUAUACAACUUUUUUCAUUUUUCAGAUUAAACAAGUUGGUUUCUAGGGAGGAUACUAGGUUUUGUGAUAGUAUGAAGCUAUUUGAUGUUUUCAGUGUGUAAAGAAGAAGUUAGAGGACUCCCUGUACUCUUUUGAUGAAGUAUGUAUGGGCAUUGAAGUCUUGAACGUUAAGCAAAUAAAGAAGUUGUAUAUUGAUAUAAUAAUACGAGGCAUGUACAUAUAUAACCUUAUGGAGAUCUUUCUGGUCCGCUUAAUUUCAAUGAUGUGUAUUUGCUUUGAAUUUGGGUUCUUGGAUAUGGUCUCAGUUGGAUAUGGCCAUCUUUGGAGGAAUACAAUAAUGUAUGAUCUCAAAUUUAACAGUAUCCAUUUUCUUUGGCAAGAAGAUGAUCUCAUAGAGAUAGUGUGGGAACUUUAGGUAAGAGGACUCUCAAAGAAUUGUAGGUAAGAAUAGUUAGGUGAAGUGAUCAAGCUGAACAUGAGAUGGAUUAUCCUAACCAGUCAAAAACACUAUGCGACAAAGGCCAUACUUUGUUCAUAAAUAACUGUGGUUCAAGUGUCUAGCGACAUGAUAAGGGGGACAUACCUGGUUGUUGCGAUCAAGAAUUGGUAAUUGGCAUUCUGAACAUACUUUAUUAUCAUUAAUUUUUUGUGAGAGGUGGUGCCUUAUCUGGUUGCGGAGGAGUCAAUUGGUGCGGCGAUUAGUAGGUAAUGGCAUUUCCACAUGCCAACAGCCAAUAAUACUAAUGACCAUGAAAGCGUCAAUCAGGGUGGCGCUGAUUGCAGGGCAACCUUGUGCAUCAAGAAUGAUUAGUACUAGAGAAUUCAACAAAUUAAGGUAUACCAUUCUGUUAUUCUUCCAUAAAACUUUCAACGCUGAAUGGGAGAAUAGGUUGGUUUUGACAACUUAGACUGUAGAAGUCUAAGCUUCCAUCUCGUUUUAGCCUAACUUUUUCCUUGUCCAAUAGUUUAUAUUUUCUUUCUUAUUUUCAGUAAAUUUUUUAUGCUAAAAACAUUGGCUUGUUCACACAUUAAUUCUAAUUAAACAGCAUGCAUGACAAUAAAAUACCACUAGAUGUUUUUCAGUUGCAUCUCUUUCAGCAUGUUUCAUAAUUUCGAAAUUUAAAAGAAAAAUCCUAUUCCUUUUUCCCCUUAAUCACUGCACCAUGCAUUCAAAGUAGUAAUUCUGUUUUGAGCAAGAUUUGCAUUUCAUAUGCAUAACAACUUCCAUAUGCAGUUACUGCUCCUUGUGUGACAAAUGGGGUUGAGAGUUGGGGUAUGCUUAUCCUUUUACUGUCAUGGUGAACUGAGAAUGGUUAGUUGUCCAUAAGCUCAAGGGCUUUGUUGGGAGGAAGAGGAAGAAGAAGAAGAAGUCCUUUUACUGUCAUAGAAAACUGAGAAUGGUUAGGUCCAUGAGCUCUAGGUCUUUUCUGGGAAGAGGAAGGCUAAAAGGAAGAAAAAGAAGAUACAACUGAUGUACGAAGAAGAAGAAGAUUAUCGUGAUAAUUGCAACUGGGACUAUAUAUAACUUGAAUAUUAAGGCAUACUACUCAAAUUUUCCACACUUGCCCUAACAAAUAAAAUAAGAUAAUCGUGGAAGAUGCUAGCAUAUAUAUCCUAAACUGAUCUAGGUAUCCUAUCCUAAACUACUUUAAAUGUUAAUUAAGGAAUGCAACAUCACUUAAAUAUUGUUGUCUUUCAAACAAGGCACACAACACAUCAAGUUAUCACACUACAUGGCAUUUAUUUAAUAAUAUACUAAUUAAUUGAACUGGAACUGACAAACUUCAAUUUAAGAUUAUUUCUGAUUAAUUUGCUGCACAUCCAUCUGGGACUUGGCAUCAUGAAGGCGUUUCUCUUGUGACAGUACUUCUGCAAACCUGUGACAUUGAGAGCAAUUCGAUCAGUAUUAAUGAAUGAUAGAAGAACAGGUGGCAUAUGUAGAGGGGCUUGUUUAUUAAUCCGGCAUAUUGAUGUUUAUGAUCACAUGCGUUCUCAUCUGAAAUGAAAUUACUAUGUAGUUUUGAUUCAAUAAUUAGUGGACAGAAUUUUAUACAGUAAACAGAUUUACAAUGAGAACUGAAUCUAAGACUAAUUUGAUACCUCAUGAGAGCCUCUUCAUUUGUCUGUUCACUUGAAGGCUCCAAAUUUGAUACCACAAUCAGUUGGCUUUAUAGAAAAGAAAUGAGGAUUUCCCCCACAAAUCUCGUUAGUCACUUUGCCACUGGAAAUUAAAGCCUGAAAGGGAUCAAUAGUAGGUCACAAUUAUUACAACAAUUCAUCACUCAUUUGUGUUUCAGUAAUAGAUAUACAAUACCGGAUUAUUGGAAGCUACUCCAUCAAUAAGAUUGAAAUUUUCUAACUCUCCCUGUGACAUAAUCUUUGAGAGAUAAGUUGGAGCAGCUAGCUGAAGUUCCUAUGCAUAUCACCGAGAGUAAGGCAUCUAUGCUUGGGUGCUGUUUGACCUAGAUCACCAUGAAUAUCAAUAGUAAGUAAGUUUCUUUUCUGAUAAUGAGGACCAUGAAAAAAAAUGGUGAAAUAGUACAUUCCAAAGAUUUUUGUAUGCAUAACUAACUAAACCUUAAUGUUGGAGAAGAUGGUGAUGAACUACCAAUUUUCUUGAAAACUUAAGUUUGAAGGAUUUGAGUUCAAUAUGCAUAUCAUGCUCCUUAACACUCUCAUGUGAUCCUUAACACCUUCCCUCACAUGCGGUCCCAUCCCCGCACGCAAAGAGAUAAACAAAAUUUGGAUUCAUAUUUAGAAAAACAAACAGGAGAUAUGCAAAUUAAGACCUCCAACCAAACUAAGCUUUAAUACCAUCUUGAACUACUAAUUUUUCAAAAAGCUUAAACUCAUAGUAUUUGGGUUCAGUAUGCAUAUCAAAUGAUGGUUAUUCUUUUGUAAUAGGAUGCAUAUUAGGUCUCAUAACCAUUCUUUUACUCAAAGGGUGUCUUAAGUUGACCCUAAGUUAAAUUAUUCUUAAAUUGUUAACUUAAAAACUUAUUAGUUAUUUUUAAAAAAAAUUAUUAAAGUUGUUUGGUAAAGCUAACUUAAAAUCUAUUUUAAAUUAUCAAAUAUUUGUUUUUGUAAUAUUUAGAUUUUCUUAUAAAAUAAAGAAAGUUAUUAAAAAUAUUUUCAUAAAUAUUUUAACUCAUGAGUGAAAAAGGUUAUAAGAUAUACAUGAAGACUAAUAUGUGGUGAAUAGCCAUAUAAUAAAGAAUGGUUGGGAAUCAAUAGUCAUAUCUAGUUUUUGGCCUCUAAUACUUUCUAUGACAUAAUGAUUAAAAUGGUAGACUGUUUUAUUUUUAUAAAGCUUUCGCUAGCAUAACACUACUUCUAACCUAAAAAAUGUAGAAAAUUUUUCAAAAUUAUUUCAAAAUAUGCUUAAACAGUUUUAAGUACUUGGAAUUAUAAAAGAUGAGAGGGAUCAAUUGUAAUGAGUUAUUUAAAUGAUAUAUUAUGAAUUCAAAAAAGAAGAAAAAAAAAAACCUUUAGGAGUCAAGAUACCUAAAACUUAGCUAAAGGGACUGGUAGAGUAUUUUAUGGAAGCAAGAUUCUCAAGCCUCAUACUCUUUUAAAAAAAAUGAAAAUAUCUUCUCUUUUAUUUCUCCUUAUAAUCUUUGGGAAAAAAAAAACGGAAUAUAAAGAGAUAUUAUAAAUAUAUAUAUAUAUUCUCUAUAAUUUCUCUUAAAAACCCCUCCAUAUUCCUCUUUAAUGUUGUGGAAAAGAAACUAAAAUAAAUACGUUAAUGCAUAUGACAAUGUUUCUACUUAAAGUGUAUUUAAUAUAAAUAUUUUUUCUAUUAGUAAUUUUAGGAAAAUCAUUUAUCAUUUAUUAAAUGUUUCUUUAAAAAGUGCUAGCUAUAAGUUAAUUUUUCAUAUUUUUAAAAUAUUUUCUUAAUUUUAUCAAAUUCUAUUUUAAUUUUCAAAAAUAAUUUUUUAAAUUAAAAAUACUUUCCAAAAUCAUGACACCAUCGAAUAAAUAUUUAUCAUAGUUAUCAGUUUAAUCACCACAUAAAAAGUUGAUGUGGUCCAAAAUGAUGUAGGUAGGUAGGUGAGCGGGAUUGAAUAAGCAUUUGGAUUGUAAAUUGUUCACUGUUUUUUAAAGUUGUGUAGUGAUAAUUUUUAAAGAAAAGUCGCUCCAAGAACCCUACUUCCACAUAAUAUUAAAUAAUUUAUACCUGAAGUUGAGGUUCCAGGCAAGCAAGGAUAGUUGCAGGAAUGAUGCCCCUGAUACCACCUCCAUCAAUACUAAGAAUGGUGACUAGGUUACCAUAAGUUGGGGGCUGGAUUUGAGGUAAGAGUGAUUUCUCCAUCUGAAAAAUGAUAAUUAUAGGAUUGUAUGCACUAACUUACAACAAGAAACUAAGAAAUCCUUGGAUAAAAGAAAGAUGUGAAGAAAAAGAAAAGAGCUUGAGGCACCAAGAAAGAUGGCCUUGAGCAAGAAAAGGAUGAGAAAAAAGAAACAAUGCUCGAGUUGUCUUCCCUCUUGUGUUGGAUUGCAUUGUCCAGAAUCUAUUUAUAGGCUAAUCGAGCAGCAAGGCACGUGCUAUAGAAUGCGGUUACUGACGAGUAGGUAAUGUGAUAUGAUGAUGAAGUCUGCUUCUGGCACAGAGCUCCUUUCCCAGGUAUUCUUUUAGUUUAUGUAUGAAGGAUUUAUCUGAAAAUAAAGUCUAAGCUUGCUGCUUCUUCUAGGGUAGCAUACCAUAUAAAGUCUAAGCUUGAUAUUUUAUGAUAGUACAACUAGCAGUCUGCUUUGUCAUGCUGUUGCAUCCUCCUAUUCUUGUAUUUGUGUGUAAGGGACAAAUCAAACUUUGAGGAUUGCAUGACAACACGACACUAUGCUCAUCACAGAUGUUCAAUUGUUCAGUAUAUAUAAACAUGAAACAUAUAUUUUUAUUUAUUUAUUUAUUUUUUAAUAUAUAAAACCAUGAUUUCGUUACAAAUAGAAGUAAACAUUUUAUCAGUGUUUUCAUUCACAUGUACACGCCCUAUAAAUAUUAAUCAUUUUCCAUCUCACCUGAUGAGAAUAAAAAUGCAUAAUAUACCAUUGUGACUCCAUGCAUGAAUGCAUUCCAUAGUGAUACAUGAGCUUAGCAUCUCCAGCUGGAGUUGCUUACAUGAAGCAUCCUUCCAAUUUUCAACUCUUUUUUUACACCUUUCUCCAUCUUUUUCUCUUUUCCAAUUGAGUUCCUCCAUUUUUUACCAUCAUUUGAUUCUUUCUUGGCUUUUCUGAAUUUCAUGUACUUCUUGAAUUUUUUAGCAAACUUAGUAAGCUCACCCUCCGACAUUUUCUCAUCAUCCUCACUUUCGGAACUUAGGGACUCUUCUUUAAUAGCUUUUAAAGCAAUUCCCUUAGCUUUCCUAGGUGAUACAAGAGUAAUCUCAAAGGUUUGGAGGGAACCUACAAGUUCAUAUAUCUUCAAGGAAUCCACAUCCUUAGACUCUUUAAUGGCGGUGACCUUAGCUCUAAAUCUCUCCGGAAGAGAUCUUAAAAUUUUUCGAACCACCUUAAAGUUAGAGAUGGGUUCACCUAGAUUGAAGCUAGAAUUCACAAUGUCCAUCAGUUUUGCAUGAAAUUCUCCAAAAGUUCCAUGAUCAUCCAUUCUAGUGGUCUUAAACCUAGAUGUCAACAUUUGAAGUUUGGACACUUUCACGACAUUAGUUCCUUCAUGAGUCACUUGGAGGAUAUCCCAAGCUUACUUAGCCGAAGUACAUGUAGCAAUCCUACGAAAUUCAUCCGUACUAAUGGCAUUGAAGAUGGAGUACAUGGCUCUAGCAUUAUUCUCACUUGCUUCAUUUUUACUUCUAUCCCAUUCCAAUUUAGGCUUGAUAACAUUAGUUGGUCUACCUUCUUUAUCCAACACCUUAGGUGGAGACCAACCAAAUUCAACGGAGUUCCAAACUUUUUCACUUUGCAUUUUGAGAAAAUAUUGCAUUCUCACUUUCCAAUGAGAAUAAUUUUCGCUAGUUAAAAAUGGUGGUCUCCCAAUGGAAACUCCCUCUUGAUGAGGUUCCAUGAUUGAGAUUCAAUGACUGAAAAUGAUUUUUUUCUUUAAAAACCUGCUUUGAUACCAAUUGAAAAGGUAAAUCUCAAUACAUCUAGAGGGGGGGUGAAUAGGUGUUGUAGAACAAUUUAAAAUUUUUCCCAACAAAGAUUACCUAACCUUAGACUUUCUCAAUAUCAAGAAACUUCUCUUCCAACAACUAUUCAACAAAGCAUAACAUCCACAAGCAAGAAUGUAUGCACCAACACUCUCCCAACAAUUUAUAAAUGCAAUACACAUGCAAAUGCUUCAACAAUCCUAAAAAAUAAAUCAAAAGAACAAAUAUCUCCUCAACUCAUAUCAAUUUACUUCAUGAUAUCAUUAACCAAAAUGAGCAGAAAAAUUAUUAAGGAUAUUCCAUGGAUCAUUACACUUAUAUCACCUCAUAUUUCUUCCAUUCAACAUGUUUGCCCAAGUAAUCAAUGAUAUCAAAAACAUAAAUUAGAUCAAAGUGUAAAGUGAGAGAAAGAGACAAUUAACACCGGAUUUUAACGUGGAAAACCUCCGAAGAGAUAAAAAACCACAGGCCUACCACCAAUUGAAAAACUCCACUAUGAAGAAUAAAAACCGAGUACAAGGUUUUACCUAGCUUAAGCCAACCAAUCAUUCCUGGACCACUUGACUAGUACCUUCACUUUCAGCUUCUCACCUUCAUCUUUCGGAGCACACUUGGAGUCCGCACCAAGCUCAAUCUUGGCAUCUUCUUGAAUCCACACAAGAAGAAAAUGAUUUUUUGCACAAACCCAAAUAGAAUGAGAGAUUGAGAUAUGAAUGAAGGAAUGAAUCAACCCAUUUAUUGCUCAAGAAAAUCCAUUAAAAACUAGUUUGGAAAACGUUAAGAGAAUUGGAUUUUCUUUGCAACCAAAAACCCCCAAAUUAGGAAAAGAGAUGAGAAAAUGAAAAACACAUGGAGUGGCUACAGCUCUCUCCACAUUUUCUGCAGUCUCUACCCAGAAAAUGAGAGAAGAAUGAUUUUUAAAGUGUCAAAAGAAACCUUUAAUCUAAUGGCUAAGAUUUGAUCUUAAAAACAAGUUAGUUGGAUCAAUCUGCCCCUGAACUUGGAUCGAUCCAAAAAUAGGGGAAUAAAAGCCUUGCACUAAAAACCAUUUCUCCCAUCUUUCUAACACAUUUAAAGAUUAAAAACAAGGUUGAUUCACAUUCAAUCAUCACACACUUGGCUACAUACCUCGGCCUCUUAGCAAAGUCUUAGUCUUCAAAGUCAAGUAGUCCGAAGAGGAAUUGGAAAGACGAGUUAGGGGACACUUAAGAAUUUUGUCUAGAAUUGCCAACCUAGCUAAACACUCACAGAAAGGGCUGCUCAACUAUGGAAAUCUGGUCGCCCUAGUGAAUUAGUGAACAAUUCACUGGAAGUUUCAAAUUUCUUACACAGCGUGGCCUAUUCAUUUUCAAGUUUAGCUAAACCUAGAGUAGAAAUAAUACUAAUACAGGAUAAUUCCAACUUCUCUAUAGAAUUGGGAUUAUGGGUACAUAUUGUCACGGACUUAGUCGUUCACUAAGCUCGUGCGACACUUAGGCAAGUCAAGACGCUUGAUCUUGCUAAGUCAGCCUACCCCCAAUGCUUAGCUUGCUAGGCUAAGAUGCUCACGACUCGAAAGCUUGAGAAGCUUAGUAGGAAACUCUUUAAAGAACGGAAGCUCUUAUUAACUCAAAGAAGCCUUUACAAGUGCUUGGAAGCUCACUUGCUUUGGUGCCUUGGCCAAAUGAGGCCCUCACCUAUAUAUAGGCACCAAUAGAACUCUCUGGAACCUUGGAGGGUUCCUUACAACUCAAGACUAUUCUAGAAUGUCCUACAUCAUUCUAGGUACAAGCCUAUGUACAAGUAUAUACAAGAGACUUCUGGAAUUCUCUAGAAAGCCCUAGACUCCUCUCAUGCCUUCCACCAUAGUGUAGAAUUGUGUGGAUUUCUCCAGGCUUCUCUAGAACCUUCCACACUCUUCCCACUCUAGGAGUUUCCAGAAGCUUCCUGGCUCUAUAUAAGCCCACAGGGAGGCUCAUUUGAAUCAGCUUGUGACACUCUCCCCCACUUAAGCUGCAGAAGUCCUCGUCGCACUUUCUACUCGGAAUCGCUCAAUUUGCUCCUAGAACUGCCAUAGGGCAUCUGCUGGCUCCCAACUAGCCUCGCUCUCUGGUAGUCCCUUCCAUUUCACUAAGUAUUCCGUAGCAGGAGGUACAUCUCGUCUCCUGAUGACCCGGUCUGCAAUGAUGUGGUCCAUCUCCUUCUCAUAGGAGGUCACGACCGUUGUAGGUGCCCUCUUAGACAACCCUUGGCUCGGAUCAUCCUUGUCUUCGUGAUAGGGUUUCAAGUAACUUACAUGGAAGAUAAGAUGAAUCUUCAACCUUGGUGGUAGCUCAACUCUAUAGGACACCUUGCUGACCUUCCCAAGUAUGGGGAAUGGUCCUUCAUACCUUCUCACCAGGCCCUUAUGCAUCGGCCUUAGGGAUUUGAAUUGUUGAGGAAGGAGCUUGACAAGCACCAUGUCUCCGACCUUGUACUCCGUGUGUCGUCGCUUCUUGUCAGCCCACUUCUUCAUUUUCUUAGCGUCCUUGUCCAAGUAUGAGCGUGCUAUGUCAGCUUGCUCGUGCCACCCUUUCGCGAACUUGAAGGCCGCUAGACUUUUCCUCGUAUAGCCAAUCGUUAGAGUGUGAGGAGUUAAUGGUUGUUGCCCUAUGGCUAGCUCGAACGGGAUCUUAUUGGUUGCCUCACUCUUUUGCAGGUUGUAUGAGAAUUGGGCUAUGUCUAGCAGCUUAGCCCAAUCCUUCUGGUUGGCACUACCCGACCACACCAAGGUCUUUGAAGUACACACAGAUGCCUUAGACUUCGCUAUUGGGGGAGUCCUUAUGCAAGAAAGGCACCAGAUCGCAUUUGAGAGUCGCAAGCUAAACGACACAGAGAGGCGUUACACGGUGCAGGAAAAGGAGAUGACUGCCAUCGUCCACUGCUUGCGCACUUGGAAGCAUUAUCUUUUGGGGUCUCACUUCAUAGUGAAGAUUGACAAUGUUGCCACUAGCUACUUCCAGACACAAAAGAAGCUAAGUCCUAAAUAAGCUAGGUGGCAAGACUUUCUAGCCGAGUUCGACUAUACGCUGGAGUAUAAGCCAGGAAGUGUUAAUCAUGUGGUUGACGCCCUAAGCUGCAAAGCGGAGCUAGCGUCCAUGAUGAGUCAGCCCCAAGGAGACAUAAUGGAUAUUCUAAGGGAAGGACUGCAACAUGAUCCAGUGGCUAAGAGUCUCAUUGUCCUGGCUCAUGAAGGGAAGACCAAGCGGUUUUGGGUGGAGGACGACCUACUAUACACUAAGGGGAGACGACUUUACGUGCCUAAGUGGGGAAACAUAAGGCGGAAUCUGACAAAUGAGUGCCAUGACACCAAGUGGGCUGGGCACCCUGGGCAACGACGCAUGAGGGCACUACUCGAGUCGGCUUACUACUGGCCUCAGAUACGGGAUGAGGUUGAGGCCUAUGUGAGGACUUGUCUUGUGUGCCAACAAGACAAGGUGGAGCAACGACAACCUAGAGGCUUGUUGGAGCCACUACCUGUAGUAGAGCACCCAUGGGACAGCGUCACCAUGGACUUCAUCAUUGGGCUACCCAAGUUAGAGGACAGCGGCUCUAUCAUAGUGGUGGUGGACAGGUUCUCUAAGUAUGCAACCUUCAUAGCAGCCCCAACUGACUGCACCGCGGAAGAGACGGCGAGGCUAUUCCUAAAACAAGUAGUCAAGUAUUGGGGGUUACCCAAGUUCAUCAUCAGUGAUCACGAUCCGCGUUUCACUAGGAAGUUUUAGACGAAGCUUUUCAAGCUUAUGGGUUCGGAGCUUCACUUCUCCAUAAGCUUUCACCCACAGAUGGAUGGGCAAACAAAGAGGGUGAACGCCUUAUUGGAGCUCUACCUAAGGCACUUCGUGAGUGCCAACCUGAAGGAUUGGGCUAAGCUGCUAGACAUAGCCCAGUUCUCAUACAACCUACAAAGAGUGAGGCGACCAAUAAGAGCCUGUUCGAGCUAGCCACAGGUCAGCAACUGUUAACUCUUCACACUCUAAUGAUUGGCUAUACGGGGAGAAGUCCAGCGACCUUCAAGUUAGCCAAAGAGUGGCACGAGCAAGCUGACAUAGCACACUCAUACUUGGACAAGGCCGCUAAGAAAAUGAAGAAGUGGGCUAACAAGAAGCGACGACACAUGGAGUACAAGGUCGGAGACAUGGUGCUUGUCAAGCUCCUUCAUCAACAAUUCAAAUCCCUAAGGUCGGUGCAUAAGGGCCUGGUGAGGAGGUAUGAAUGACCAUUCCCCAUACUUGGGAAGGUCGGCAAGGUGUCUUAUAGAGUUGAGCUACCACCGAGGUUGAAGAUUCAUCCCGUCUUCCACAUAAGUUACUUGAAACCUUAUCACGAAGACAAGGAUGAUCCAGGCCGAGGGUUGUCUAAGAGGACACCUACAACGGUCGUGACCUCCUAUGACAAGAAGGUGGACCACAUCAUUGCAGACCGGGUCAUCAGGAUACGAGGUGUACUUCCUGCUACGAAAUACUUAGUGAAAUGGAAGGGACUACCAGAGAGCGAGGCUAGCUGGGAGCAAGCAGAUGCCCUAUGGCAGUUCCAGGAGUAAAUUGAGCGGUUCCGAGCAGAAAGCGCGACGAGGACGUCUACGGCUUAGGUGGGGGAGAGUGUCACAAGCUGAUUCAAAUGAGCCUCACCAUGGGCUUAUAUAGAGCUAGGAAGCUUCUAGAGACUCCUAGAGUGGGAAGAGUGUGGAAGGUUCUAGAGAAGCCUGGAGAAAUCCACACAAUUCUACACUAUGGUGGAAGGCAUGAGAGGAGUCUAGGGCUUUCUAGAGAAUUCUAGAAGUCUCUUGUAUAUACUUGUACAUAGGCUUGUACCUAGAAUGAUGUAGGACAUUCUAGAAUAGUCUUGAGUUGUAAGGAACCCUCCAAGUUUCCAGAGAGUUCUAUUGGUGCCUAUAAAUAAGUGAGGGCCUCAUUUGGCCAAGGCACCAAAGCAAGUGAGCUUCCAAGCACUUGUAAAGGCUUCAUUGAGUUAAUAAGAGCUUUCGUUCUUUAAAGAGUUGCCUACUAAGCUUUUCAAGCUUCCGAGUCGUGAGCAUCUUAGCCUAGCAAGCUAAGCAUUGGGGGUAGGCUGACUUAGCAAGAUCAAGCGUCUUGACUUGCCUAAGUGCCGCACGAGCUUAGUGAACGACUAAGUCCAUGACAAUAUGCUGGAAAUACUUUGUUCCUUAUGGUCUUUGUAAAGCUUAUGUUGAUCUUUUUAAUUAGUGGCCUUGACCAUUCCACCAUUCCAAAUUAAGCUAUCACUUCAUUUCAAUACCACAAUCCAUGCAUGAACUAUUUUAUUCUGAGAUAUUUUUUUUCACCAUAUAUAAUGAUGCUAAAUAAAAGGAACUAAAUAAAAAAUCAAAACAUAGGACCCUGCAUCACACCUCUCUAGUUUACUUACAGACUCAAUACUUCACAUAUAUAUGCAAUGCCUUCUCCUGGUUAGAUCUUUCAUUUUCACAAAUUGAACCUAUAAACCCAUAUAUAAUAGGAUGGGUAACUAACCAUGGCAGAACUAUUACUUUUCAUGGAAGCUAGCUAGAUAUGAUCUAAUGUAAUUAACAAUGCAUUCCUGAUUCUUUGUGAUGCUUUAUAACCUAGGAAGUCCAUUUGCUUACCAUUUAUCACAUAUAUAGACUUGAUCUGAUCAAGGCAAUAAAUAAUGGCAAUCCUUUAUAGCCCAACUACUUUUGUUUAAGGGUUUUCUUUUACCAUGCAUACCUUUGAUAUCUCAACUUAUGUGCAUCAAUUAACAUAUAUGAGAUAGGGGUUCAUGUCUUCCUAGUAUGCACAACUUUCUACCAAAAAGUCUUGCGUGUGGAGGUAUGAUUUAAGGUCCUGGAUGAAAUGAGAAAAAUGAGCCUGCUUAGAUGAAGAUGGGGUUGAAGGAAAAGUGCUUGAAGUUUUCUUAGUAAUCCAUCCAUUUUGCUUCACCUAAUUAGAUGAAGGGAGAAGCGCAAAUAUAGAAGGUAGAUUCACUUGGAGUUUCUCUUAUUUUACCUUAUCAGAUCCCUAGACCUAGCCAAUUAAUUAACCAGGACCACCAUCCACCAAUGGUUUAUGUCCAUUUAUAAAUACAGUCAAUUAUAUGCUGCCACGUCCUUCAUUGUAACCCCUGCCUUGUAAACCGGUCCUUGUUGUUUGGAAACGCUGCCCAGCAAUGGUUUAAUAUAGUAUGAGAGAAACCACAGAAAAAUCUAUAGGACAUUCAUAAAUUUUUACCUACCGCAUAUUGACCUGGUCUCUUGCAUUCACUAUUUUGGCUCUUAAAAGUAAGGGUCUCCAAAAAGCCCGCGGCUCGGCCUAAGCCCGGCCUGGCCUGGCGGGCUAAAGCUCGGCCCGAGCCCAUUUUUGGAUGGGCCGGGCCAUGGGCCCCAAAUUAGGCCCAGCCUGUAGGCCCGCCCAUAGGCUCGCCCGUAGGCCCGCCACUUUAAAAAAAAUAUAUAUAUUAAAAAAAAUAUUCAAGAAAUAGAAAAUGUUACAUUAAUAAAAAUAUUCAUUGUUAACUAUUUUAUUCAUUGAAUGUAUACAUUACAUUUGAAAAUGUGGGAAAAGUUUACAUUACUACAAAAUAAAUACAUCCCAACUAGGUUGGCAUCUACUUAUUUGUCAAUCAUUUGUACUUUUCAACCAUAAAAAUAAAAAUAAAAAUAAAAAUAUGACAUACAUUUAGUAAAAUAUUUUAAUCAUUAUCUCUUGGCGGUGAUGGCGAACUAGUGAAAUUGAAAGGUUGUUCUGCUCUUAUUAUAUAACCAAUCAUUUCUUCACGACAAUAAGAUUCAUCAUAAGAAAAUGUUUUUAAAUUUCCACUUUCAUCUUUACCUAAUUGCAUAUAAUUUCUAAUAUCUACAUUAUUUUUAAUUUUACAAUUUUCAUGAUGCCUUUUUAAAUGACUUGUACCUGCAUUUGAGCCACCACUAAGAAGUUUGUUACAAAUUUUACAUUUUGCUUUUAGUUCUUUUUUAUUAUUUUCUAAAUUUAUUUCUAUUCUAUAAAAAAAAUUCCAUAUAUUUGAAGUAAAUUUUUUGCUAUCACAUGCAUUAGAUGAAGAACAAGAACCACUUGUCAUAAUUAUAAUUAUUGAUAAAAUAUUAUGCUAAAAAUAAUAAAUGUAAAAUUAAAAUGUAACAAAUAAAUAAAAGAAAAGGUGAAGUAUGUUACUAAAUUGGAGAACCGAAGCAGAAAUUCCUUCAAAUUUGAACUCUUUGAACCACCAAUGCUUGUUUUUCACCACCAAUAAUAUUGAAUAAUUUGAGACAAAAUGCAAUAAUCGGAAAUAUUGUGGAAUGGGAGAGAGCUUAAGAGUUGAGAAAAUAGAAAAAAAUUGAGGGUAUUUAAUAUUUAUAGAGGUUUAAAUAUUAGGAUUUAUUUAUUUAUUUUUUUUAAAUUUCAAGACCGUUCAACGGUCAUAUAUUUGAAAUUGAAUUAUGAGUGGCAUGUUCAACGGUCAUGUAACCGUUGAACAACCAACUCACUUUUAUUUUUUUUCAAAAAUCAUACAAUAUUUCUAAUAUAUAUAUAUAUAUAUAAUUAAUGCAAAAUAGUUACACAAAAGAGGGCCAGCUCAGUUGGUGGCUAGCUCCCUUAUGGUUCCAUAAGGAAAGGAGUUCGAAUCCCCUUCCCUUCAAAAUUAAAAAUUAUUUUAAUUUUUACCCUAGCUCGCCAAGCUCGCCAAGCCCACCCAGCUUGAGGGCCUACGGGUCGGGCACAGGCCUUAGAUAUAUCAAGGGCCCGGCCAGGCCCGGCCCGGCCUGUUGGAGACCCUUACUUAAAAGUAAGUGGACCAGGCCUAACAUGGGCACUGAAUUCAAUACCUAGGUGCAUAAAGGUCUUCUGUUUAAGAAUAUGCCUCAAAGACUUACAAUGGUCAAUAGCUGACUACUCUGCCCAUAUGAUUCUUCGUCUGUGCCACACACGAAUCUUUUUAAUUAUUUUGUGUCAAACAUACCCGACUUUAUAGUUUCUGACUUCUUCAGGUUUUUGCUUGUUCCAUAUCUAGCAGGUUUUUAACUUUUAUGGAGUCAACAAUUUCAAGCAAGUGACAUCUUAAAUGUUGUUUUCUACAAAAAAACAAAAAAAAAAAACCAGAAAUGUAACUCACUUGUAUCCAAUCGAAGAUUGUAGCAAAAUUGAAUUGCAAACCAAACACACAAAAGAAGUCCAAAAGAAUAUUUCUUUCUUUCACAGUUCAUUAGCAAUAUUACAGUCUACCCGUGAUUAUUCACUCUCUAAACAAUGGUUAUGAAUCUAAAUGCAAAGCCUGAGGGAUACGAUUGGGAGUAGCUGAGUAAAACAAGGUCAUAUCAUCUCUGCUUGUCCCAUUCGACCUGAAAGAAAGCAAGGUAUUGCUUAUCAUGCCUCCACUGGUGCCUCUAGUUCUGCUGCAUUGCUUGCUGCCUCAUCAAUUGUUCUUAUUCAUGCUCCUACAGUCUUAGCAAACCUGGAUACACUCACUCCUGAAAUGGUACAACAAAUUAUCAUUUCUAUUUUUUCUGCUUUUGGGCUCUCAGGUAAUCAUACGAUUUCUUCUAAGCCAUGGUAUUUUGACUCUGGAGCUUCUAACCAUAUGACGAAUACUGUUUUUUCUCUUUCCAAUGUUAGAAAUUAUGAUGGAAAUCUGAAAAUUAACACUGUUGAUGGCAGUUCUCUGCCUAUCAGUGCUGUUGGUGAUCUUUCCUCUUCCUUAAUUGAUGUUUUUGUGUCUCCUGACCUCUCGAAAAAUCUUAUUUUUGUUGGUCAAUUGGUUGAUAAUAAUUGUAAUGUCAAUUUCUCCCGUUCUGGUUGUGUUGUGCAGGAUCAAGUGUCCGGGAAGAUGAUCAUGAAGGGGCCUAAAGUGGGACAACUCUUUCCUCUUCAUGUUUCUCCUUUCACUAUUAUUUCUAGUUUUCAUUUACUUUUCUUUGCAUGUAAUGUUGUUGGUUUUGGACAUAAGAUGUGGCAUAGACGUCUUGGUCACCUAAACUCUGAUGUACUUCGUACUUUGUUUAAUUCUGGAUUAUUGGGAAAUAAAACAUGUUCUUCUCUUGAUAUUUAUUUCGAUUGUACGUCAUGAAAACUUGGUAAAAGUAAAGUUCUACCUUUUCCUCAUUCCGCAUCUCAUGCCUCACAAUGUUUUGAUAUUAUACAUAGUGAUCUUUAGGGGAUUUCACCUAUUGUUUCUCAUGCACAUUAUAAGUACUUUAUUACUUUCAUUGAUAACUUUAGUUGUUUUACUUGGGUUUAAUUCCUCCGGGCUAAGGCUGAAGUUUUUUCAGUCUUUAAGCACUUUUUUGCACUUAUUGAGACUCAAUUCUCUACCAGCAUCAAGGUCUUGUGCUCUUAUUCUGGCGGAGAAUACAUGUCUAAUGAGUUUCAAGACUUUCUUCAAGGCAAAGGGAUCAUCUCUCAGCGUUCUUGUCUUUCGACACCACAACAAAACGGUGUUGCUGAGAGGAAAAAUUGCCACCUUCUUGAUAUGGUAAGAACUCUUUUACUUGACUCAUUGGUUCCUCCUCAUUUUUGGUGUGAAACACUUUCUACUGCAAUUCAUUUGAUCAAUCGCUUACUCUCUCCUAUGUUAAAUCAUGUUUCUCCUUUCUCUAAGUUGUUUGAUCAUUCUCCUUUAUAUUCUGAUCUUCGUACAUUUGGUUGUGUUUGUUUUGUGCAUCUACCUACUCAUGAACGACAUAAGCUUACUACUCAGUCUGUUAAGUGUGUUUUCUUGAUUAUGUUAUCCCUCACAAGGGUUAUGUUUGUUAUGAUCCCUGUGCCUGUUGUAUACGAGUUUCCUGGAAUGUGAUUUUCUUUGAAAUAUCAAUAUUUCUUUCCAUCUCAUGUUGAGCUCCAUCUAUAUCUGUAUCUCUUCUACCUAGUUUUUCCGAAUCCCCAACAAUUGUGGAAAGGUUCAAACCUGGUUUUGUGUAUGAAAGACGUAGUCAACAUGAGUCCGGUUCCACUUCCUCUAUGCCCCAUUCCGAUCUUGACCCGACGCCUGAUCCUACUCCUGCUUCCACCACUCUUCGUCGGUCUACUCGUCUUUCUUGACCCCCUGAUUGGUAUGGAUUCUUCUCUCCUGUCUCUCUUGUUACUACUUUAUCCAAUAUUUCUAUUCUCUUUUGCUACAAACAGGCCAUGGAACAUGAGUGUUGGCAAAAUGCAAUGCAAGCAGAACUUCAAGCACUUGAGGAGAAUCAUACUUAGGAUAUUGUUCCUUGUCCUGCUAUAGUCAAACCUAUUGGGAGUAAAUGGGUUUUCUCUGUAAAACUUUGUUUUGAUGGCUCUUUGGAUUAGUACAAAACUCGUCUCGUAGCUUUGGGUAACAAGUAGGAAUAUAGGGUUAAUUAUGAGGAGACAUUUGCUUUUGUUGCCAAAAUGACCACGGUUCGUACCAUCUUAGCUAUUGUUGCUUCACAAUCAUGGCAACUACAUCAGAUGGAUGUAAAGAAUGUUUUUCUUCAUGGUGAUCUCCAGGAAGAGAUUGACAUGAAGCUUCCCUCUGGUAUGAUUAAUUCUUCUCUCAUGAUGUUUGUAAGCUAAAACGUUCUUUGUAUAGGCUCAAGCAAGCGCCCCAAGCUUGGUUUGAGAAGUUUCGUAGUACAAUUCUUUCCUUUAGUUUUACCCAAAGUUAGUAUGAUUCUUCCAUCUUCUUCCACACAUCUGCGUUGGGUAUAGUCCUUCUCUUGGUUUAUGUGGAUGAUAUUAUCAUUACUGGCACUGACUGUGGUUUGAUUACUAAGCUUCAGCGGAUGUUACAUACAACUUUCCAUAUGAAAGAUCUUGGACAGCUCACAUACUUCUUAGGAUUGGAAGUUCAUCAUUGGGCUAGUGGUAUUUUCGUGAACCAGCAUAAGUAUAUUCAAGAUCUUAUCACUUAAUUUGGCUGGUUUGGCGGACACUUCUUCUGUUGAUACUCCUAUGGAGGUAAAUGUCAAAUACAGGAAAGAUGAAGGGAACCUUCUGGAUGAUCUUACUCUUUAUCGGCGCCUGGUUAGGAGUCUUAUCUACUUGACCACUACUCGACAUGAUAUCUCCUAUGUUCUUCAUCAGGUCAAUCAGUUUAUGACUUCUCCUCGACAUCUCCAUCUUGUUGCAGUUCGGCGUAUCAUCCGCUAUCUUCAAGGUUCACCUACUCGUGGGUUAUUCUUUCCUACCAUAUUCUCUUUUCAACUUGUUGCAUAUAGUGAUGCUGAUUGGGUUGGGUGUCUAGAUACAUGUCGAUCUACUAUGGGUUGGUGUAUUUUUUAGGUGAUGCCUUAAUUUCUUGGAGAUGUAAGAAACAAGAUCGUGUUUCUAAAUCCUCUUCUGAGGCCGAGUAUCGUGCCAUGUCUACUGCUUGUUCUGAAAUUGUAUGGCUACGUAGUCUUCUUGAGGAGCUUGGGUUUCCUUAGACUACUUCUACACCUCUUCAUGCUGAUAACACUAGUGCUAUUCAGAUUGCCACCAAUCCCCUUUUUCAUGAAUGUACCAAGCACAUUGAGGUUGAUUGUCAUUCUAUUCGAGACACCUUGGAAAGUUGGGUGAUAUCUCUUCCUCACAUCUCUUCUGAUCUCCAAGUGGCUUAUAUCUUCACCAAAGCUUUGACUCGACAAUGACAUCAAUUUUUUGUUGGCAAAUUGUUGCUGGUUGACUUACCAACAUCAAUUUGAGGGGGGAUGUUAAUGUUACCAUAUACAAUUUAGGAAUCAUAUUGGUUGUACAUAUAGGAAUGUUAAUGUUACCAUAUACAAUUUAAGAAUUAUAUUGGUUGUACAUAUAGGAAAAGAUUGACUUAUUGGCUUACCAUGUAUUUGUUAAUGUUACCAUAUACAAUUUAGGAAUCAGUUAGACUCCGUGUAUAGGAUAUAUAUCAUUAUAUAGAUAGAUGCAAUGAAAUAUAAAAAAACUGAUCAAAGAUAUCGGUUUUUGUGGAUUUUUUUUUUAGUAUUUUGACAUCUAUAUGAAUCAAUCUUUAAAAGAGAAGCAAGAACAAUCGAGUAUCAAAUAUUACCUUCUCUAUGGAAAUAUUUUAGGGCCAUGCUCAAGAUAAAAGGGCUUGAUGUCUUUAGCUGCAAAUAGAGGACGUCUCUAAUCAUUCGGAGCAGUUAGCAUGGCAGUCACAAGACCACCCGUGCUUGUUCCAGCUAUCACAUCGAAGUAGUUUGUAAUCCUUGCAUCAUCACCAUCCAGCUCCUGAUAUAUUCAAUAUUGUAUUGUUUGUGGUUAGUGUUACCUAAAUCCAUUAUUUUAUCUUAUAUUUAAAGAAAAGUCACUCCAAGAACCCUACUUUGAUAUGUAGUAGAAUAGAUAGAGAUGAAAUAUGUGCAAACGAUCAUCCACAUGAUAUUAAAUAAUUUAUACCUAAAGUUGUGAUUCCAGGAAAGCAAGGAUAGUUGCAGGAAUGAUGCCCCUGAUACCACCUCCAUCAAUACUAAGAAUGGUGAGGUUACCAUAAGUUUGGGGCUGGAUUUGAGUUAAGAGUGAUUUCUCCAUCUGAAAAAUGAUAAUUGUAGGAUUGUAUGCACUAACUUACAAGAAACUAAGAAACCCUUGGAUAAAAGGAAGAUGUGAAGAAAAGGAAAAAAGCUUGAGGCACCAAGAAAGAUGGCCUUGAGUAAGAAAAGGAUGAGAAAAAGGACACAAUGCUCGAGUUGUCUUCUUCUUGUGUUGGAAUAUUGCAUUGUCCAAAAUCUAUUUAUAGGCUAAUCGAGCAGCAAGGCAAGUGCUAUAGAAUGCGGUUACUGACGAGAAUUUGAAAAUCAAGAAAACUCGACGAACAUGAGAUGGUCAUGGAGUGCAUGCAUGGUCUUCUUUGACAUUGUCCAUGGUCCAGAUUACGUUUCUGUGACCACACUUUCCUACAUUUUUUGAAGACAGAAUUUUCUCGCGUGAAGACUUUAUGAUUGACGAGUAGGUAAUGUGAUAUGCUGAUGAAGUCAGCUUCUAGCACAGAGCCCCAUUAAUAGGAUAUUGUUGAAUUGGAGAAUGUUUCCACACACUCAAAAUGGGGCGUUGUUUUAGCAUCAAGAAAUUGUCAUCUUCAUUAGCUUGUUGGAAUUGAGAUGUAUGACUGAUGACUUGUUAGGAUUUAUUUGAAAAUAAAGUCCAAGCUUGCUGCUUCUUCGAGGGUAGCAUACCAUAUAAAGCUCUGUCUCUCUCUUUCUCUCUCUCUCUCUUAUAAGGACAGUGAUGAUCGUCCAAAGAAGAAUUCCCAAGCAGGCAGAGAUGCACAACUGCAAGUAAUUACACACAGAAUGAAGGCGGCUGGCCAGAUUUAACAUGAGAAAAUCAUGAUUAAUACAUGAUUCUUCACCAAUAAUUGAGUUGAAUGAGUCCACUAUUCAAAUCACAUCGUUCAAAAAAAAAAAAGAAAACAGAUAAUUCAAAUCACAUUAUUAAUGAGUGGGCCGGUCUCAUUUAAGAACACGAUUUGACAUGCAAAAUUAAUGGAUCCAUCCAUAUACAACAUCUACCACAACUCAUGAGAAGAAAUUCUGGUUAUUCUAAUAAUUCACCAUUUUUCUUCAUGGAAUUAGUUAUGAAAUAGUCCCAAUUUAGUACUAUUAGAGAGAGUAUCAAGGAAAAUAUUUGGUAGGUGGGCGGUGAAUCAAGUUAAUUAGAUGGUGAAGAAAAACUAAUGAGAGAUGAACUUAAUCAACAAGGUGUACCUCUUUUUUCUGUUGUUACCUCAUAUGCUAUGUAUAAUAUGCUAGUUAAUCCAACUGUGUUAGACAUUGCUGCUACUUAUAAUUGCCGAACAAAAGGUAAUAACUCUUGCUAAAAGUGGCCUUCAUCAUAAGUGUUCUGCAAACGAACUGCGUGCUUCUUGAAUGUGGAGAUAUGGCUGCUCCCACGAAGUUUCCAUACCACAUUUUGAAGUAUAGCUAGUUCUCGUUCUGAUAUUAAUCCACACUAAUGCUGGCAGAUUCCAACACUGGUAUAAUACCAUGUUUUCCAUCUUUUUUUUUUUCCUGUAUAUACACAUAUUAUAAAGUCCAUGUUACAUGUUUAAUAACCAAAGAAAGAUAAAUUAAUGAACAUGCAAAUGAAUGCUCAUGCUUACAAGAUGAUUAUUUUGAUCUUCUAUGAUAGUGAAACGACGUUGAUCUCUUCUAUAUAUAUAAUUAGUACAACUAGCAGUCUGCUUUGUCAUGCUGUUGCAUCCUUCUAUUCUUGUAUUUGUGUACUGGGGACAAAUCGUUCUUUGUAUUUGUGUACAAGGGACAAAUCAAACCAUGAGGAUCACAUGACAACACGACACCAUGCUCAUCACAAAUGUUCAUUUGCUCAUGAAACAUAUGGAGCGGGCAACCAGGACAAAUCGACUAAUCAUUACAUGCACGGCAUUAUGUUCAUGAAACAUAUGCUAAAUAUGGCGUAAUAAAUUUUAAAAAAUAAUUAGAGAAAGAGUGUACGUAAGGGAAAAAAAAAAAAAAAAAAAAACUAAUUAAAAACAUGAUGAAGAUGACAAGAUGGUGAAAGAAAUUUUUCACCAAACAUUUGAUUAUUAACUAUAGAAACAUUUGACUAUGUAACCCUGCUACCUUUUUUUAAUAUUGGGGUAGGUACUGUCGUUUCAUCGAAAAUGAUGUUGUAUUACUUGGCAAACAAAGAUGGUGGUAAGUUUGGAAUAAUGCAAUAUAUGAUUUGCAUGCUUUAUUCCUUGGUAAUAUUAUGAUUUUUUACAAAAAUAUUCUUUAAUCGACUUGGGCAGUGUCGGGUCUAGAAAGGCUGCAUCAGUGCCUAGUGAUUCUCAAUCAGAUGUAUAUCUGGACCAUUAGGGAACCAAGAUAAUAUUUUUGUGUUUGUGUCGCUGUUGUCCUUUAAAACUAUUUAAUAAUUUGUUUUCUCAUGCUUGUAGUUUUUGAAAUAAAGUUAAUUCAGGUAGACCAGUUUUUAAUCAGACCUCAAUGCAACAUAUCUUCCCAUCCUACCCAAGAGAAGCUACUGAAAGCUCCUAUGACUGAAGAGAGACAACAAGGAUUCUAUCCUUCUAGAUCGACCUAGCACUCUCUUUUAGAUUCUAUCCAUCUAUUUGUUCUCAUCUUAUUUCUGGGAAGUUCUGUCUUACCCUAAUUAUCAUAUAUAUAUAUAUAUAUAUAUAUAUAUGUUUCAACCCAUCUCAGUGUCUCUUGUAGAUUUAUAAAGGAUAUAUAAGUAUUAUUUCUAGUCCAUUCUAAUUAAUUGCCAUUCCCAUAAUUUAGGUUGAUACAAAAAUAGAACUUAUUCAAGAAAAUAAUAGAAAUCAUUCAAUCUUGUCCUUAAAAUGUUGUGAGAAAUAGAGGUCGCACUAAAUCACAAUGAGUCUGAAUUGCAUAGACGCAAGCACAAAAUCAAAACCAUAGAAGAAAUUCAGUAAAAUCUAUGGACUUACAAUACCUUAAUACUAAAAAUGCUUAAAUUGGUUAUUAAAAAUAUCCCAUUUGGGAUUUAUUUUUACAAUAAGAAUAGUGAAUUAAAAGGCAGACAAUCAGAAACGGGACUCCAACUUAACUAGAAAUUCAUUACAACAGUAGGAAUCAUUCAUAUCAGACAACGACCAAUCCUUUAGAAGCGGCAGCAUGUCCAUGUGGUGACCUAGUAUCUCUACGUUGCUUCUCUUGGGAGAGUAGUCUUGCAAAACUGAAAAAUUAGAAGGAUUUUUUAUUAUUAUAUGAUUAGUUAAUUAACUAAGAAAGCUCUAGAAUAAAACUCUAAAAAUAGUUAGAUACCUUGUGAGAGCCUCCUCAUUGGUCUCGUGAUUUGAAGGCUCAAAGAUACCUGUAUCCAGGUUAACCCUUGAGACCCUUUUCUUUAACAACUCCUCACCAAUUUUCACAAGAUCAUCCAAAUUUUCCUUUGUGGCUAUGUCGACUGAUGAUGUUAUACCCCUCAAUGUAUCAUCCUGUAUUUACCCUUUGUGUCAGUAUCAGUGGUAGACAAGGAACAGAAGAAGCAAUUGACUUUCAGAUAUUUUUAGGACUGAGGAAAUUAUGAAGAAGAACAAAAUUUAAAUAAGAAAUUUGACUUUGUAAGUGACGGUAAAUUUAUGAAACCACAAGCAGCAAAGCUGUACCUGUAUCCGAAGAUAGCUUUUUUCCGAGUGAAGGGCUUGAAAAAGCUCUGAAAGGUGUAAGUCGAUCAUAUCUCCGCUUGCUUGGGUAAACACUUUCACUAAGGGGGUGGAACCACCACUGGUCAACCACCCCAACACACCCCACUUGGCUGCUUCAUCAGCAUUGUAUUUUUCUUCGGCUUUUGAUGACCCAGUUCCCAAGGAUAUUACUAGAAACCGGCCAUAGUCCAUUGGCUUUAUAGGAAAGAAAUCAGGACUACCCCGGAUGAUCUCCUUGGUCACUUCCCCAAUAGCAACCAAAGUCUGAAACAAGAAUCAAUAAUUAAUUGAAUUGUGAAAAGAAAAAUAAAACUGGGAAGUCUAAGAUGCAACUUCAAAGUUAAUGAGUACCGGAUUAUUUGCAGCUACACCACCAUCAAUGAGGUUGAAUUCUCUAACUCUCCCGGCAGGGUCUUUGGUUUCGAAAUAAUGAGCUGGAAGAUAAGUGGGUGCUGCUGAGGUUCCAAUACAUAUAUCUGACAGUAAGGCAUCUAAGCUUGGUCUGCUCUUCACCUAGAGCAGGGAAAUCAAGCAUAUAGUAUUAAUAUGAAAGUUAUUAUAGCUCCCGUCAUUCAUUACAAUCUCUUAAUUUUCAUAGUUUGGAUUAGAAGGAAAUGAAAUUGUGGAAAGAAGAUGAACCUGAUAAGUCGAAAAUAUUGUUGGCUGAAGGCGCUUGAUGUCAAAUGUUGGGAUAACAACAUUAGUAAGGGUCUGGUGUAAUCGUGUUUCACCUAGUUUUUCUUUAACAAGGUUGUGCAGAUACUUCCCAUCAUAUUUUGGUCCUGAUAAGGCUGUAACUACCUUUGUAACAUGAGGAAUUGGAUCAUGACUGCAUUUAAAAGAAAGAUCAUGUUAAUAACUACAAAAAAUAUUGAAGUCUAGUUAAUUUUAUAUACAUAAAUACUAGCAUCCUGUCAUCUUAAUCAAGAUGUUCAUCAUGAUAUAUUUGUUACCUGUGCUGUGGGAAGAUCUUAGGGCAGUGAUCAAGGUAGAAGUCCUUGAUAUCUUUGGCAGAAAACAAGGGUCGGCCAGUGUUUUCAUUGGGAGUAGUUAGCAUGGCAGUCACGAGGCCACCGGUGCUUGUUCCUGCAAUCACAUCAAAAUAAUCUGAAAUUCUCGCAUCUUCACCAUCCAGCUUCUGCACCAUGGCCAAACAAUCUAGUGUUAGUACGUAUAAAAUAUAUCCAAUAUAGGAUAUAGGUUUCAGAUUAGGAAUAUGCUAAUUUUAAAAGGCAAAUGGAAAAGCCAUAUUUUGUUAUUAUCAUGUAAAACCUUAUAUUUCCUACCUGAAGCUCAGACUCCAGGAAGCCAAGGACUGUUCCUGGGAUAAGCCCUCUUAUUCCACCUCCAUCGAUGCUGAGAAUGGUGAUUAGAUUUCCAUAAGUUGGAGGCUGUAGGGGUGAUUUUGGACCUUCUCCCAUUAGGGAUGGAGUGAUGGAGGUAUGAACUUGAGUGAUAGAGGAGAGAAAUGAGAGACUUGUUAUUUCAAGAGACUUAGAAUAGAAUUGAAGUUUCUGCAGGAGACUUAGAAAUGUAGAGAGACUUGGAGUUCUCUUUGAUAACUAGACAGGAGUAUUUAUAGACUCCUUAGCAUAUAUCCCUCAUUUUUCUUGCUCAUACUUUUCUAAAUGGACCUGGUUCAAGUUGGACCGCGGAUUCAUCAUUUGGGAUAAGUUGAAAAGUCCACAAGCAACCAGUAUCUUCUUGUUUUAUAGAAGCUAGCCAAAUGGUCAUAGACAUGACUCCUGGCAACUGUAGGUAAGACCAAAGAGAAUAGCUGGUAAGAAGGAUUAGGGGACUCAAUAAAGGUUGAGAUAGGAUUUUUUCCUAACUAAUGAAGUUUGUGAACAGGUCAUGGAAACACUUAAGUCUUAUGAAAUGAUUCUGGUUUCUAGCUAUGUCUGGUGCAAAGAAUCAUGAUGGAGACAAGGCUAAAUGUGCAAACCAAAAAAAAAAAAUUAUUAUUAAAUGCACACAAUUUUGUGUUUGUAAAUCGAUGUGCUUGACUGGGGAUGCCGAUGAUUUUGAAAGAACACCAAUCAGGGCAAUGAAAAGUACUGGCCAACACGGCACUGUGAAUGACAAGGAAUGAUAAUUCAAUGUUAAGCAGCAAGGUUUUAUAUAAUUUCCUGUUAGACAUGAUUUUUUGACCUAAUAAACUCAUGCUUUUCAUAUUUAAUAUCUGUAAAAUUGUACACACGAUCAUUGGCUUCUAUAGUUUGUAGAAAACUACAUGGUUUUCCAAUACUUUUUAUAAUUACAGUUCUGAGUCCUGUGAAUUUUAGAUUAUGUGCAGUGCAAAGACUUGGUUGACUGGUAGUUAUGGCUAACUAAAAAUAGGUUGUAUUAUAUUAAACUACAAAAAGUUUUCAGUACUUUUAUCUUUAUCAAUCUGUGUUAGGCACUUAUUUAGCAAGGUUGGAAGUAUGAAGGGUGACAGCAUCCCCUAUGGACUUCACUUUACCUCGACCAAACAGUGGUCAAUUGGUAUUUAAAAGUUAACUUCACAUCUAUGAACGAAAAAAUCAUGUUUGUUUAUCAUGGUUAGGCAAAGAUGCAACGCAUCCGUGAAGUGAAAAAAAGAAAGGACUGGUCAACUAAGGAAAUCUGUUGGUUGCCGUAGUGAAUUUGCGAACCAUUCACUGGAAACUUCAAAUUUCGAACACAGCAUGGCCUAUUCACUUUCAUGUUGAGCUCAAUCUAGAACAAAAAUAAUACUAUUACAGCACUAUUGGAACAGCUCUAAAGAAUUGGGGAUUGAUGCUGGAAAUACUUUGUUCCUUAUGGUCUUUGCAUGUUAAUCUUAGCUGCUGGGCUUAGCUGGGCAUUAAUAUUCAGAAAUUGUGAGAACUCCAUGCCUGCCCGUAUUUCAAAUCCCAAAUUUGACCCAAACCCUAACUUAAUUGAAAGCAGUUUAGAUUUGAUCUUUUCAAUCAGUGCCCUUGAGUCCUUGACCAUUCCACCCUUCCAAAGCCAUCCCUUCGUUUCUAUUUCAUGGAAGCUAGCUAUCUAUGCUGUAAUGCCAUCAAUCCAUUCCUAACUCUUUGAGAUGCUUUAUCACCCCCAAAGUCCAUUUGAUUACAUUUAUUACUUAUACAGACUUGAUCUGAUCAAGGAAAUAAAUAAUGGACGCAUUCUAUACAAUUUAUUUAAUGAACUCUACUUCUACUAAAAAGUUUUGUUUCAUUAUAUGUAGCUUUGAUCUCAACUUAAAUAUCUGCUGCAAUUCAUAUAUGAGAUAGGGUUUUCUUGUCCUCAUAGUUUGCACAACUUUCUACCAAAGAAGUUCACAAUGUAGAGUAUGAUUUAAAGGCUGGGAUGAACUGAGAAAUGAGUCAAUGUUGAAAAUCUAAAGGUAUUUAUUAGUAUAGUAGGGCAGUUUUGUAUUGGUAAUAAAUCUGUUGUAUUUUCUGUUUUGUUCUGUUUUGUAAUCUGGUGAGUCACUUACGAGUGUAGUUCUUUAGGCUCUAUAUAUAGGCAUGCUUUUGGGUAUUCUGAACUGAUCUUCAGAAAACAUGAAUGAAUAGAAGAUUUUCGUUGUAAACCCUUUCCCUUUUUCUUCAGAAACAACAGUAUUGAAACCCUUAAUUAACUAGCAUUUUUAUUUACUCUGGAUGAAGAUGGGACUGAAGGAAGAGUGCUUGAAGUUAAUUUCCUUUGUAACCCAUCCAUUUUGCUUCAGCUAAGAUGAAGGAAGAAGAGAAAUCAGCCAAUAUAAGGUAGAUUCAAUUGGAGUUAGCGUUCUCUUACUUUAGCUUAUUGGAUCCCUAGACCCAGCUAAUUAACCAGGAGCACCACCCACCAGCAGUUUAUGUCCAUUGAUAAAUACAAUCCUAGUUAGUUCUACACUGCCACGACCUUAACCCCUGCCUUGAACACCAGACCUUGCUGUCCGGGAACGCUGGCCAGUAAUGGUUAAUAGAGUCCUAGGGAAACCACAGAAAAAUAAGACAUUCAUAGAUUUUUACAUACGUUCAUGGACUCUUGUAUUAACAUUUUUGACUCGUGUAACAUUUGAGGAAAAAAGUGUAAAAAGAAAAUAAAGAAGGAAAUUAAUAGAAGAAAAGAAAAUAUGAAGAAAAAUAAAUAAAAUUUUAAAAUUAAUUAAUUAUUUUUAUAUAUUUUUUUAAAAUUUUAACUAAUUUUAAAAAUAUUCAAAUUUUUAGUAUUUUUUAUUAUAAUUUCAAAUUAAAAAAUUAUAUUAAACUUUUUUUUUAUUAUAAUUUCAAAUAAAAAAUUUCGGCACCCUAGUUUCUUCGGAGAUUUCUCUCUUCAAAUUCCUCUCUUCCCUUCAAAUUAUAUUCUCUCCAGUUCCCAUGGUUGGAACAGCAGCCAGUACUUGGGUAUGCUAUGUCAUUUUGGUGGUGGUGGCGUUUUGGUGAGUUGUUUGUCACAAGCGCUCUGAGGCUGGUGGAGUAGUGGGGUUGGUGUGGCACUAUUGUUUUGUAGGUGGGGAUUGAAAUGCUUAAAUUCUGAUUCAAGCUCUCUCUCAUGUCUUUAUUCUUGGACUUUCAGCGCCUAUUUCUUCUGCCACAAAAGAGCACUAUAGUCCUUCUGAAACUUUCACAAUAUUACCCACCAUCAAACCUAAGAUAAUAUUUCACCCAACUUGCCUCUUCUGUUUUUGAUAAAGUAACAAUCCGUGAUUGUGUGGGUGCCAACAAAGAGGAAAAUAAUUAAUUACUAUCGAGUUUUAGAUUUAAUAACUGUAACCAAAGAAACUGGUUCUGGGUUCUUGCAUUAAAUUGUGUUUAAGCAUCAUGUCUAAUUCGUUUCAUUUGUUUUGCAUUAAAUUGCAUUAAACAUAUACAACUUUUUUCAUUUUUCGGAUUGAACAAGUUGGUUUCUACUUUCUAGGGAGGAUACUAGGUUUUGUGAUAGUAUGAAGCUAUUUGAUGUUUUAAGUGUGUAAAGAAGAAGUUAGAGGACUCCCUGUACUCUUUUGAUGAAGUAUGUAUGGGCAUUGAAGUCUUGUACGUUAAGCAAAUAAAGAAGUUGUAUAUUGAUAUAAUAAUACGAGGCAUGUACAUAUAUAACCUUAUGGAGAUCUUUCUGGUCCACUUAAUUUCAAUGAUGUGUAUUUGCUUUGAAUUUGAAUUCUUGGAUAUGGCCAUCUUUGGAGGAAUACAAUACUGUAUGAUCUAAAAUUUAACAGUAUCCAUUUUCUUUGGCAAGAAGAUAAUCCCAUAGAGAGUGUGGGAACUUUAGGUAAGAGGACUCUCAAAGAAUUGUAGGUAAGAAUAGUUAGGUGAAGUGGUCAAGCUGAACAUGAGAUGGAUUAUACUAACCAGUCAAAAACACUAUGUAACAAAGGCGAUACUUUGUUUAUAAAUAACUGUGGUUCAAGUGUCUAGCGACAUGAUAAGGGGGACAUACCUGGUUGUUGCGAUCAAGAAUUGGUAAUUGACAUUCUGAACAUACUUUAUUAUCAUUAAUUUUUUGUGAGAGGUGGUGCCUUAUCUGGUUGCGGAGGAGUCAAUUGGUGCGGCGAUUAAUAGGUAAUGGCAUUUCCAUGUGCCAACAGCCAAUAAUACUAAUGACCAUGAAAGCGUCAAUCAGGGUGGCGCUGAUUGCAGGGCAACCUUGUGCAUCAAGAAUGAAUAGUACUAGAGAAUUCAACAAAUUAAGGUAUACCAUUCUGUUAUGCUUCCAUAAAACUUUCAUCGCUGAAUGGGAGAAUAGUUUGGUUUUGACAACUUAGACUGUAGAAGUCUAAGCUUCCAUCUCGUUUUAGCCUAACUUUUUCCUUGUCCAAUAGUUUAUACUUUCUUUCUUAUUUUCCGUAAAUUUUUCGAUGCUAAAAACAUAGGCUUGUUCACACAUUACUUCUAAUUAAACAGCAUGACAAUAAAAGACCACUAGAUGUUUUUCAGUUGCAUCUCUUUCAGCAGGUUUCAUAAUUUUGAAAUAUAAAAGCAAAAUCCUAUUUCUUUUUCCCCUUAAUCACUGCACCAUGUAUUCCAAGUAGUAAUUCUGUUUUGAGCAAGAUUUGCAUUUCGUAUGCAUAACAACUUCCAUAUGCAGUUACUGCUCCUUGUGUGACAAAUGGGGUUGAGAGUUGGGGUAUGCUUAUCCUUUUACUGUCAUGGUGAACUGAGAAUGGUUAGUUGUCCAUAAGCUCUGGGGCUUUGUUGGGAGGAAGAGGAAGAAGAAGUCCUUUUACUGUCAUAGAAAACUGAGAAUGGUUAGGUCCAUGAGCUCUAGGUCUUUUCUGGGAAGAGGAAGGCUAAAAGGAAGAAAAAGAAGAUACAACUGAUGUACGAAGAAGAAGAAGAAGAAGAAGAAGAAGAAGAAGAAGAAGAAUCGUUGAAUGGGCACCUAGCCUUCACCGUAUCUUAUUUGAUAACUGGAACUGGGACUAUAUAUAACUUGAAUAUUAAGGCAUACUACUCAAAUUUUCCACACUUGCCCUAACAAAUAAAAUAAGAUUAUUGUGGAAGAUGCUAACAUAUAUAUCCUAAACUAUUUUAAAUGUUAAUUGAGGAAUGCAACAUCACUUCAAUAUUGUUGUCUUCAAACAAGGCACACAACACAUCAAGUUAUCACACUACAUGGCAUUUAUUUAAUAAUAUACUAAUUAAUUGAACUGGAACUGAUAAACUUCAAUUUAAGAUUAUUUCUGAUUAAUUUGCUGCACAUCCAUCUGGGAUUUGGCAUCAUGAAGGCGUUUCUCUUGUGACAGUACUUCUGCAAACCUGUGACAUUGAGAGCAAUUCGAUCAGUAUUAAUGAAUGAUAGAAGAACAGGUGGCAUAUGUAGAGGGGCUUGUUUAUUAAUCCGGCGUAUUGUUGUUUGUGAUCACAUGCGUUCUCAUCUGAAAUGAAAUUACUAUGUAGUUUUGAUUCAAUAAUUAGUGGACAGAAUUUUAUACAGUAAACAGAUUUACAAUGAGAACUGAAUCUAAGACUAAUUUGAUACCUCAUGAGAGCCUCUUCAUUUGUCUGUUCACUUGAAGGCUCCAAAUUUGAUACCACAAUCAGUUGGCUUUAUAGAAAAGAAAUGAGAAUUUCCCCCACAAAUCUCGUUAGUCACUUCACCACUGAAAAUUAAAGCCUGAAAGGGAUCAAUAGUAGGUCACAAUUAUUAUAACAAUUCAUCACUCAUUUGUUUUUCAGUAAUAGAUAUACAAUACUGGAUUAUUGGAAGCUACUGUUAUUUCGACAUUAAAAUUAAGUGGGUGCCCACUAACCUAGUGUUUUAAUUUUUAUCCACUUAUAGCCAAUUAAAGAAUGCCUAAAAUAGUUACUAACUGUUGUAAGGAUAUUUACCCUUUGAUGGAGUGGGUAAAUAAGAAUAAAACAAUUAUUAGAAUAACACGUUCAGAAUAGUUUUCUGAACGAUUAUUCUUAGCCCUAUUCUCCUAUCUAUAAAAGAAAGAUACAAAACCCCUUUUGUGAGUAAGUUCUCUUCCAUCAAUUAAAGGAAAUAAUUAUGUGUAUUAAAAUUUGAUAAGGAGAAGAAGAGAUUAAGAAUUUAAGGUUUACAAAUUGAAGGGGAUCUCUCUAUUUAACAUGGCUGCGUGUUCUUCAAACGGUAUGUAAUCAAUUCUUUAAAUUUUUGAGAUGUGUUGAAUUCAAUGAUCUUUAAUUUGUGUGUUAAUUUUCGCGUUAAAUACUAACAAUUGGUAUCAGAGCCAAGUUGAAUUCAAAUAUUCAUAAUCAUUGUUUUAUAAGGAUUAAAUUUUUGAGAUUUUAUCUUCAAUUAAUUGGUCUCACCAAAACGAAUAGGAGAAAAUCUAAACAAAAUAAAGACCAACCUCAGCGCGUAGAAUGAAGGCACUGUGUCUUCCUUGCAACGCCGACUGGAGCAACGCAGUCCAAGCGCCGUUUCAUUUUGGGCGCCGCUACCAAUGACAGGGAUGACACUUGCGAUGCCGGUGAGGGGCGCCGUUUUGGCGCCGGUCCGGUGGUCGAAAAAGGUGUCAUUUGGCGCUGUUUCAGACAUUCAAGAAGUGUCAUUCAAGGAGCGCAACAAGGCCAUUCUAGGGGCCCUUCAGGGGCCAGUCCAAGCACCAUUUGCAGCGUCGUUCCAGGCGCGCUUUAGGCGCCAUGCCAGGCGCAUUCCAGGCGCUCCAGCGAUGUCGUAUUUAGGUGCUCCAGAAGCGCCAUUUCAGGCAAUCUAGAUGGCGUGUAGGCGCUGUUUUUUAAGCGUUUCAAAUGUCGAUGAGAAGGGCCAGUUUUGGGCGCUGCAGGCGUCCGUUCCAAGCGCUGUUCAAGGAUCGUUCUCUAAUGCAUUAUUAGACAAUUUAUAAAUGUAAGGUUAACUAGUUUAGAUAGUUGCCAAAGUAACCUAAAUUAGUGAGCCUUGUAUUUAUUAAAUUGCAUAAAAGAAUAAAGGGAGACUUGUAAAAUUCUUAAUAAUUCUCUUUAUAAUUAGGAGAAUGAGACUAGCCCAAAGUAGAGUCAAUUUCUGCUAAUUAUUAAUUAAUGCUUUUAUUUUGUGUUGCUUAGAAAAGUAAAAUGGAUACCCAAAGGUAACAUAUAAAUGACACAAAAUAGUAAAGUAUUUUAAGCUCCCUCCAAGUGAACACUGGAUAUGUUAAAAUUUACCCAAAGGAGAAUUUUAACGAUAUCAAUAGUUCAUUGUUAUUUAUUUUAUACUUGAGGCCUUAUUGUGAGCAUUGUUCUAUUUUGUACAGUUUCCACUUCGUUACACUCUCUUGCAUCUAGAAUGACUGUUUUUGAUGGGUCAAACUUUUCUGAAUGGUAUGAAAGGGUUCAAUUCUCACUGGGCGUAUUGGAUCUUGACCUGGCUUUAAUAACUGAUAAACCUCUUGAAGCUAUGGAUGAUAGUACUCCGGAGUAGGUGGAACAAUCAAAAGCCUGGGCAAAAUCAAACAGACUCAGUUUGAUGUUUAUGAGAAUGACUAUUGCCAAUAAUAUCAAGACCUCUCUCCCUUAAACCCAGUCUGCCUCGGAAUUUCUGAAAUCUGUUGAGGACCGCUUCAAACGCGCUAAUAAGUCCCUUGCAGGCACAUUGAUGGCUGAAUUGACCACCAUGAAAUAUGAUGGUAAAAAAUGUAUUCAACAACAUAUUUUAAACAUGACUGAAAAGGCUGCAAAGCUUAAGGCACUAGGCAUGAGUAUGGAUGAGUCAUUUUUGGUACAAUUUGUCCUUACCUCACUUCCAUCACAGUUUGCUCCAUUCAAGAUCCACUAUAAUACUAACAGCAAUCAGUAGAACUUGAAUGAGCUCACCAGUAAAUGCAUACAAGCGGAAGUGAGAUUAAGACAAGAAGGACAUAAUCUUGCCCUUGCUGUAACUCAUGGAGUCACAAAGAAGAAAGGAAAAUUCAGAAAAGGAAAGAAUUUUCCACCUAAGAAAAGUGGAUCUAGGGAAGGUAGUCAGAGUCAUGAUGAAAAAUUCAUGGUAAGUUGCUACUUUUGUGGCAAGAAAGGGCAUGUGAAGAAGGAUUGUAUCAAGCGCAAGGCUUGGUUCGAAAAAAGAGGUAUAAAUCUUUCUUUUGUAUGUUAUGAAUCCAAUCUUGCUGAAGUUCCUUCAAAUACUUGGUGGAUCGAUUCUGGAGCCACAACUCAUGUGACUAAUUUAAUGCAGGGAUUCCUUACAACCAGGAAACUGAAGGAAAGUGAAAAGUUCCUCUAUAUGGGAAACCAUCUCAAGGUCGAAGUGGUAGUUGUUGGUACCUAUCGCUUACUCUUAGACACGGGUCAUAUGAUGGAUCUUUUAAACACUUUUUAGGUACCUUCUAUUUCUAGGAAUUUAGUUUCUUUGUCCAAAUUAGAUGUUGCUGGAUAUUAUGUUUUAUUCAGUUCUGGACAAUUAAGUUUGUUGUUAAAUUUUAUUACAGUUGGUUUUGGUAUUUUAUGUGAUGGUUUAUAUAAAAUUUCCUUGAAUCAUGAAUUUGCACAAGCUUUGAUAACCCUGCAUUCAAAUGUUGGUUCAAAACGUGGCUUAAUUAAUGAAAAUUCUUCAAUCUUGUGGCACAGAAGAUUAGGGCAUAUCUCUAGGGAAAGAAUUGAGAGAUUAGUGAAUGAAGGAAUUUUACAAAAUCUUGACUUCAUUGAUUUUCAGGUAUGCCUGGAUUGCAUAAAGGGAAAGCAAACUAAACAUACAAAGAAAGGUGCCACAAGAAGUAAUGAGCUUCUUGAGAUAAUUCAUACGGAUAUUUGUGGACCACUCUAUGUUCCAUGUUUUACAGGAGAAAUAUUUUAUCACCUUUAUAAAUGAUCUAUCUCGUUAUGGUUAUGUUUAUCUAAUGCAUGAAAAGUCUCAGGCCAUUGACAUCUUUGAGAUGUUCAUUAUAGAGGUCGAGAUACAAUUAGAUAAAAAGAUUAAAAUUAUGAGAUCAAAUCGAGGUGAUGAAUAUUAUGGCAAAUAUGAUGAAUCAGGACAAAAUCCUAGUCCUUUUGCCAAAUUCCUUGAAAAGCGUGGCAUUCAUGCUCACUACACAAUGCCUAGUACGCCACAGCAGAAUGAUGUUGCUGAAAGGCGUAAUCGCACAUUAAUGGAAAUGGUUAGGAGUAUGAUGAGUUACUCUCCUGUACCUAUUUCAUUGUGGGGUGAAGCCUUAAAGACUGCAAUGUAUAUAUCUUGAGUAGAGUUCCUAGUACGACAGUUCCAAAAACUCCUUUCGAGUUAUGGACUGGUAGGAAACCUAGUUUGAGACAUAUACAUAUAUGAGGUUGUCCAACGGAGGCAAGAAUCUAUAACCCACAUGAGAAAAAACUUGAUUCGAGAACGAUAUCUGGACAUUUCAUUGGCUAUCCGGAUAAAUUGAAAGGGUACAGAUUUUACUGUCCUAACCACAGUGUGAGAAUAGUUGAAACCCGUAAUGCCAGAUUCUUAGAGAAUGGCGAAAUCAGUGGGAGUAAUGAACCAAGAAAGGUAGAUAUUGAGGAGAUAAGAGUGGAUAUCCCACCACCCUUUUUACCUCAAGAAAUUAUUGCCCCUCAACUUGUUCAACAAGUUGAGGAACAUGAGCAACAUAAUAGAGAUGGUUCAUUACCACCAGAAAAUAUUGCCAUUGAAAAUAUUGUAGAGCCACCACAACUGGCACCUUUAAGGAGAUCUCAAAGAGAAAGGAGACCUGCCAUUUCAGAUGAUUAUGUGGUGUAUCUAUAGGAAUCUGACUUUGAUAUUGGGAUAAGGAAGAAUCCGGUUUCAUUUUCACAAGCCAUGGAAAGUGAUGAUUCUAGUAAAUGGAUGGAAGCUAUGAAUGAUGAGUUGAAAUCUAUGGCCCAUAAUGGUGUCUGGUAGUUGUAAACCCAUAUGCUGUAAAUGGGUGUUUAAGACAAAGCGCGACGCUAAAGGCAAUACCAAAUGAUUUAAGGCCAAACUUGUGGCCAAAGGUUUCACUCAAAAGGAAGGUAUCGAUUAUAGAGAUACCUUCUCUCCAGUUUCCAAGAAAGAUUCACUUAAAAUCAUCAUGGCACUUGUAGCUCAUUUUGAUUUAGAGCUACAUCAAAUGGAUGUGAAAACUACAUUCUUAAAUGGGAAUUUGGAUGAAGAUAUCUACAUGGAACAACCUGAGGGGUUCGCAAAGAAAGGAAAUGAACACCUAGUUUGCAAAUUAAAGAAAUCCAUUUACGGUAUUAAACAAGCUUCCAGACAGUGGUAUAUUAAGUUCAAUAAUACCAUUACAUCUUUCGGAUUUAAAGAGAACACUGUUGAUCAGUGUAUAUAUCUGAAAAUUAGUGGGAGCAAGUUUAUAUUUUUGAUACUGUAUGUGGAUGAUAUUUUGCUUGCUAGCAGUGAUCUUGGUUUAUUACGUGAAACCAAGGAACAUCUCUCUAAAAACUUUCAAAUGGUUGAUAUGGGUGAGACAAACUAUGUUAUUGGCAUCGAGAUAUUUAGGAAUCGAUCUCAAGGAGUGUUAGGUUUAUCUCAAAAAGGAUAUAUUGAUCGAGUUUUAGAGAGAUUUAAUAUGCAGUCAUGUUCAUCAGGUGUUGCACCUAUAUUGAAAGGUGACAAAUUAAGUAAAAAACAAUGCCUAAGGAAUAACAUGGAAAGGGAGCAAAUGAAGAAAAUUCCUUAUGCAUCAGCUGUGGGAAGUUUGAUGUACGCUCAAACAUGUACAAGACCAGAUAUCAGCUUUGAUGUUGGCAUGUUAGGAAGAUACCAAAGUGAUCCAGGACUCAAACACUGGAAAGCAGCAAAGAGGGUGAUGAGGUACUUACAAGGGACAAAGGAUUAUAUGCUCACAUAUAAAAGAUCAGAACAAUUAGAGAUUGUAGGUUACUUGGAUUCUGAUUAUGGUGGUUGUCUCGAUAGCUUAAAGUCAACUUCAGGAUUUGUCUUUAUGCUGGCAAAUGGGGCAAUAUCGUGGAAGAGUGAAAAAUAAUCAAUUACUGCUUCAUCCACGAUGGAGGCCAAGUUUGUUGCUUGUUUUGAAGCCUCAAGUCAUGCUUUAUGGUUAAGGAAUUUUAUCUCAGGACUUGGUGUUGUCGACUCUAUUGCUAUACCUUUGAGAAUAUAUUGUGAUGACAUCGCAACUGUUUUCUUCUCUAAGAAUGGAAAAUUUUCUAGUGGAUUGAAACACAUAGAUUUAAAGUAUUUAGUUGUUAAAGAAAGAGUCCAGAAACAACAAGUGUCAAUUGAAAAUAUUAGGACCACACUUAUGGUUGUUGAUCCAUUAACUAAAGGAUUACCUCCAAAGGCAUAUUUGGAACAUGUUAUGAGGAUGGGUCUUUUGAGGAAUCCAUACUAUGUAUGAUAAUGAAUGGUGGUUAUGUAAUUGACAAUUUACGCAUUAAAGAUUGUUUUUGUUUAUUCUUGUUUUCAAUUAUGGGUGCACGUUUUAUUGUUUGAUAAACAAGAAUUAUCCCGACAAGACAAAUUACAGGGCCUGUUUGGCAUUAAGGACUGGGUUAGUUAGGGUUAUUGAUGUGUGGUGCAUGGAAGGAAACAUGACAUUAUGGUUAUGUGACCGCCAUGACUCGCAUUUAUGAUCUAAACUGAUUCAGUAUUAUGGUAUAUGAUUUUGGACGUAUUGGCUAUGUUUAUUGAAAUCGUGAUCACGUGUCAAAUUUAUUUUCCAGUAUAUAUUUUAUAUAUAAAAGUAUAUAUAUUAUAGUUUUCAUAAUCGGUUUAGUGGGCAAGUGGGAGAAUGUUAUUUCCACGUUAAAAUUAAGUGGGUGGCCCACUAACCUAGUGUUUUAAUUUUUAUCCACUUAUAAAAGUUUUUAGCCAAUUAAAGAAUGCCCAAAAUAGUUAAUAAUUAUUGUAAGGAUAUUUACCCAUUGAUGGAGUGGGUAAAUAAGAAUAAAACAGUUAUUAGAAUAACACGUUCAGAACAGUUUUCUGAAUAGUUAUUCUUGGCCCUCUUCUCCUAUCUAUAAAAGAAAGAUACAAAACCCCUUUUGCGAGUAAGUUCUCUUCCAUCAAUUAAAGGAAAUAAUUUUGUGUAUUAAAAUUUGAUAAGGAGAAGAAGAAAUCAAGAAUUUAAGGUUUAUAAAUUGAAGGAGAUCUCUCGAUUUAACAUGGCUACGUGUUCUUCAAACGGUAUGUAAUCAAUUCUUUGAAUUUUUGAGAUGUGUUGAAUUCAAUGAUCUUGAAUUUGUGUGUUAAUUUCUGCGUUAAAUAUGAACAGCUACUCCAAAUAAGAUUGAAUUUUCUAAUUCUUCCUGUGACAUAAUCUUUGAGAGAUAAGUUGGAGCAGCUAGCUGAAGUUCCUAUGCUUAUCACCGAGAGUAAGACAUCUAUGCUGGGGUGCUGUUUGACCUAGAUCACCAUGAAUAUCAAUAGUAAGUAAGUUUCUUUUCUGAUAAUGAGGACCAUGAAAAAAAAUGGUGAAAUAGUACAUUCCAAAGAUUUUUGUAUGCAUAACUAACUAAACCUUAAUGUUGGAGAAAAUGGUGAUGAACUCUCAAUUUUCCUAAAAGCUUAAGUUUGAAGGAUUUGAGUUCAAUAUGCAUAUCAUGCUCCUUAACACCCUCAUGUGAUCCUUAACACCUUCCCUCACAUGCGGUCCCAUCCCCACACGCGAAGAGAUAAACAAAAUUUGGAUUCAUAUCUAGAAAAACAAACAGGAGAUAUGCAAAUUAAGACCUUCAACCAAACUAAGCUUUAAUACCAUCUUGAACUACUAAUUUUCCAAAAAACUUAAACUUAUAGUAUUUAGGUUCAGUAUGCAUAUCAAAUGAUGGUUAUUCUUUUGUAAUAGGAUGUAAUUAUUCUUUUGUAAUAGGAUGCAUAUUAGGUCUCAUAACCAUUCUUUUACUCAAAGGGUGUCUUAAAUUGACCCUAAGUUAAAUUAUUCUUAAAUUGUUAACUUAAAAACUUAUUACUUAUUUUUAUUUUAUUUUAAAAAUUAAGGUUGUUUGGUUAACUUAAAAUCUAUUUUAAAAUAUCAUAUUAACAUAUUUAUUCUCAUUAAUUUUGAUUAAUAUUUAUAUUUUAACUAAUUUUAAAUAAUAAAUUUAUUUAUUAAAUAUUCAUAUUUAAAGUAUUGUAAAUAUAUAAGAUAAGUGUAAAAAUAUUAACUAUAAAAUAUGAAUUAAAUGUAAAGUCAUGAUUAUAAAAUAUACUCCCACUAAACAUGAGUAAAUGAGGUAAAAAAUAUUUGACAUUAAGAGUAAAUUAAUUAUUUUAAAGUUAUUAAUUUUGACUUUAAAUUGUGAUAUUAAAUUAUUUUAGUAAAUAUGUUUGAUCUCUUAAUAAAUUACAUGAAAGCAUUAAAUUAUAUAAAGUUAUUGAAUUGAUUAACCAAACAUCUAAAUUAAAUUAAGUCAUUAAGUUAUAUUAAGUUAUUAAGUUGAUUAAUGAAACAUUCUCUAAAUAUGAUAAAUUUUUUUUUUCCAAUUAUAUAGUUAACCUUCAAAGAAGGAAUUUUUCUAGACCCAUUCCUUUGCUUUUCGUUAAUGUUGCAUGUUGUCAUGUUCAAUCAAGUGUGUGAUUUCAUAACUUAAUUAACAUUGAUGAAAAUUUAUAUAUCAAAUAAACAUUAUUUUCUUACAGAAGCAAUUAAUAAAUGACAAAUUUGAGGUAUACAGCUUAGUACAAUCGUUUGGGAGAUAAAAAACAAAAGAAUCAAUCAAAUUACAAUAUUUUGAAGUACAAUUAUUACUAUAUAAGCAGCCCAUGCUUUGGCCAUUGGACACAUACAGCCAAGGGUAACUGGUACCGGAACAAUGAAGGGUCAAUCUCACUACUUCAAGUUUUUCUUGGGAUUUGGUGAUCUUGUCUCUCGGAGUCUCUUCUCAUCAGAGAGUAGCUUUGCAAACCUGCAAGGAGUAGGUAGUCAACUGUACUGUUAUAAAAGAUCUUUUAUACUUAAUGCAAUUAUACAAAUGUUUAAUAUCUUGUUCAAUUUAAUUUUUUUCUAUACCUUUUGAGAGCCUCUUCAUUAGUGCCGCAAUUUUCAACUGGCACAGAGAGACCUGUCUCCAAGUUCACCCUUGAAACUGGUUUCUUCAGCAGCCUUUCUCCGAUUUUCACAAGGUUGCCCAAGUUUUCCUUGGUGGUGACAUCAACCGUAGCAUUCGUUCCAUGUAAUGUAUCAUCCUAAUUUGACAUAGUUCAAGCAAAUAUUCAAUGCACAAGAAGGUUUAAGGCAAAAGCCAAAUGGAAACAUGAGCAUGUAUUGGAGGAGCUCACUUGGAUUCGGAGGUAGUUAUCUUCAGAAUGAAGGGCUUGGAAAACCACGGAAAUAUGGAAAUCAACCAUAUCUGCACUUGCUUGCGUAAACACAUCCACCAAAGGAGUGGAACCACCAUGAAGUAGCCAACCCAAAACGCCCCAUUUGGCUGCCAUUUUGGCAUUGUAUUUCUGUUCUGACUUUGGAGAGCCAGUUCCUAUUGAGAUCACUAGAAAGCGGCCAUAGUCCAUGGGUUUAAUUGGUAAGAAAUCUGGGUUUUUGUCAAAAACUUGUUUCGUUACUUGGCUUAUGGCAACUAAAGCCUGGAUCAUGGUGCCAAAAGAAGAAAAAAGAUAAAAGUCAGCUUAAUAUAUUUAAAUUCUGACACUUUGUUAUAUAUUAUUGCUUUAAGUGGUUAUUAUCUUACCGGAUUAUUUGCUGCGACACCACCAUCAAUAAGAUUGAGUUCCCGUGCUUUUCCUUCUUUAUCUUGGUUUUUAAAGAAAUAGGCCGGAAAGUAUGUUGGUGCUGCAGAGCUACCAAUGCAUAUGUCAGCCAGUGGAGCAUCCAAACUUGGGGAUCUUUUAACCUGCAUGAGGUUAGUUAAGAUUCUGUUACAUGUUAGCCAGGUAAUUAAUCUAGACUCACAAUCCAAACCCAAUUAAAUGGAGGGCCGAAACGGUAGAGCACGAGAGAGAGAGAGAGAGAGAGAGAGAGAGAGCAAGAUCAACCUCAUAGGAGGAGAAAAUGCUUGGCUGCAAACUCUUGAUAUCAAAAGUUGGAAUAACCACACUGGUCAAGGUCUGAUGCAACCGAGUCCUUCCUAGUUUCUCCUUUAUGAGGUUGUGAAGGUAUUUCCCAUCAUAAUUGGGCCCAACUAUUGAUCUAAAAAUAUUCAUGAUCCAGCCGAAAAUACCCCUGCCAUUAAACAAAAAUUCUUUUGUUAGUUACCAUAUGAAAUUCCAAAACAAGACGUAAUCCUAGGUUUUCACAUACUCUAUAUGAAUCGAUCUUCAAAAGAGAAGCAAGAACAAUCUGUAUCAAAUAUUACCUUCUGUGUGGAAAUAUUUUAGGGCCGUGCUCAAGAUAAAAGGGCUUGAUGUCUUUGGCUGCGAAUAGAGGACGUUUCUCAUCAUUCGGAGCAGUUAGCAUGGCAGUCACAAGACCACCUGUGCUUGUUCCAGCAAUCACAUCGAAGUAGUCUGCAAUCCUUGCAUCAUCACCAUCCAGCUCCUGAUAUAUUCAAUAUUGUAUUGUUUGUGGUUAGUGUUACCUAAAUCCAUUAUUUUAUCUUAUAUUUGACACUUGGACCACAGUAACAUAUUUGAGGAUUAUUAGCAGGUUGCAUUCUUUCUAAUUUUCAAUAUAUUUGAGGAUUGCAUAUAUAGGCUAUACGCAAUACAACAAAUUUUAAAAUAUGUAGUAUGGUAGGUAGGUGAGCGGGAUUGAAUAAGCAUUUGGAUUGUAAUUGUUCACUGUUUUUUAAAGUUGUGUAGUGAUAAUUUUUAAAGAAAAAUCGCUCCAAGAACCCUACUUUGACAUGCAGUAGAAUAUAGAGAUGAAAUAUGUGCAAACAUCAUCCACAUGAUAUUAAAUAAUUUAUACCUGAAGUUGAGAUUCCAGACAAGCAAGGAUAGUUGCAGGAAUGAUGCCCCUGAUACCACGUCCAUCAAUACUAAGAAUGGUGACUAGGUUACCAUAAGUUGGGGGCUGGAUUUGAGGUAAGAGUGAUUUCUCCAUCUGAAAAAUGAUAAUUAUAGGAUUGUAUGCACUAACUUACAACAAGAAACUAAGAAAUCCUUGGAUAAAAGAAAGAUGUGAAGAAAAACAAAAGGGCUUGAGGCACCAAGAAAGAUGGCCUUGAGCAAGAAAAGGAUGAGAAAAAAGAAACAAUGCUCGAGUUGUCUUCCCUCUUGUGUUGGAUUGCAUUGUCCAGAAUCUAUUUAUAGGCUAAUCGAGCAGCAAGGCACGUGCUAUAGAAUGCGGUUACUGACGAGUAGGUAACGUGAUAUGAUGAUGAAGUCUGCUUCUAGCACAGAGCCCCUUUCCCAGAUAUUCUUUUAGUUUAUGUGGUCAACACACUCCAUUAAUAGGAUAUUCUGUGUGCAAGUAAUUACACACAGAAUGAAGGCGGCUGGCCAGAUUUAACAUGAGAAAAUUGAGUUGAAUGAGUCUAAUAUUAAAAUCACAUUGUUCAAAAAUAAAAAACAGAUGAAGUCUGCUCCCACCAAGUUUCCAUACCACAUUUUGAAGUAUAGUUAGUUCUCGUUCUGAUAUUAAUCCAGACUAAGGCUGGCAGCUUCCAACACUGGUAUAAUAGCAUGUUUUCCAUCUUUUUUUUCUCCCCUGUAUAUACACAUAUUAUAAAGUCCAUAGUAUGAACCUUGUUUCAUCGUUAACAACUAAAGAAAGAUAAAUUAAUGAACAUGCAAAUGAACGCUCAUGCUUACGAGGAUGAUUAUUUUGAUAUUUUAUGAUAGUACAACUAGCAGUCUGCUUUGUCAUGCUGUUGCAUCCUCCUAUUCUUGUAUUUGUGUGUAAGGGACAAAUCAAACUUUGAGGAUUGCAUGACAACACGACAUCAUGCUCAUCACAGAUGUUGUUCAAUUGUUCAGUUUAUAUAAACAUGAAACACAUGGUACGGAGAACCAGGACAAAUCAACCUCUUAAUCAUUACAUACACGGCAUCAUGUUCAUUAUAAAUAUUGGUGAUGACAUAAUAAUAUAUGCUAAAUAGGGUGUAACAAAUAAAAAAAAAAUUAAGACUAUGAAAGUGAAAUUAGAGAAAGAGUGUAUGUGAGAGAAACCAAAAAAAAUAAAAAAAUAAAUUUAAAACAUGAUGAAGACGACGGUGAAGGAGAUGUUUCACCAAACAUUUCAUUAUUUACUAAAGAAAUAAGUUUGGUUUAAUCUUCCUUGCAAGCUAUCUUACUUUUUUUUAUUACAACCUAUGCUCAAUUAUGCAAUGAUUAUACAACGUCAUUUCCUUGAAAACGACAUUGAUUACUUGGCACUAUAUAAUUUGCAUGCUUUAUUUGUUGGUAAUAUUAUGAUUUUUUACUAUAAUAUUCUUUUCAUGACGGGUGGUGUCGGCUCCAGAAAGGCUGCAUCAGUGCACAGUGAUUCUCAAUCAGAUAUUAGGGCACCCAGAUAAUAUUUUUGUGUUUGUGUCACUGUUGUCCUUUAAAAUUAUUUAUCCUUACAUCUAAAUAAUUUGUUUUCUUGUGGUUGUAGAUUUGAUAUAAAGUUGAUUCAGAUAAACCAGUUUUUAAUCUUGAAUUUAAAAAAAGAAUAAUCUAAAAUAUAAUGGUGAAAAUGAAAAGAAAAAAAAAAUGAAUACCAUUCCUAAAUGGAAAUCUUGGUAAUUGAAAAACUUCGUCAACAUAUACCAAUGGUUUAUUAAUGGCUAUUAAAGUUUCAUGUAGGGACUAAAAUUUCUUGACAUAUCUUCAAUGGACAAAGAUCAUUUUUCCAAAAAUAAAUUGUCUUUAAAUGUAUUGAUUCCUUUUCUUUUGCGUUAGGCAAUGGAUGUUCUUCAAGUGAAAACCACACUUGUAGAGUUGUGUCCACACUAACAAUCAUACCAAGUACUUCUGUCAUUAUACCAAACAACCAAGAAAUGAGUAGUCCAACAUUCUUAGUCCAGGCAGUGUGUUGAGGGUUCAAGAAAAACUUUUCUCAGUUGUAUCCAAGCCAACAAUCAUACCAAAUGCUCUUCUAUCAUUAUUCCAAACAACCAAGAAGUGAGUAGGUCCAGGCAGAGUGUUGAGGAUUCAACAACUUUUCUCCAUUUUCAUCAAAUUUUUCUUUUGCGAGCUUAUUAGCAUCUAUGAGAUGGUGUGCUAUUCCAAGACUUCUAAUAAGAGGCAGAACUUGUGAACACCAUAGAAGAAAAUUAGAAGUGUUUAAUUUAAUUGAUACAAGACUAAUGCAUUGGUUAAAGAAUUGGAUAGUGAGUUUGGGUUCAUCUUGACUGACCAUAUUUGAAAGGAUUGGAUUAUAGGCUCUGAUGCCAUGUGAAAACAAAAAAACACUAAGCAAACCUUUGAAGAUUAUUAUACAGAGAGAAUGUAUGUACAAUUGUCGGGAUGACUUUUAAUAAACAAUGACAGAGUUAUACACAUUAAGUAAUAAGAAAAUUUUCGAGAACUCAGUAAUGACAUCAGUUAUUUAGUAAGUUCCCACUUGGUCGCAUCCUGAUGAAACUUGAGAAUUAAGGUGCUAGUGAUUGAGCUCAAUUUGAGUAUUGCAACUAAACACUUCUUAUAAAAAGGAAAUGGAUGAGAAAUGAGAGGGAAUUUUUUUUGAGCAAACACACUUUCUUUCUUAGAAUCCAAACUUGAGGAAUACAUCAUAAUACAAUCAUUUUUCUGUUUACAUAACUCAUUUUAUCAUUACUUUCUAGAAAUUUGUUUGUGUGCUCCCUACAAUUUAAGUCAUGUAAAUUGUAGAUAAGAUGUCCAAUGCCAAGACUAAGUGGACUGUUAGUUACUGAUCAGGUUUUCCCACAACACCACUCAACUGUUAAAAUGAUGAAACUAUUGCAUAAAGGUAAGGUAGGUAGCUAAUUAUAUCUAAAAAUAAGAUUAAAUUAAAAUAGCUACCAAAAUUUUUUACUUUUAUCUUUAUCAAUCAGUUCUGGGCACUUAAUUUGCAAAGUUGGAAGCAUGAAGGAUUACAGCAUCCUGAAUGAACUUCAAUUUAGGAACUAAAGGUAGCUAAUUGGUAUUUAAAUUAAUUGAACAUUGUUUAUCAUGGUUAGGCAGAGAUGUGAGGCACCAGUGAAGUGAAAAAGGAUAGGGCUGCUCAACUAUGGAAAUCUGGUCGCCCUAGUGAAUUAGUGAACAAUUCACUGGAAGCUUCAAAUUUCUUGCACAGCGUGGCCAAUUUCAUUUUCAAGUUUAGCUGAACCUAGAGCAGAAAUAAUACUAAUACAGGAUAAUUCCAACUUCUCUACAGAAUUGGGAUUAUGGGUACAUAUGCUGGAAAUACUUUGUUCCUUGUGAUCUUUGUAAAGCUUAUGUUUAUCUUUUUAAUCAGUGGCCUUGACCAUUCCACCAUUCCACCAUUCCAAAUUAAGCUAUCACUUCAUUUAAUACCACAGUCCAUGCAUGAACUAUUUUAUUCUGAGAUUAUUUUUUUUCACCAUAUAUAAUGAUGCUAAAUAAAAGGAACUAAAUAAAAAAUCAAAACACACGACCCUGCAUCACACCUCACUAGUUUACUUACAGACUCAAUACUUCACAUAUAUAUGCAAUGCCUUCUCCUGGUUAGAUCUUUCAUUUUCACAAACUGAACCUACAAACCCAUAUAUAAUAGGAUGGGUAACUAACCAUGGCAGAACUAUUACUUUUCAUGGAAGCUAGCUAGAUAUGAUCUAAUGUAAUUAACAAUGCAUUCCUGAUUCUUUGUGAUGCUUUAUAACAUGGGAAGUCCAUUUGCUUACCAUUUAUCACAUAUAUAGACUUGAUCUGAUCAUGGCAAUAAAUAAUGGCAAUCCUUUAUAGCCCAGCUACUUUUGUUUAAGGGUUUUCUUUUACCAUGCGUACCUUUGAUAUCUCAACUUAUGUGCAUCAAUUAACAUAUAUGAGAUAGGGGUUCAUGUCUUCCUAGUAUGCACAGCUUAAUUUCUACCAAAAAGUCUCACAUGUGGAGGUAUGAUUUAAGGGCUUUGAUGAAAUGAGAAAAAUGAGCUAAUGGCAAAAUUCUGAAGUUGUUAAAACACUGAAUCAACUCGCAUUUUCAUUUACUUUGGAUGAAGAUGGAGCUGAAGGAAAAGUGCUUGAAGUUUUCUUAAUAAUCCAUCCAUUUUGCUUCACCUAAUUAGAUGAAGGGAGAAGCGCAAAUAUAGAAGGUAGAUUCACUUGGAGUUUCUCUUACUUUACCUUACCGGAUCCCUAGACCUAGCCAAUUAAUUAACCAGGACCACCACCACCCAUCAGUGGUUUAUGUCCAUUUAUAAAUACAGUCAAUUAUAUGCUGCCACGUCCUUCACUGUAACCCCUGCCUUGUAAACCGGUCCUUGCUGUCUUGAAACGCUGCCCAGCAAUGGUUUAAUAUAGUAUGAGAGAAACCACAGAAAAAUCUAUAGGACAUUCAUAAAUUUUUAAUCAUUCCGUGUCAAACAUACCCGACUUUAUAGUUUCUGACUUCUUCAGGUUUUUGCUUGUUCCACAUCCAGCAGGUUUUUAACUUUAUGGAGUCAACAAUUUCAAGCAAGUGACAUCUUAAACGUUGUUUUCUGAAAAAAAAAAAAAAAAAUCAGAAAUCUAACUCACAUGUAUCCAAUAGAAGAUUGUAGCAAAAUUGAAUUGCAAACCAAACACACAAAAGAAGUCCAAAAGAAUAUUUCAUUCUUUCACAGUUCAUUAGCAAUAUUACAGUCUACCCGUGAUUAUUCACUCUCUAAACAAUGGUUAUGGAUCUAAAUUAAUGCCGAUUGCAGCUAACCAAACCCAAGCUAAGGGGAAGUUUAUUACAGCACAAUCAAUUAUAGAAGAAAAUAGCUAAUUUUAAAUUGAUGAUGCCCUACAUGCUGCAUGUCCAUGAGGCGAUUUAGCUAUGAAGCUUCUUUUCUUGGGAGAGCAGGUUUGCAAACCUGCAGGAUUGAAAGCUACUUAUUGUGAUUGUGAUAUUGAUUCAGAAAAUAAAAAAUAAAAAAUGUAUUUCUACAAACCUUAUGCGAGCCUCUUCAUUGGUCUCCUGAUUAGUAGGAACAAAGAUACCCGACUCCAAAUUAAAUUCAUCCUUGAAACUGGUUUCUUUAGCAGUCGUUCCCCAACUUUUACAAGAUUUUUUACUUUCUUCCAUGGCAAUAUCAACUGAAGAUACUAGUCCUUUUAGGGUAUCAUCCAACAGUUUAAUUUUUAUUUGAAGGUGUCAAAAGUAGUGUUAUGGUGGACCAGAAAACAAGGAAGAAAAUCAUUUUUCAUCUCCAAGAAUAUAGAGGAUUUUAACAACAAUAGCUUUGAUGUUGUAUCAAUGCUUGUAUAAAGACGUGCAUGAGCAUGUAUGCCUACCUGAAUCCGAAGGUAAUUCUUUCCCGAGAGAAGGGCUUGAAAAACCAUGGAAAUAUGGAAGUCUACCAUAUCUGUGCUUGCUUGUGUAAACACAUUCACUAAUGGGGUGAAACCAAUACUAGUUAACCAUCCCAAUAUAUAUGGAAGUCAACCAUAUCCAUAAUUGUUUGUCUUUAAGUUUUUCCUUUACAAGGCUUUGCAAAAACUUUCCAACAUAUUUUGGACUUAGUAAGGCUUUUGAUUAUCUUUAUAAUGAGGUAAAACAUAACUGUCAUUUAGGAAAAAAAAAAAAAAAAAAGAAGAAAAAAAUCAUGUUAACAACUAUAAAAAUAGUAACUUUGUGACAUUCAAUUCAACAUAAUUAUACUGGUUAAUGAAUUCUUUGGUUGUGGGCAAAUUUUAAGAGACUGAUUAAGGUAGAGAUUCUCAAUGCCUUUGGCGGCAAACAUGGGGCAAUUGUCUUACUAGGUGCAGUUAGCAUGACAGUCACAAGACCACCUGUGCUUGUCCCAGCAUCAUAUCAAAAUAGUUUACAAUUCUUCAAUCCCCUCCAUCCAACUUCUAAACCUAGUAGAAACCACUUAGAGUUAAUACUUGCAUUAUAAUAACCACUGUUAACAUCAACACAAAUGAAGUGGUAAUAUAGAAAAUUGUUGCAGCUUCAAAAACGCCCUCCAUUUAAAUAUACACAGGUGAAAAAUGGCAUAUAUGCCAAAAUUCUGGUUGAAUUGAUAUGGCAGAGGUAGCUUGUAGAUAUGAAUGUCAUGAUUAGUAUCACUCUUCAUAUAUGGAAUAGAAGAGUGAUGCUCCUGAUGCUUGGGGAGCUUGUUGAUAUUUAGAUCUUACCUGAAGUUCAGACUCUAGAAAGUUAGGGGUAGUUAAUUCCUAGGAUAAUCCUUUUUAUCCCACCUUCAUCAAUGUUGAGGAUGGUAAUUAAUUAGAUUCCCAUAUGUUGGAGGUUGCUAGGGUGAUUUUAAUUUGCUCCUUCCAUGAUGGUAUGAAGUAAAAGAGAUAGAUGUAUAGACUUUCUUUAGAAAAAAUUAUAAGAUCUUGAAAUAAAUUUUAAUAGAAAAAGAAAUUGUAAGACUGAAGUACUCUUUCAUAAAGCAUGAGAUAUUAAAGUUCUACCAAGUUAAGAGAAAGAAUCUAUGAAUAUGGAAGACUUACGUAACAUGGGUAUCUAUGUUUAUAGCAUGAUAUGUAAUUUAAUUUUUCCCCUAAGUUUCAUUAGUUCACCGUCUAUACUUAAUUCUUUGACUUUGUCCCUACAUGUACUUUCCUUGAUGUGGCUUUGGUUGGAGAUGAUGAUCACUAACAUGGUUAUCAUUCAAUGAAAAACAACUGUUAAAUCAUUUUAUCAUAAUGGAAAGAUGGCCCUUGUAGGCACUCAAUAUGGGAAUUGUAGGUAGAGUACUACUCUAAGAGAAUUUUAGGUAAGACUAAUUAGGUAAAUGCGUAUAGCUAAAAAUGGAAUGCAUCAAUCCAACCAAACUAUUACCCUAAGCAACAAAGGCCACAAUUUCUAAAUAAAUAACUUAAUGUGAAUUGUAGUAUCUAGCAUGUUUACAUGAAAAUAUUCUUGCUUGCAUGUUGAAUUCAAGAAGUUAGUUUGUAUUCUAAAUGUCGCUUUUUUUUUUUCAUAAUAGGUGGCGCCUACAUUCUAAACACCAACUUUUUUCACAAUAGGUGGCGCCUACAUUCUAUAUAAACAUCUACCAUUUUUUUUUUUUUUUUUUGCAAUAUGUGGUACCUCGUCAAGGUGCAAAAGAAUCAAUUGGUGCGAAAAAUUUGUAAUUCAAUCAAAUCAAUUCCACGGGCCUCAAAAAAUGAGAAAUAAUAUUGAUGAUAUGACAAUGAUGAAAGCCUCCAUCAAGUUGAUGACGAAAGAGUCAAAGCCUCGAUCAAGGAAGGCAGCUGAGUGUAGCAUGCAUGAACCAACAAUGAACUCUGGUUUACCAUUUAGUUAUGAACAAUAACAGGAGUGUUCAACUUUGAUUUACCUUUUUGCUAUGAACAAUUUCAGGAGUCGUCAACUCUGGUUUAAUAUUCUGUUAUGUGGAGAAACCUCCUUAAGAUGUUUUCACUGUUGUUUACACGGUGGGGCACAAGUAAUUAAUACUGCAUUUCUUUGGAAAAGGCGAAGCCUAAGGGAUACAAUUGGGAGUGGAUGAGUAAAACGGGGAAACCAAAUUUGCCCAACCUAACCAGAAAAACUACCGUAGCAGUUGUGUAUACAGAAAGAGCAUUUAUAUGUGCAGAAAGAAAAGACGCCCAAACCCCUUCAUUUGAUGCCUUGUGCAACAGAUGCGGAUUGGGAUAUAUCUGCUCCCAAAAUGGAGAAUAUUGGUGCUGAAGUAAUGUGCUGAAUAUUGUUAUUAGAAUGGGAUGAUAUGUCAUUUUGAAGGCGAUGGAGUUUUGGUUAGUUGUUUGUCACGAGCGCUCUGAGGCUAGUGGAUGUAGGUGGCAUUAAUUGUGGGUUGGUGUGGUUGUGUUGUUGGUGGGGAUUGAAAUGCUUAAAUAUUGAUUCAAUCACUAUGGAGGGAUUUUGAUAUAUUUUUUAUAUGAAAGAAAGUGAAAGCAUUUAUCAGGUUUCCUCUUGAGCUUUAGAGAUCUUUAAUCAAAUUAGAAGCCUUAGAUAUAUUUUUUUUAUGAAAGAAAGUGAAAGCAUUUAUCAGGUUUCCUCUUGAGCUUUAGAGAUCAUUAAUCAAAUUAGAAGCCUUAGUAAUGAUAUUCUGGAAAAAUAAAAAGUAUUGUUUCUAAGAAGGUUGUCAAAAAAGUUUGAUCAUGUAGUUGCUGCAAUUAAAGAAUCCAAAGAUUUCUUAAGAACCAGAAUUAAUGGAGCCACUUAAAACCACAUGAGCAAAGAAUCAACAAGCAUUCCAUUUCACCUAUGGACUAAGCUUUUCAAUCAAAAACCAAUGUUGCUGAUAACAAAGGUUUUAGGCAGAGAAAGUAAAAGGACGGGGGUUUUGGGUAAUGGGCCUAUCUAAGGCCCUCCUCUGUGUCUUCAAAGUUGGUCUAGUUUGGGGCCAGGAUUAAAACUUGGCUAGCGUGAAUGGCCCAAGAAGAAAAAUGGCAAAGUAAGAUGUGGAAGAGCUAAGCAUGAGGAGUAGUGGAGAUAGUUAGUGCUUGGAGUUGUAACUACUUAAAAUGGCAAAGAGAGAAUCAAUAAUGAGGAGGAAAAUGCCCCCAUAGACUCUACACCUAUCGAUAGAUGAAGGGUAUAUCAAUGCAACUGGCUAGGCCAUCACCAAGAGAGAGGUAAGAAAGAACAAUAAGAAAUACUCUUUUUUUAUAAAUAAAAAAUAAAAAAAACAAAAAAAACCCCAACUAACUUAACUAUUGGAGAAGCUUAUCUCAGGGCUAUACCGGGUAAGCCUUGUGUUGCAAGUAAAAAACGCACGGCAAGUAGAAGAUUAUAGCUUAAGAAAUUUUCAACUCCAACAAGUGGCGUCAUUUGUGGGAAGUUUCUAUGUUGAAGUAUAGCUUUCACUUUGAACUUGACGUAGAACCCUUUUCUUUUUGUCUGGAGUUGGAAGUUAGACAAUGGGAGACAAUUAGUUGUGGGAUUCAAUUAGUACAACAAUCCCCCGGAUGGCCACUACCUCAAAAACUCUUUGCGAGGGUUUUGAAAGAUUCUAGGUGGAGCAGGAAAGGAGAAUGGAAUCCAUUCUUGCUCAAACUGAGUUGCUAAAGCAAGAAAAUGCCUUAUUGCAGAAACAACUAGAAGAUCGGCAGGUUCGCAGUCAAAUGUUGCAUCAACCAGCAAGCAAUCUUGAUCAUAUACGCCAGCAAGAUAAUGAUGACAUGGUGGAGCCUUUAGAUCAUGCAGUUCCCCUUGGUCAAGCUCCUCACACCAUCUUAAACUCGCAUAGGGGACACCGCCCAUCUGAUGCUAGGAUUCCAAGAAUGUUGGUCACUGAAAAAGUCGAUGAGGUAGACAACACCUCUCGGCGGGGAUCCCAACACCCAUUAUAUUCAAACUCAGGUAGCCGACAACAAAUGAGAUUGCCCUAGGUUGAAGUCACGAGAAGGAUGGCUCGACCCCUGUCUUUAGCAGUUUGGCUCCCUCAGGAACGUCCAAACGAAUUGCCCCUAAGGGCCACAACUUGCCACUUGAAUGAUAUGAUGACAAUGUCAUUUGAUCAACAUAUUAUGAUGUAUGAACCCCCAAGAGGAUACACCAUUCCUAAGUUCGUCAUGUAUGAUUGUACAUAUGAUUCAUUCAACCAUUUAAUGCAUUAUCAAAAAAUGAUGACGCUAGAUAUCGACAAUGAUGAACUCCCUUUGUAAGGUGUUCCCAACGAGUCUCCAGGGCAUUGCCCUAGCUUGGUUUCACCGGUUUUCCCUUAAUUCUAUUCACUCCUUUAGGGAGAUGUCAGAAGUCUUCGUUGCGCACUAUUUGUGCUUAGCAAGGCAGAAGUUUAAUAUAAGUAGUCUUCAGAACUUGAAUAAAAUAGAAAGUGAGACUUUGGGUCAAUUCAUGCAUAGAUUCAACCAAACAAUGCUCUAGAUAGAAAGAUGCAAUAUGGAUGCUUUACUACAAGCAUUCAAACGCAACAUUGGCCUUGGGACUCCAUUCUUUGAAUGUCUCUCGAAAAAAUCGCCAUAAAUAGUCAAUGACUUGUUUAGAAGGGCCAAUAAGUAUGCCCUGUUGGAAGAAGAUUUACAGGUUGUUGCCAGCCCUGUUUUGGCAUCAACACAGACAACACGAGCAAGAAAAAAUGCAGGAAACAAACGUCAGGGCCCGGGUAAUCCCUCAUAAGACAAGAAGUCAUGUAGGAAUCAGAAAGACCAAAGAACACCCCGAUGGUGGACCCCACUUAGCUUGACUUAUGGACAGUUGCUUCCCAUUAUGAGUAGUUUGCCCGAUUUCAAGUGGUCUUUCGCUCUCAAGGGACUCACCGCAAUGAGAUCAAACUCGACAUUGUGAAUAUCACAAAGAACAUGAACAUACUAUAGAGGAAUGCCGACACUUUCGUUAUUUGGUGGAGGAAUGGUGAGAAUCAGCUUGAUCUCCCAAUAUGUCGAGAAAAGUGAACGAUUGACCAUUGGGAGUAACAAGCAAGUUGUAGCUGGCAUGGUUUAGCCAGAUGGAACCCUGCCAAUCAUUCACAUCAUUCAAGGAGGGCUUGUGGAUCAAUGCUGGAAGUCAAAGCGCCGUCGACGAGCAAUGAUCUAAGAAGCAAUCGAUGUCGAGAAGAUUAGCAUGGAACAAUAUUCCUUUGUUCCAGGGACAAUGGAACCUAUGGAUGGGGUUGUCUAUUUUAGCCCUUGGGAUCCGGCCUUGGUAAUAGUGCCCCAUGAAGAUGCUCUUCUCUUGUCACUCAAAAUUGCUAGAUUCCAAGUCUGUCAAGAAUUAGUUGAUCCUAGUAGUUCAGUUGAUUUUCUCCACAUCUCGGCUUUUGAGUAGAUGGGCAUCCCAAUUUAUACUUUAGGAGGCCCAGAUUGAGUACUAACAUACUUCAAUAGCUUAACAUCCUGGUCUUUGGGGAAAAUAAUUUUGCUAGUAGAAGCCAGCCUUACAGCCCUAAACGCCUGCUUUUCAGUCAUAUUAAAUCCUUCGCCUUAUAACACUAUACUGAGAAUAGAAUGGAUUCAAAAAAUGAAAGCUACCUCAUCAACUUAUCACCAAAAAGUCAGUUUCCUUAGAAAAAUGGGACAGGUUGAUCUAUUUGGAAGCUAACUAGCAGCAAGGCAAUGUUAUCAGGUAAAUGUCAGGCUUGUAGGAGAGGAAAUCGAAAGUGUCUGCACUGACAGUGAGGCCCAACAGAAAUAACAAUUACUAAAAAAAGGGGAAUGAGCAAGAGCCUCUAGUCGUUGACCCACUCGUUUGCAUAGAAAUACAAAAUGGGGGACGAUAUAGAGUUACUUAUGUUAGCUUUAUGCUGACAUAGCAAGAGAAAUAGCUAUUAGUAAACCAACUAGAUAAGAAUGCCAUACUUUUUCUUGGAAGUUUUCUAACAUGUGAGGAAUAUCCCCUGAAGUGAUUAGCCUUAAACUUGGGAUCCACCUAGAAUCAAAGCCUGUUUAUCAGAAAGUAAGGAGACUCAAUUAAAAAAAGUAACAGAUAGUUCAACAUGAAAUAUCCCGAUUGCUCGAUGUGGGAUUCAUUCAAGAGGCUAGCUAAUGUAGUAGUUGUGCCAAAAAAAAAGGCAAGUGGAGGGUCUGUAUUGAUUUUACUAACCUAAAGGAGGUGUGCCCAAAAGAUAGUUUCCCUUUACCACACAUUGAUCAAACAGUUGAUGCCACUUCAAGGCAUAAAAUGUUUUCAUUUAUGGAGGUCUUUUCUGGCUAUAAUCAGAUUCCCAUAUAUCCUCCUGAUUCAGAAAAGACAACAUUCAUAACCCCUUUCAGAACUUUUUGUUACAAUGUUAUGCCUUUCGACCUUACGAAUGCAGGAGCCACUUAUCAGCGACUCAUGACAAAGAUAUUCUAUCUUAUGUUAGGCAAAACAACGAAAGUUUAUAUAGACGAUAUACUUGUAAAAAGCUAGAAACAGGAGGAUCACUAUGCAAAUUUACGACAAGCUUUUAACCUAUUGUCGCACUUUGGGAUGAAGUUAAAUCCAACUAAAUGUGCAUUUGAUGUAUCUAUUGGUAAGUUUUUGGGUUUCCUAGUCAUAGAGUGUGGUAUAGAAAUAGAUCCUACUCAAAUAAAGGAAGUACAAGAGUUACCUUUUCCACGUAAUAAAAAAGAAGUACAACAUUUAAUAGGAAAAAUGGUUGCAAUAGCCCGUUUUAUCUCCCAAUACACUGACCACCCGAAGCCUUUCUUUAAUGUAAUAAAGAAAACCAAGAUCUUUGAAUGGACAGUGGAGCACGAGGAUACACUCUUAGUUAUAAAGAACUAUUUGGUUUCGCCCCCAAUCUUAAAAAGUCCUCAAUUGGGAAAUCCCCUAUUUUUGUAUCUAGCAACAUCAAAAUUGGCAAUUAGUGCGGUUUUGUUUAAGUUGGGCCUUAAUGGAAGUCAAUUACCAGUCUAUUAUGUUAAUAAGGCGAUGCUACUGGCCGAGCAAAACAAUUCCCUACUAGAAAAGGUGGCGCUGGCCUUGUGAGUGAUCUCAAAGAAGUUGUGCCCCUACUUUUAGGUGUGCCAGGUGAAUGUUUUAUCUAAUGUCCUUUUUCGGGCUAUCUUACAUAGGCCUGAGUUGUUUGAGCAACUAGUAAAAUGGGCCACAUAGUUGAGUGAAUUUGGUUUGCUGUAUUUACCCCAUUUGUCACUCAAAUGACAAGUCUUAGCAGACUUUAUUGUUGAAUGGCCAGAUUCUAAAGUCGCUCAGACCAAAUGUCAAUGGAAUGCUGGAUUCUUUAUGUUGAUGGAGCGUCACGUGGUGUAGGAGCGGGAAUAAGGCUUGUCCUGCAAUCCCCCAUAGGAGAAUGCUUGGAGCAGGUAGUUCGGAUGGGUUUUUGCACUUUAAACAACAAGGCUGAGUAUGAAGUCAUGCUUGUCGACAUAGGCCUGGCAUUGUCAGUCCAAGCUAGCCACCUCAAUAUAUGGAGUGACUCACAGCUAGUGGUAAACCAAGUGCAAAGCGAUGAUGAAUUAAGAUAUGUUAGAAUGAUGAGGUAUCUUGAUAAAGUUAAGCUUCAGCUUCAAAAAUUCAAUGAGUGGAAGAUGACUCAGAUCACUAGGGAAGAGAAUGCUCGGGUAGAUGCAUUAGUCGAGGUAGCAAUUUCCUUAGCAGUUACGCAAAUAGUAACUUUGCCCAUUUAUUAUCAAGACAAUCCAUCAAUACUAAAAAAAGGCCAGGUAAGUCAGGUGUAUGAUGCCCAAGGAAGUUGGAUGGGACAGAUUAUUAAGUAUUUGGAAGUAGGGGAACUCCCAGAGGAUGAGCAUCAAGUGCAAUAACCACACUGGUCAAGGUCUGAUGCAACCAAGUCCUUCCUAGUUUCUCCUUUAUGAGGUAUUGAAGGUAUUUCCCAUCAUACUUGGGCCCAACUAUUGAUCUCAAUAUGUUCAUGAUCUAGCCAAAAAUACCCUUGCCAUUAAACAAAUUUUUUUUUUGUUAGUUACCAUAUGAAAUUCCAAAACAAAACAUAAUCCUAGGUUUUCACAUACUCUAAUAUUGUUAAUGUUACCAUAUAUAAUUUAGGAAUCAUAUUGGUUGUACAUAUAGGAAUGUUAAUGUUACCAUAUACAAUUUAGGAAUCAGUUAGACUCCAUGUAUAGGAUAUAUAUCAGUAUAUAGAUGGAUGCAGUGAAAUAUAAAAAAACUUAUCAGAGUUAUUAGAGCAAGGUUUCGACACCUUCCGAGUGGAGUUCGUGAUCUUCUACCAAUCAAAUACUUGGCAUCGAAAACAGUGUUGAUUGGGUUCAUCGCGACCUAGUUCUUGGCCGUUUCUAUUCCAAUUCUCUUGUGGGCUAUUUCCUUUGUCUCUUGGUUGCAUCAUGUCAUCAGAUAAGUUGGAAUCAUUUCCUAUUAGAUUUACUAGAAAAAAUUAUUGUGCUUGGGAGUUUCAAUUUAAAUUAUUUGUUAAAGGAAAAGAAUUAUGGGGUCAUAUUGAUGGAGUAAUCUUGCACCUCGUGAUGCCAAGGCUUUGUCUAAGUGGGAAGGUGAGGAUGCUCGGGUUAUGACUUGGAUCCUUAGAUCGGUUGAACCUUGUUCUCAAUAUGAGGUCUUAUAAAACUAUUGCUACUAUGUGGAAUUAUCUCCACAUGGUUUACAAUCAAGACAACUCUGCUAGGCAUUUUCAAUUGGAGUAUGAGAUGGCUAAUUUCACACAAGGAAGUCUCUCAAUUGAGGAAUAUUUUUCUGGUUUUCAAACUCUUUGGACUGAUUAUUCUGACAUUGUUUUUGCUAAUGUUCCCGCUAUAACUCUCUCUGUUGUCCAAGCAGUGCAUGUAACCAACAAGCGAGAUCAAUUCUUGAUGAAGCUACGACCCAACUUUGAAAUUGCAUGGUCUAAUAUGAUGAAUUGUCAUCCUGUACAAUCUCUGGAUGCCUGCUCAAGUGAACUUAUGCUUGAGGAGCAGCGUAUCAUAACUCAAGCUACCAUGGAACAUCGUGCUAAUGUUAGUGCACCUGUUUCAGUGGCUUAUGUAGCACAAGGCCAGAAUAAGGGUUGAGACAUGCGUGUUGUCCAGUGCUUUAGUUGUAAAGAUUUUGGUCACAUUGCUUAGGAUUGUCCCAAGAAGUUCUGUAACUACUGCAAGAAACAAGGUCAUAUCAUCUCUGCUUGUCCCAUUCAGUCUGAAAGGAAGUAGGGUACUGCUUAUCAUGCCUCCACCUAUGCCUCUAGUUCUGCUGCAUUGCCUGUUGCCUCGUCGGUUGUUCCUAUUCCUGCUCCUACAGUCUUAGAAAACUCGAACACACUCACUCCUGAAAUGGUACAACAAAUGAUCAUUUAUGCUUUUAAGCUCUUAGGUAAUCAUACGGUUUCUUCUAAGCCAUGGUAUUUUGACUCUGGAGCUUCUAACCAUAUGAUGAAUACUGUUAUUUUUCUUUCCAAUGUCAAAAAUUAUGAUGGAAAUCUGAAAAUUAACAUUGUUGAUGGUAAUUCUCUGCCUAUCAGUGCUGUUGGGGAUCUUUCAUCUUCCUUAACUGAUGUUUUUGUGUCUCCUGACCUCUCCACAAAUCUUAUUUCUGUUGGUCAAUUGGUUUAUAAUAAUUGUAAUGUCAAUUUCUCCCAUUCUGGUUGUGUUGUGCAGGAUCAAGUGUCCGAGAAGAUGAUCGCAAAGGGGCCUAAAGUGGGACGACUCUUUCCUCUUCAUGUUUCUCCUUCCACUAUUAUUCCUAGUUUUGCUUUACUUUCAUUUGCAUGUAAUGUUGUUAAUUCUGGACAUAAGAUGUGGCAUAGACGUCUUUGCCACCCAAACUGUGAUGUACUUCAUACUUUGUUUAAUUUUGGAUUAUUGGGAAAUAAAACAUGUUCUUCUCUUGAUCAUUCUUUCGAUUGUACGUCAUGCAAACUUGGAAAAAGUAAAGUUCUACCUUUUCUUCAUUCCAUAUCUAGUGCCUCACAAUGUUUUGAUAUUAUACAUAGUAAUGUUUGGGGGAUUGCACCUAUUGUUUCUCAUGCACAUUACAACUACUUUGUUACUUUCAUUAAUGACUUUAGUCGCUUUACUUGGGUUUAAUUCCUCCGAGCUAAGGCUGAAGUUUUUUCAAUCUUUAAGUGCUUUCUUGCACUUAUUGAGACUCAAUUCUCUGCUAGCAUCAAGGUCUUGCGCUCUGAUUCUGGCAGAGAAUACAUGUCUAACGAGUUUCAGGACUUUUUUCAAAGCAAAGGGAUCAUCUCUCAACGUUCUUGUCCUUCGACACCACAACAAAAUGGUGUUGUUGAGAAGAAAAAUCGCCAUCUUCUUGAUGUGGUAAGAACUUUUUUACUUGACUCAUUGGUUUCUCCUCGUUUUUGGUGUGAAGCACUUUCUACUGCAAUUCAUUUGAUCAAUCGCUUACUCUCUCCUAUGUUAAAUCAUGUAUUUCCUUUCUCUAAGUUCUUUGGUCAUUCUCCUUUAUAUUCUGAUCUUCAUACAUUUGGUUGUGUUUGUUUUGUGCAUCUACCUACUCAUGAACAACAUAAACUUACUGCUCAGUUUGUUAAGUGUGCUUUUCUUGGUUAUGCUAUUCCUCACAAAGGUUAUGUUUGUUAUGAUCCCCAUGCUCGUCAUAUACAAGUUUCUCAGAAUGUGAUUUUCUUUAACAAUCAAUAUUUCUCUCCAUUUCAUGUUGAGCUACCAUCUACAUCUGUAUCUCUUCUGCCUAGUUUUUCUGAAUCCCCAACAAUUGUGGAAAUGUUUAAACCUGGUUUUUUGUAUGAAAGAUAUAGUCAACAUGAGUCCGAUUCCACUUUCUCUGUGUCCUCUUCCGAUCUUGACCUGACGCCUGAUCCUGCUCCUGCUUCCACCACUCUUCGUUGGUCUACUCAUCUUUCUCGACCCCUUGAUUGGUAUGGAUUCUUCUCUCCUCUCUCUCUUAUUGCUACUUAAUCCACUAUUUGUAUUCCCUUUUGCUACAAACAUGCCAUGGAACAUGAGUGUUGGCAAAAUGCAAUGCAAGUAGAACUUCAAGCACUUGAGAAGAAUCAUACUUGGGAUAUUGUUCCUUGUCCUUCUACAAUCAAACCUAUUGGGAGUAAAUGGGUUUUCUCUAUAAAACUUUGUUCUGAUGGCUCUUUGGACCGGUACAAAGCUCACCUCGUAGCUCUGGGUAACAAGCAGGAAUAUGGGGUUGAUUAUGAGGGGACAUUUGCUCCUGUUGCUAAAAUGACCGUGGUUCGGACCAUCUUAGCUAUUGACGCUUCAUAGUCAUGGCAACUACAUUAGAUGGAUGUAAAGAAUGCUUUCCUUCAUGGUGAUCUCCAGGAAGAGAUUUACAUGAAGCUUCCCUCUCGUAUGAUUAAUUCUUCUCCUCAUGAUGUCUGUAAGCUAAAACAUUCUUUGUAUGGGCUCAAGCAAGCGCCCCGGGCUUGGUUUGAGAAGUUUCGCAGUACAAUUCUUUCUUUUAGUUUUACCCAAAGUCAGUAUGAUUCUUCCCUCUUCUUCCACACGUCUGUGUUGGGUAUAGUCCUUCUCUUGGCUUAUGUGGAUGAUAUUAUCAUUACUGGCACUAACUGUGGUUUGAUUACUAAGCUUCAGCGGAUGUUACAUACAACUUUCCAUAUGAAAGAACUUGGACAUCUCACAUACUUCUUAGGAUUAGAAGUUCAUCAUCGGGCUAGUGGUAUUUUCGUGAACCAACAUAAGUAUAUUCAAGAUCUUAUCACUUUGGCUAGUUUGGAGGACACUUAUUCUGUUGAUAAUCCUAUGGAGGUAAAUGUCAAAUACAGGAAAGAUGAAGGGGACCUUCUGGAUGAUCCUACUCUCUAUUGGCGCCUAGUUGGGAGUCUUAUCUACAUGACCACUACUCGACAUGAUAUCUCCUAUGCUGUUCAUCAGGCCAGUCAGUUUAUGACUUCUCCUCGACAUCUCCAUCUUGCUGUAGUUUGACACAUCAUCCGCUAUCUUCGAGGUUCACCUACUCGUGGGUUAUUCUUUCCUACCGGCUCCUCUCUUCAACUUGUUGCCUAUGGUGAUGUUGAUUGGGCUAGGUGUCUGGAUACACGUCGAUCUACUAUGGGUUGGUGUAUGUUUUUAGGUGAUGCCUUAAUUUCUUGAAGAUGUAAGAAACAAGAUUGUGUUUCUAAAUCCUCUAUUGAGGUUGAGUAUCCUGCCAUGUCUACUGCUUGUUAUGAAAUUAUAUGGCUACGCGGUCUUCUUGAGGAGCUUGGGUUUCCUCAGACUACUUCUACACCUCUUCAUGUUGAUAACACUAGUGCUAUUUAGAUUGCCACCAAUCCUAUUUUUCAUGAACGUACCAAGCACAUUGAGGUUGAUUGUCAUUUUAUUUGAGACACCUUGGAAAGUCGGGUGAUAUCUCUUCCUCAUAUCUCUUCUGAUCUCCAAGUGGCUGAUAUCGUCACCAAAGCUUUGACUUGACAGCGACAUCAAUUUCUUAUUGGCAAAUUGUUGCUGGUUGACUUACCAGCAUUAAUUUGAGGGGGGAUGUUAAUGUUACCAUUUACAAUUUAGGAAUCAUAUCGACUGUACAUAUAGGAAUGUUAAUGUUGCCAUAUACAAUUUAGAAAUCAUAUUGGCUGUACAUAUAGGAAAAGAUUGACGGAUUGGCUUACCAUGUAUUUGUUAAUGUUACCAUAUACAAUUUAGGAAUCAGUUAGACUUCGUGUAUAUGAUAUAUAUUAGUAUAUAGAUGGAUGCAGUGAAAUAUAAAAAAACUUAUCAGAGUUAUCCAUUUCUGUGGAGUUUUUUUUUUAGUAUUUUGACAUCUAUAUGAAUCAAUCUUUAAAAGAGAAGCAAGAACAAUCAAGUAUCAAAUACUAACUUCUCUGUGGAAAUAUUUUAGGGCCAUGCUCAAGAUAAAAGGGCUUGAUGUCUUGGGCUGCAAAUAGAGGACGUCUCAGAUCAUUCGGAGCAAACCGUUUAAGAAUUAAACCAGUCACGAACCGCCUAAACCGGCAGUCGGACCGGUGACCUAGUGGAAUGGGACGGUUCUAAUCAAACCGAACAGUUCUAGUUGGACCACCAUUUUAAAGGCUCCUUUGUAUAAAAAGAUUUGGCAAAAGCCCAUGCUAGGCCUUGUCUCAUAAUGACAAAGCCCAUACCCCACUCAACCAUAUUGUGGGCUAAGGCUUGAGCCCACCAGAUGAGGCAAUGCAUUAGCCUUCAAUAUGGAUAGCUUCUAUAGCCAUCCUAGGAGGUACAUAGUUUUUGUUAUCUAAUAUGCCAAACAAAAUAAUAUAUAUUAGAUUUAAAAAAAAUUUGUAAUAUUAAAUAAAAAUAAUAUAAUAUUUUAAAAAAUUAUAAAAUUAGUUUAAAUUUUCAUUUUUAAUAUAUUCACAUUAAAAUAUUUUGCAUAUUUCAUUUAAUAAAAUUAAAAAUAUCAAUAUGAUUUAAUUUGAUAAUAUUAUUGAUUUUUAAUUUAUUCAUAUAUAAUUUAAAAUUUUUAUAAUUAUUUUUAAUUUUAAUAAUAUAUAAAUUAUAUAUUUAUUACGUCACUGGUUCGACCGCCGGUCUGACCAAUGAACCGUGAACUGGUAACUUUUCCGGUUCGAUCACCGAUCCGGUUCUAAAAACAUUGGUGACCACACUUUCCUAUAUUUUUUGAAGACUUUAUGAUUGACGAGUAGGUAAUGUGAUAUGCUGAUGAAGUCCGCUUCUAGCACAGAUCCCCAUUAAUAGGAUAUUGUUGAAUUGGAGAAUGUUUCCACACGCUCAAAAUGGGGCGUUGUUUUAGCAUCAAGAAAUUGUCGUCUUCAUUAGCUUGUUGGAAUUGGGAUGUAUGACUGAUGACUUGUUAGGAUUUAUCUGAAAAUAAAGUCCAAGCUCUGUCUCUGUCUCUCUCUCUCUCUCUCUUAUAAGGACAGUGAUGAUGGUCCAAAGAAGAAUUCCGAAGCAUGCAGAGAUUCACAACUGCAAGUAAUUUACACACAGAGUGAAGGCGGCUGGCCAGAUUUAACAUGAGAAAAUCAUGAUUAAUACAUGAUUCUUCACCAAUAAUUGAGUUGAAUGAGUCUACUAUUCAAAUCACAUUGUUAAAAAGAAAAACAGAUAAUAAAGAUUCAAAUCACAUUAUUAAUGAGUGGGCCGGUCUCAUUUAAGAACACGAUUUGACAUGCAAAAUUAAUGGAUCCAUCCAUAUACAACAUCUACCACAACUCAUGAGAAGAGAUUCUGGUUGUUCUAAUAAUUCACCAUUUUUCUUCAUGGAAUUAGUUAUGAAAUAGUCCCAAUUUAGUACUAAUAGAGAGAGUAUCAAGGAAAAUAUUUGGUAGGUGGGCGGUGAAUCAAGUUAAUUAGAUGGUGAAGAAAAACUAAUGAGAGAUGAACUUAAUCAACAAGUUGUACCUCUUUUUUCUGUAUAAUAUGCUAGUUAAUCCAACUGUGUUAGACAUUGCUGCUACUUACAAGUUAUUUUACUUUAUUAUUCAUUUUUUAAUGUUGGGGGAGGUACUGUCGUUUCAUUGAAAACGAUGUUGUAUUACUUGGCAAACAAAGAUGGUGGUAAGUUUAGAAUAAUGCAAUAUAUGAUUUGCAUGCUUUAUUCCUUGGUAAUACUAUGAUUUUUACUAUAAUCCAACUGUGUUAGACAUUGCUGCUACUUAUAAUUGCGGAACAAAAGGUAAUAACUCUUGCUUGAAAUCAAAUUAAUUCCUGAUAUUCCUUUAUUUUUUAUAUGUACACAAAAUGGCCUUCAUCAUAAGUGCUCUGCAAACGAACUGUGUGCUCCUUGAAUGUGGAGAUAUGGCUGCUCCCACGAAGUUUCCAUACCACAUUUUGAAGUAUAGCUAGUUCUCGUUCUGAUAUUAAUCCACACUAAUGCUGGCAGCUUCCAAAACUGCAUAAUUCCAUGUUUUCCAUCUUUUUUUUUUCCCCUGUAUAUACACAUUAUAACGUCCAUGUUACAUGGUUAAUAACCAAAGGAAGAUAAAUUAAUGAACAUGCAAAUGAAUGCUCAUGCUUACAAGAUGAUUGUUUUGAUCUUCUAUGAUAGUGAAACGACGUUGAUCUCUUCUAUAUAUAUAUAAUUAGUACAACUAACAGUCUGCAUCCUUCUAUUCUUGUAUUUGUGUACUGGGGACAAAUCGUUCUUUGUAUUUGUGUACAAGGGACAAAUCAAAUCAUGAGGAUCACAUGACAACACGGCACCAUGCUCAUCACAAAUGUUGUUCAUUUGCUAGCUCAUGAAACAUAUGGUGUGGGCAACCAGGACAAAUCAACUAAUCAUAACAUGCACGACAUUAUGUUCAUGAAACAUAUGCUAAAUAUGGUGUAAUAAACUUAAAAAAAAAAUUAGAGAAAGAGCGUACGUAAGGGAAACAAAAAAAAAAAAAAAAAAAAAAAAAACUAAUUAAAAACAUGAUGAAGAUGACAAGAUGGUGAAAGAGAUUUUUCACCAAACAUUUGAUUAUUAACUAUAGAAACGUUUGACUAUGUAACACUGCUACCUUUUUUUAAUAUUGGGGUAGGUACUGUCGUUUCAUUGAAAAUGAUGUUGUAUUACUUGGCAAACAAAGAUGGUGGUAAGUUUUGAAUAAUGCAAUAAAUGAUUUGCAUGCUUUAUUCCUUGGUAAUAUUAUGAUUUUUUACAAAAAUAUUCUUUAAUUGACUUGGGCAGUGUCGGGUCCAGAAAGGCUGCAUCAGUGCCUAGUGAUUCUCAAUCAGAUGUAUAUCUGGACCAUUAGGGAACCAAGAUAAUAUUUUUGAUUGUGUCGCUAUUGUCCUUUAAAACUAUUUAUCCUUGCAUCUAAAUUAAUAAUUUGUUUUCUCAUGCUUGUAGUUUUUGAAAUAAAGUUAAUUCAGGUAGACCAGUUUUUAAUCAGACCUCCAUGCAACAUAUCUUCCCAUCCUACCCAAGAGAAGCUACUGAAAGCUCCCAUGACUGAAGAGAGACAACAAGGAUUCUAUCCUUUUGGAUCGACCUAGCACUAUCUUUUAGAUUCUAUCCAUCUAUUUGUUCUCAUCUUAUUUCUGGGAUAUAUAUAUAUAUAUAUGUUUCAACCCAUCUCAGUGUCUCUUGUAGAUUUAUAAAGGAUAAGUAUUAUUUCUAGUCCAUUCUAAUUAAUUGCCAUUCCCAUAAUUUAAGUUGAUACAAAAUUAGAACUUAUUCAAGAAAAUAAUGGAAAUAAUUCAAUCUAGCUUGUCAUUAAAAUGUUGUGAGAAAUAGAGGUCGCAUUAAAUCACAAUGAGUUUGAAUUGCAUAGACGCACGCACAAAAUCAGAACCAUAGAAGAAAUUCAGUGGAAUCUAUGGACUUACAAUACCUUAAUACUAGAAACGCUUAAAUUGGUUAUUAAAAAUAUCCCAUUUGGGAUUUAUUUUUACAAUAAGAAUAGUGAAUUAAAAGGCAGACAUUCAGAAACGGGACUCCAACUUAACUAGAAAUUCAUUACAACAGUAGGAAUCAUUCAUAUCAGACAACGACCAAUCCUUUAGAAGCGGCAGCAUGUCCAUGUGGUGACCUAGUAUCUCUACGUUGCUUCUCUUGGGAGAGUAGUCUUGCAAAACUGAAAAAUUAGAAGGAUUUUUUAUUAUCAUAUGAUUAGUUAAUUAACUAAGAAAGCUCUAGAAUAAAACUCUAAAAAUAGUUAGAUACCUUGUGAGAGCCUCCUCGUUGGUCUCGUGAUUUGAAGGCUCAAAGAUACCUGUAUCCAGGUUAACCCUUGAGACCCUUUUCUUUAACAACUCCUCACCAAUUUUCACAAGAUCAUCCAAAUUUUCCUUUGUGGCUAUGUCGACUGAUGAUGUUAUACCGCUCAAUGUAUCAUCCUGUAUUUACCCUUUGUGUCAGUAUCAGUGGUAGACAAGGAACAGAAGAAGCAAUUGACUUUCAGAUAUUUUUAGGACUGAGGAAAUUAUGAAGAAGAACAAAAUUUAAAUAAGAAAUUUGACUUUGUAAGUGACGGUAAAUUUAUGAAACCACAAGCAGCAAAGCUGUACCUGUAUCCGAAGAUAGCUUUUUUCCGAGUGAAAGGCUUGAAAAAGCUCUGAAAGGUGUAAGUCGAUCAUAUCUCCGCUUGCUUGGGUAAACACUUUCACUAAGGGGGUGGAACCACCACUGGUCAACCACCCCAACACACCCCACNNNNNNNNNNNNNNNNNNNNNNNNNNNNNNNNNNNNNNNNNNNNNNNNNNNNNNNNNNNNNNNNNNNNNNNNNNNNNNNNNNNNNNNNNNNNNNNNNNNNACUACCUUUGUAACAUGAGGAAUUGGAUCAUGACUGCAUUUAAAAGAAAGAUCAUGUUAAUAACUACAAAAAAUAUUGAAGUCUAGUUAAUUUUAUAUACAUAAAUACUAGCAUCCUGUCAUCUUAAUCAAGAUGUUCAUCAUGAUAUAUUUGUUACCUGUGCUGUGGGAAGAUCUUAGGGCAGUGAUCAAGGUAGAAGUCCUUGAUAUCUUUGGCAGAAAACAAGGGUCGGCCAGUGUUUUCAUUGGGAGUAGUUAGCAUGGCAGUCACGAGGCCACCGGUGCUUGUUCCUGCAAUCACAUCAAAAUAAUCUGAAAUUCUCGCGUCUUCACCAUCCAGCUUCUGCACCAUGGCCAAACAAUCUAGUGUUAGUACGUAUAAAAUAUAUCCAAUAUAGGAUAUAAGUUUCAGAUUAGGAAUAUGCUAAUUUUAAAAGGCAAAUGGAAAAGCCAUAUUUUGUUAUUAUCAUGUAAAACCUUAUAUUUCCUACCUGAAGCUCAGACUCCAGGAAGCCAAGGACUGUUCCUGGGAUAAGCCCUCUUAUUCCACCUCCAUCGAUGCUGAGAAUGGUGAUUAGGUUUCCAUAAGUUGGAGGCUGUAGGGGUGAUUUUGGUCCUUCUCCCAUUAGGGAUGGAGUGAUGGAGGUAUGAACUUGAGUGAUGGAGGUAUGAACUUGAGUGAUAGAGGAGAGAAAAUGAGAGACUUAGAAUAGAAUUGAAGUUUCUGCAGGAGACUUAGAAAUGUAGAGAGAUUUGGAGUUCUCUUUGAUAACUAGGCAGGAGUAUUUAUAGACUCCUUAGCAUAUAUCCCUCAUUUUUCUUGCCCAUACUUUUCUAAAUGGACCCGGGAUUCAUCAUUCGGGAUAAGUAGAAAAGUCCACAAGCAAACAGUAUCUUCUUGCUUCAUAGAAGCUAGCCAAAUGGUCAUAGACAUGACUCCUGGCAACUGUAGGUAAGACCAAAGAGAAUAGCUGGUAAGAAGGAUUAGGUGACUCAAUAAAGGUUGAGAUAGGAUGAAUUUUCCUAACUAAUGGAGUUUGUUAACAGGUCAUGGAAACACUAAGUCUUAUGAAAUGACUCUGGUUUCUAGCUAUGUCUGGUGCAAAGAAUCGUGAUGGAGACAAGCCUAAAUGCGCAUACCAAACAAAAAUUUAUUAUUCAAUGCGCACAAUUUUGUGUUCGUAAAUGGAUGCGCUUGACUGGGGAUGGCGAAGAUUUUGAAAGAACACCAACUAGGGCAACGAAAAGUACUGGCCAACGCGGCACUUGCACUGUGAAUGACAAGGGACGGAUAAUUCAAUGUCAAGCAGCAAGGUUUUACAUAAUUUCCUGUUAGACAUGAUUUUUUUGACCUAUUAACCUCAUGCUUUUCAUACUUAAUAUCUGUAUUUGUACACACCAUCAUUGGCUUCUAUAGUUUGUAGAAAACUACAAACUAUUUUUUGUAAUUACAGUUCUAAGUCCUGUGAAUUUUAGAUGAUGUGCAGUGCGAAGACUUGGUUGACUGUUAGUUACUGAGGUUUUCCCACAUCUCCCAAAUGUUAAAAUGAUGAAAUUAUUGCCUAAGAAGCACCUGUUGCAGAAUCAUAUUUGAAGGUAAGAUAGCAAAUUAUAGCUAACUAAAAAUAGGUUGUAUUAUAUUAAACUACAAAAAGUUUUCAGUACUUUUAUCUUUAUCAAUCUGUGUUAGGCACUUAUUUAGCAAGGUUGGAAGUAUGAAGGGUGGCAGCAUCCUUAAUGGACUUCACUUUAUGUCGACCUAACGUGGUCAAUUUGUAUUUAAAGAUUAACUUCACAUCCAUGAACGAAAAAAUCAUGUUUGUUUAUCAUGGUUAGGCAAAGAUGCAACGCAUCUGUGAAGUGAAAAAAAGAAAGGACUGGUCAACCAAGAAAAUCUGUUGGUUGCCCUAGUGAAUUUGUGAACAAUUCACUGGAAGGUUCAAAUUUCUGACACAGCAUGGCCUAUUCACUUUCAUCUUGAGCUUAAUCUAGAACAAAAAUAAUACUACUACAGCCUAAUUAGAACAGCUCUAAAGAGUUGGGAAUUGAUGCUGUAAAUACUUUGUUCCUUAUGGUCUUUGCAUGUUAAUCUUAGCUGCUGGGCUUAGCUGGGCAUUAAUAUUCAGAAAUUCUGAGAAGUCCAUUGCCUGUAUUUCAAAUCCCAAAUUUGAUCCAAGCCAUAUAUAACUUAAUUGAAAACAGUAUAGAUUUGAUCUUUUCAAUCAGUGCCCUUGACCAUUCCACCGUUCCAAAGCCAUCCCUUUGUUUCUAUUUCAUGGAAGCUAACUAUCUAUGCUGUAAUGCCAUCAAUCCAUUCCUGACUCUUUGUGAUGCUUAAUUUAUAACCUCCGAAGUCCAUUUGCUUACAUUCAUGGAAAUAAAUAAUGGAAGACCAUCGCACAAAAUUCUCUCCACGAGCCAUUCCUUCAGUGUUUCUUGGUUACCCACCUGGUUAUAAAGGUUACAAGUUGUUGAAUCUCUCCACCAAUGCCAUAUGCAUUAGCCGUGAUGUAGUUUUCCAUGAAUUUCUAUUUCCUUUUCGGUCCAUUGAUUCAAACUUUUCCUCUUGUGAUUUUUUUUUAAUCGAGUUCUUCCUUCUUCCAUUCACAAUCUUUUUUUUUUUUGUUUCUAAUGAUCCAAAACUUAUCUCACCCCAUACAGUCUUUACCAAACUUGCUGUCCCUUCCACUUCUCGUCCUGUUUGCCUCCCUAAACCACCAUUAUAUCUCCAAGGUUAUCAUUGUUAUUCCACAGUUUAAUCUACAUCUUCUGUAACAUAUCCUCUUUCUAGUGUUCUUGGCUAUGGUAAGCUCUCCUCUUCUCAUCAUGCUCUUGUUCAUGCCAUUUCUUCCCACAUUGAACCAACUUCCUUCUCUCAAGUUGUUGUGAUUCUAGAGUGGUACCAAGCUAUGCAGGCUAAACUUCAAGCUCUUAAACAAAAUGGUACAUGGUCUUUGACAUCUCUUCCUCCCGUCAAACAUCCCAUGGGAUGUAAAUAGGUCUACAAGCUCAAAUUUUGAGCUGAUGGUUCUCUUGAGCGUCACAAAGCUUGUCUUGUUGCAAAGGGAUAUACUCAACAAGAGGGUGUAGAUUAUCUUGACACCUUCUCUCCCAUAGCAAAAUUAGUCAUUGUCAAGUUUUUUUUUUUUUGGCUCUUGUUGUGAUUCAUGGCUGGUUUCUCACUCAACUUGAUGUUGACAAUGCAUUCCUUCAUGGUGAUAUGACCUAAGGAGUUUACAUGUCCCUUCCUCUAAGGUAUCACCGUGAGGGGGAGUCCUUACCUUCCAAUGUUGUUUGCAAGCUUUACAAGUCAAUUUAUGGGUUGAAACAAGCUUCUGGAUAGUGGUUUGUAAAAUUUUAUGGUAUUCUGUUAGCUAAAGGUUUCACACAAUCAACUGUGGAUCAUUCCUUGUACGUUUACCAAAUAUGAUGGUGACUCCCUUAUUGCCUUAUUGGCAUAUGUUGAUGACGUUGUCAUUGUGAUCAACAAUUCCAACCAUAUUGAAGAUCUCAAAAGGUUUCUUGACAACCAAUUUAAGCUCAAAGACCUUGGAUAACUUAAAUAUUUCCUUGGUCUCAGAAGUUCCUAGGACAAGUAAGGGGAUUUCAGUUAGCCAAAUACAUCACGCUCUUCAAUUGCUAUCUGAUAUAGGUUUUUUGGGAUGUAAACCUACAUGUACAUGAAUCGAAGCUAAUAUCCAACUUUCUCAAGAUGAUGGGGAGAUUCUUGAAGAUGCUGGAUUGUAUAGGUGAUUGAUUAGCAAGCUCCUAUAUCUCACAAUCGUGCAACCUGAUCUAUCUUACUCAGUUAAUCGACUUAGUCAGUAUCUUGCCAACCCAAGAUCUACUCACUUGCAAGCUGUUCAUCGAAUUUUACAAUAUAUUAAAGGUACAAUUGGCCAAGGUAUGUACUUUCCUUUUUCUUCAACAACCCAACUCAAAGCCUUUACUGACUCAGAUUGGGGUGCUGUGCUUGUAAAGAUAUAAGAAGAUCCAUCAAUGGGUUUUGCAUUUUUCUUGGAGAAUCAUUGAUUUCAUGGAAGUUUAGGAAACAAAGUACAGUUUCACGCUCAUUAGCUGAGGCAGAAUAUCAAGCAAUGGAAAAUACCACUUGUGAACUAAUCUGAUUGAUGUCUUUCCUUCCUGAUUUUUGCAUUGAACACAAACAACCAACUAUAUUAUUCUGUGACAAUGAGGCAGCACUUCACAUUGCUGCCAAUCUUGUGUUUCACGAACAGACCAAACAUAUAGAAAUUGAUUGCCAUCUUGUUUGUGAGAUGAUACAAACAGGUUGUCUCAAAACAAUGCAUGUAUCUUCUCAACAUCAAAUUGCAGAUCUCCUUACCAAGGCUCUCUUACCAACACAGUUUAAAUUUCUUUUCAACAAGAUGGGAAUUCACAAUAUUCAUUCUCCAAGGGGGAGUACUCGAAUAACAGGGUAUUUUUGUAUUGGUAAUAAAUCCGUUGAAUUUUCUGUUUUGUAAUCUAGUGAGUCAGUUAUGGGUGUAGUUCUCUAGGCUCUAUAUAUAGACAUGCUUUUGGGUAUUUUGAACUGAUCUUCAGAAAACAUGAAUGAAUAACAGAUUUUCGUUGUAAACCCUUUCCCUUUUUCUUCAGAAACAACUAACAAUAUUGAAACCCUUAAUUAACUAGCAUUUUUAUUUACUCUGGAUGAAGAUGGGGCUGAAGGAAGAGUGCUUGAAGUUAAUUUCCUUUGUAACCCAUCCAUUUUGCUUCAGCUAAGAUGAAGGAAGAAGAGAAAUCAGCCAAUUGGAGUUAAGGUAGAUUCAAUUGGAGUUAGGGUUCUCUUACUUUAGCUUAUUGGAUCCCUAGACCCAGCUAAUUAACCAGGAGCACCACCCACCAGCAGUUUAUGUCCAUUGAUAAAUACAAUCCUAGUUAGUUCUACACUGCCACGACCUUAACCCCUGCCUUGAACACCAGACCUUGCUGUCCGGGAACGCUGGCCAGUAAUGGUUAAUAGAGUCCUAGGGAAACCACAGAAAAAUAAGACAUUCAUAGAUUUUUACAUACGUUCAUAGACUCUUGUAUUAACAUUUUUGACUCGUGUAACAUUUGAGGAAAAAAGUGUAAAAAGAAAAUGAAGAAGGAAAUUAAUAGAAGAAAAGAAAAUAUGAAGAAAAAUAAAUAAAAUUUUAAAAUUAAUUAAUUAUUUUUAUAUAUUUCUUUAAAAUUUUAACUAAUUUUAAAAAUAUUUUAAUUUUUUAGUAUUUUUUUAUUAUAAUUUCAAAUUAAAAAAUUAUAUUAAACUUUUUAUUUUUUAUUUUUUAUUAUAAUUUCGAAUAAAAAAUUUCAGCACCUUAGUUUCUUCGGAGAUUUCUCUCUUCAAAUUCCUCUAUUCCCUUCAAAUUAUGUUCUCUCCAGUUCCCAUGGUUGGAACAGCAGCCAGUACUUGGGUAUGCUAUGUCAUUUUGAUGGUGGUGGCGUUUUGGUGAGUUGUUUGUCACAAGCGCUCUGAGGCUGGUGGAUGUAGGUUGGUGGUGUAGUGGGGUUGGUGUGGCACUAUUGUGUUGUAGGUGGGGAUUGAAAUGCUUAAAUUCUGAUUCAAGCUCUCUCUCAUGUCUUUAUUCUUGGACUUUCAGCGCCUAUUUCUUCCGCCACAAUGUGUUUAUAUCAUUUGUUAAUCUGAGACUACUAUUAUGUGAUUCAUGAAAUUUUUGGAAUGAGGUAGUGCACAAUGUGUUUAUAUCUAUGAAGUGUGGAUUUUACCAUUAGCUAGAUACAAGCAACAGGGAAGUGCAAGAUAAUAUGUGUUCGUGUGUGCACCAGAAAAGAAUUUUAACCAGGGUGAAAUUCAAACUGUGGUUGUGGGCUAUAUCUACCGUGCUUCAAUUUUUUGAUAGGGAUAUUUGAUCAACAACUUUUGAAAAGUUUAUGAAUUCAACAAAAUAUCUCUUCAAUAUUAACAUUGCCUUGAAAAUGAUGAAGAAAUACAUCACAUUGACAAUCUUGUCAGGCUGUGCAGGAGAUAUAGUCCUUCUGAAACUUUCACAAUAUUACCCACCAUCAAACCUAAGAUAAUAUUUCACCCAACUUGCCUCUUCUGUUUUUGAUGAAGUAUCACAAUCCGUGAUGGUGUGGGCUCUUGCAUUAAAUUGUGUUUAAGCAUCAUGUCUAAUUUGUUUCAUUUGUUUUGCGAGUGUCAAACAUAUACAACUUUUUUCAUUUUUCGGAUUAAACAAGUUGGUUUCUAGGGAGGAUACUAGGUUUUGUGAUAGUAUGAAGCUAUUUGAUGUUUUCAGUGUGUAAAGAAGAAGUUAGAGGACUCCCUGUACUCUUUUGAUGAAGUAUGUAUGGGCAUUGAAGUCUUGAACGUUAAGCAAAUAAAGAAGUUGUAUAUUGAUAUAAUAAUAUGAGGCAUUUACAUAUGUAACCUUAUGGAGAUCUUUCUGGUCCGCUUAAUUUCAAUGAUGUGUAUUUGCUUUGAAUUUGGGUUCUUGGAUAUGGUCUCAGUUGGAUAUGGCCAUCUUUGGAGGAAUACAAUGUAUGAUCUCAAAUUUAACAGUAUCCAUUUUCUUUGGCAAGAAGAUGAUCUCAUAGAGAUAGUGUGGGAACUUUAGGUAAGAGGACUCUCAAAGAAUUGUAGGUAAGAAUAGUUAGGUGAAGUGAUCAAGCUGAACAUGAGAUGGAUUAUCCUAACCAGUCAAAAACACUAUGCGACAAAGGCCAUACUUUGUUCAUAAAUAACUGUGGUUCAAGUGUCUAGCGACAUGAGAAGGGGGACAUACCUGGUUGUUGCGAUCAAGAAUUGGUAAUUGGCAUUCUGAACAUACUUUAUUAUCAUUAAUUUUUUGUGAGAGGUGGUGCCUUAUCUGGUUGCGGAGGAGUCAAUUGGUGCGGCGAUUAGUAGGUAAUGGAAUUUCCACAUGCCAACAGCCAAUAAUACUAAUGACCAUGAAAGCGUCAAUCAGGGUGGCGCUGAUUGCAGGGCAACCUUGUGCAUCAAGAAUGAUUAGUACUAGAGAAUUCAACAAAUUAAGGUAUACCAUUCUGUUAUUCUUCCAUAAGACUUUCAACGCUGAAUGGGAGAAUAGGUUGGUUUUGACAACUUAGACUGUAGAAGUCUAAGCUUCCAUCUCGUUUUAGCCUAACUUUUUCCUUGUCCAAUAGUUUAUAUUUUCUUUCUUAUUUUCAGUAAAUUUUUUAUGCUAAAAACAUUGGCUUGUUCACACAUUAAUUCUAAUUAAACAGCAUGCAUGACAAUAAAAUACCACUACAUGUUUUUCAGUUGCAUCUCUUUCAGCAUGUUUCAUAAUUUCGAAAUUUAAAAGAAAAAUCCUAUUCCUUUUUCCCCUUAAUCACUGCACCAUGCAUUCAAAGUAGUAAUUCUGUUUUGAGCAAGAUUUGCAUUUCAUAUGCAUAACAACUUCCAUAUGCAGUUAGUGCUCCUUGUGUGACAAAUGGGGUUGAGAGUUGGGGUAUGCUUAUCCUUUUACUGUCAUGGUGAACUGAGAAUGGUUAGUUGUCCAUAAGCUCAAGGGCUUUGUUGGGAGGAAGAGGAAGAAGAAGUCCUUUUACUGUCAUAGAAAACUGAGAAUGGUUAGGUCCAUGAGCUCUAGGUAUUUUCUGGGAAGAGGAAGGCUAAAAGGAAGAAAAAGAAGAUACAACUGAUGUACGAAGAAGAAUCGUUGAAUGGGCACCUAGCCUUCACCGUAUCUUAUUUGAUAAUUGCAACUGGGACUAUAUAUAACUUGAAUAUUAAGGCAUACUACUCAAAUUUUCCACACUUGACCUAACAAAUAAAAUAAGAUAAUCGUGGAAGAUGCUAGCGUAUAUAUCCUAAACUGAUCUAGGUAUCCUAUCCUAAACUACUUUAAAUGUUAAUUAAGGAAUGCAACAUCACUUAAAUAUUGUUGUCUUUCAAACAAGGCACACAACACAUCAAGUUAUCACACUACAUGGCAUUUAUUUAAUAAUAUACUAAUUAAUUGAACUGGAACUGACAAACUUCAAUUUAAGAUUAUUUCUGAUUAAUUUGCUGCACAUCCAUCUGGGAUUUGAAAUCACGAAGGCGUUUCUCUUGUGACAGUACUUCUGCAAACCUGUGACAUUGAGAGCAAUUCGAUCAGUAUUAAUGAAUGAUAGAAGAACAGGUGGCAUAUGUAGAGGGGCUUGUUUAUUAAUCCGGCAUAUUGUUGUUUAUGAUCACAUGCGUUCUCAUCUGAAAUGAAAUUACUAUAUAGUUUUGAUUCAAUAAUUAGUGGACAGAAUUUUAUACAGUAAACAGAUUUACAAUGAGAACUGAAUCUAAGACUAAUUUGAUACCUCAUGAGAGCCUCUUCAUUUGUUUGUUCACUUGAAGGCUCCAAAUUUGAUACCACAAUCAGUUGGCUUUAUAGAAAAGAAAUGAGGAUUUCCCCCACAAAUCUCGUUAGUCACUUCGCCACUGGAAAUUAAAGCCUGAAAGGGAUCAAUAGGAGGUCACAAUUAUUAUAACAAUUCAUCACUCAUUUGUGUUUCAGUAAGAGAUAUACAAUACCGGAUUAUUGGAAGCUACUCCAUCAAUAAGAUUGAAAUUUUCUAACUCUCCCUGUGACAUAAUCUUUGAGAGAUAAGUUGGAGCAGCUAGCUGAAGUUCCUAUGCAUAUCACCGAGAGUAAGGCAUCUAUGCUUGGGUGCUGUUUGACCUAGAUCACCAUGAAUAUCAAUAGUAAGUAAGUUUCUUUUCUGAUAAUGAGGACCAUGAAAAAAAAUGGUGAAAUAGUACAUUCCAAAGAUUUUUGUAUCCAUAACUAACUAAACCUUAAUGUUGGAGAAGAUGGUGAUGAACUACCAAUUUUCUUAAAAACUUAAGUUUGAAGGAUUUGAGUUCAAUAUGCAUAUCAUGCUCCUUAACACCCUCAUGUGAUCCUUAACACCUUCCCUCACAUGCGGUCCCAUCCCUGCACGCGAAGAGAUAAACAAAAUUUGGAUUCAUAUUUAGAAAAACAAACAGGAGAUAUGCAGAUUAAGACCUCCAACCAAACUAAGCUUUAAUACCAUCUUGAACUACUAACUUUUCAAAAAGCUUAAACUUAUAGUAUUUGGGUUCAGUAUGCAUAUCAAAUGAUGGUUAUUCUUUUGUAAUAGGAUGUAAUUAUUCUUUUGUAAUAGGAUGCAUAUUAGGUCUCAUAACCAUUCUUUUACUCAAAGGGUGUCGUAAGUUGACCCUAAGUUAAAUUAUUCUUAAAUUGUUAACUUAAAAUCUUAUUACUUUUUUUUUUUUUUAAAUGUUAAGGUUGUUUGGUAAAGCUAACUUAAAAUCUAUUUUAAAUUAUCAAAUAUUCGUUUUUGUAAUAUUUAGAUUUUCUUAUAAAAUAAAGAAAGUUAUUAAAAAUAUUUUCAUAAAUAUUUUAACUCAUGAGUGAAAAAGGUUAUAAGAUAUAUAUAUGAAGACUAAUAUGUGGUGAAUGGCCAUAUAAUAAAGAAUGGUUGGGAAUCAAUAGUCAUAUCUAGUUUUUGGCCUCUAAUACUUUCUAUGACAUAAUGAUUAAAAUGGUAGACUGUUUUAUUUUUAUAAAGCUUUCGCUAGCAUAACACUACUUCUAACCUAAAAAAUGUAGAAAAUUUUUCAAAAUUAUUUCAAAAUAUGCUUAAUGUUGUGGAAAAGAAACUAAAAUAUUUCAAAACAUUCUAACCUAAAUGUUUUAUAUAUAUUCUCUGUAAUUUCUCUUAAAAACCCCUCCAUAUUCCUCUUUAAUGUUGUGGAAAAGAAACUAAAAUAAAUACGUUAAUGCAUAUGACAAUGUUUCUACUUAAAGUGUAUUUAAUAUAAAUAUUUUUUCUAUUAGUAUUUUUAGGAAAACCAUUUAUCAUUUAUUAAAUGUUUCUUUAAAAAGUGCUAGCUAUAAGUUAAUUUUUCAUAUUUUAAAAAUAUUUUCUUAAUUUUAUCAAAUUCUAUUUUAAUUUUCAAAAAUAAUUUUUUAAAUUAAAAAUACUUUCCAAAAUCAUGACACCAUCGAAUAAAUAUUUAUCAUAGUUAUCAGUUUAAUCACCACAUAAAAAGUUGAUGUGGUCCAAAAUGAUGUAGGUAGGUAGGUGAGCGGGAUUGAAUAAGCAUUUGGAUUGUAAAUUGUUCACUGUUUUUUAAAGUUGUGUAGUGAUAAUUUUUAAAGAAAAGUCGCUCCAAGAACCCUACUUUGACAUGCAGUAGAAUAUAGAGAUGAAAUAUGUGCAAAUGAUCAUCCACAUAUUAUUAAAUAAUUUAUACCUGAAGUUGAGAUUCCAGGCAAGCAAGGAUAGUUGCAGGAAUGAUGCCCCUGAUACCACCUCCAUCAAUACUAAGAAUGGUGACUAGGUUACCAUAAGUUGGGGGCUGGACUUGAGGUAAGAGUGAUUUCUCCAUCUGAAAAAUGAUAAUUAUAGGAUUGUAUGCACUAACUUACAACAAUAAACUAAGAAAUUUCCAUCUUCAUUUGCUUGUUGGAAUUGUGAUGUAUGACUGAUGACUUGUUAGGAUUUAUCUGAAAAUAAAGUCUAAGCUUGCUGCUUCUUCUAGGGUAGCAUACCAUAUAAAGCUCUCUCUCUCUCUCUCUCAUAAGGACAGUGAUGAUUCUUUGUGAUGUAAUUAACAAUGCAUUCCUGAUUCUUUGUGAUGCUUUAUAACCUGGGAAGUCCAUUUGCUUACCAUUUAUCACAUAUAUCGACGUGAUCUGAUCAAGGCAAUAAAUAAUGGCAAUCCUUUAUAGCCCAGCUACUUUUGUUCAAGGGUUUUCUUUUACCAUGCGUACCUUUAAUAUCUCAAAUUAUGUGCAUCAAUUAACAUAUAUGAGAUAGGGGUUCAUGUCUUCCAAGUAUGCACAACUUUCUACCAAAAAGUCUCGCGUGUGGAGGUAUGAUUUAAGGGCUUGGAUGAAAUGAGAAAAAUGAUGGCAAAAUUCUGAAGUUGUUAAAACACUGACUUAACUCGCAUUUUCAUUUACUUUGGAUGAAGAUGGGGCUGAAGGAAAAGUGCUUGAAGUUUUCUUAGUAAUCCAUCCAUUUUGCUUCACCCAAUUAGAUGAAGGGAGAAGCGCAAAUGUAGAAGGUAGAUUCACUUGGAGUUUCUCUUACUUUACCUUAUCGGAUCCCUAGACCUAGCCAAUUAAUUAACCAGGACCACCACCCACCAGUGGUUUAUGUCCAUUUAUAAAUACAAUCAAUUAUAUGCUGCCACGUGCUUCACUGUAACCCCUGCCCUGUAAACCGGUCCUUGCUGUCUGGAAACGCUGCCCAGCAAUGGUUUAAUAUAGUAUGAGAGAAACCACAGAAAAAUCUAUAGGACAUUCAUAAAUUUUUAAGAAUAUGCCUCGAAGACUUACAAUGGUCAAUAGCUGACUACUCUGCCCAUAUGAUUCUUCGUCUGUGCCACACACGGAUCUUUUUAAUUAUUUCGUGUUAAACAAACCCGACUUUGUAGUUUCUGACUUCUUCAGGUUUUUGCUUGUUCCACAUCCAGCAGGUUUUUAACUUUUAUGGAGUCAACAAUUUCAAGCAAGUGACAUCUUAAACGUUGUUUUCUGAAAAAAAAAAAUUUUAAAAAUCAGAAAUCUAACUCACAUAUAUCCAAUAGAAGAUUGUAGCAAAAUUGAAUUGCAAACCAAACACAAAAGAAGUCCAAAAGAAUAUUUCAUUCUUUCACAGUUCAUUAGCAAUAUUACAGUCUACCCGUGAUUAUUCACUCUCUAAACAAUGGUUAUGAAUCUAAAUUAAGGCCGAUUGCAGCUAACCAAACCCAAGCUAAGAGAAAGUUUAUUACAGCACAAUCAAUUAUAGAAGAAAAUAGCUAAUUUUAAAUUGAUGAUGCCCUACAUGCUGCAUGUCCAUGAGGCGACUUAGCUAUGAAGCUUCUUUUCUUGGGAGAGCAGGUUUGCAAACCUGCAGGAUUGAAAGCUACUUAUUGUGAUUGUGAUAUUGAUUCAGAAAAUAAAAAAUAAAAAAUGUAUUUCUACAAACCUUAUGCGAGCCUCUUCAUUGGUCUCCUGAUUAGUAGGAACAAAGAUACCCGACUCCACAUUAAAUUCAUCCUUGAAACUGGUUUCUUUAGCAGUCGUUCCCCAACUUUUACAAGAUUUUUUACUUUCUUCCAUGGCAAUAUCAACUGAAGAUACUAGUCCUUUUAGGUAUCAUCCAACAGUUUAAUUUUUAUUUGAAGGUGUCAAAACUAGUGUUAUGGUGGACCAGAAAACAAGGAAGAAAAUCAUUUUUCAUCUCCAAGAAUAUAGAGGAUUUUAACAACAAUAGGUUUGAUGUUGUAUCAAUGCUUGUAUAAAGACGUGCAUGAGCAUGUAUGCCUACCUGAAUCCGAAGGUAAUUCUUUCCCGAGAGAAGGGCUUGAAAAACCAUGGAAAUAUGGAAGUCUACCAUAUCUGUGCUUGCUUGAGUAAACACAUUCACUAAUGGGGUGAAACCAAUACUAGUUAACCAUCCCAAUAUAUAUGGAAGUCAACCAUAUCCAUAACUGUUUGUCUUUAAGUUUUUCCUUUACAAGGCUUUGCAAAAACUUUCCAACAUAUUUUGGACUUAGUAAGGCUUUUGAUUAUCUUUAUAACUUUCAUUUAGGAAAAAAAAAAAAAAAGAAGAAAAAAUCAUGUUAACAACUAUAAAAAUAGUAACUUUGUGACAUUCAAUUCAACAUAAUUAUACUGGUUAAUGAAUUCUUUGGUUGUGGACAAAUUUUAGGAGACUGAUUAAGGUAGAGAUUCUCAAUGCCUUUGGCGGCAAACAUGGGGCAAUUGUCUUACUAGGUGCAGUUAGCAUGACAGUCACAAGACCACCUGUGCUUGUCCCAGCAUCAUAUCAAAAUAGUUUACAAUUCUUCAAUCCCCUCCAUCCAACUUCUAAACCUAGUAGAAACCACUUAGAGUUAAUACUUGCAUUAUAAGAACCACUGUUAACAUCAACACAAAUGAAGUGGUAAUAUAGAAAAUUGUUGCAGCUUCAAAAACGCCCUCCAUUUAAAUAUACACAGGUGAAAAAUGGCAUAAAUGCCAUAAUUCUGGUUGAAUUGAUAUGGCAGAGGUAGCUUGUAGAUAUGAAUGUCAUGAUUAGUAUCACUCUUCAUAUAUGGAAUAGAAGAGUGAUGCUCCUGAUGCUUGGGGAGCUUGUUGAUAUUUAGAUCUUACCUGAAGUUCAGACUCUAGAAAGUUAAGGGUAGUUAAUUCCUAGGAUAAUCCUUUUUAUCCCACCUUCAUCAAUGUUGAGGAUGGUAAUUAAUUAGAUUCCCAUAUGUUGGAGGUUGCUAGGGUGAUUUUAAUUUGCUCCUUCCAUGAUGGUAUGAAGUAAAAGAGAUAGAUGUAUAGACUUUCUUUAGAAAAAAUUGUAAGAUCUUGAAAUAAAUUUUAAUAGAAAAAGAAAUUGUAAGACUGAAGUACUCUUUCAUAAAGCAUGAGAUAUUAAAGUUCUACCAAGUUAAGAGAAAGAAUCUAUGAAUAUGGAAGACUUACAUAACAUGGGUAUCUAUGUUUAUAGCAUGAUAUGUAUUUUAAUUUUUCCCCUAAGUUUCAUUAGUGCACCGUCUAUACUUAAUUCUUUGACUUUGUCCCUACAUGUACUUUCCUUGAUGUGGCUUUGGUUGGAGAUGAUGAUUACUAACAUGGUUAUCAUUCAAUGAAAAACAACUGUUAAAUCAUUUUAUCAUAAUGGAAAGAUGGCCCUUGUAGGCACUCAAUAUGGGAAUUGUAGGUAGAGUACUACUCUAAGAGAAUUUUAGGUAAGACUAAUUAGGUAAAUGUAUAUAGCUAAAAAUGGAAUGCAUCAAUCCAACCAAACUAUUACGCUAAGCAACAAAGGCCACAAUUUCUAAAUAAAUAACUUAACGUGAAUUGUAGUAUCUAGCAUGUUUAAAUGAAAACAUUCUUGCUUGCAUGUUGAAUUCAAGAAAUUAGUUUGUAUUCUAAAUGUCGUUUUUUCUUUUUUUGUAAUAGGUGGCGCCUAUGAUUCGUGCCCAAUUGGUGUCUCAGCUGAUUCGUGUCCAGCUGGUGCUCCUUGAUUGAGGGAUUAAUCAACAAAAUUUAUAACCUAUUACACCAUAUACUAGGGUAGCAAAGACAAAGCUACUAUAGCAAAGUGGCUCUAGGAUCGUUCACUGGGAUGGGUUUUCACUUCACAAAUGAUAUUAAUUCAAAGUUGAAUUGGUGCCUUUUCAUUUCAAGGUUAGCUUUAAAAGAAAACAUAAAAUUGAAUUGGAAAAGGUUUGGUUUUAAACUAACCAAAAAUAGUAACUGAUUUUACUUACAAAGAAAAGUGUUUCUUGGAGUUUAGAUCACUAGGCUCAGGUUCCUCAUACAAAAAGGAGAGUUCCGGUCACUUGUUUCUUUUCCUCGCAUUAGAGAAUUAACAUAUAGUUUCUUCUCCAACCGGUGUUAUACAGAUGCUUCCCAUUAAUGGGUUCAAACACUAAAUCCCUCUCACUGAUGCAUCUUGCAAUGGCUCGUGCCUCUCACCUAGCAUUUGCCAUUCAAGGUGAUCUUUAACCUUGGACUUCCCUUCUCAAGCUCGCAAGAGAUAACUAAUGGAUGUCUCCUUGGAGUCCAAAAGCUUACCAAGUGUUGGCUAUUCUAGAAAAUCCUACCUUCAAACCACCUACCAAAGGCUCGCAAGGGGUAAACUAGUGCAUCUCCAUGGACGGAGAUCACUUGCCUUACCAAGUGUUGGCCCAGGUGAUUUAAAGGCGUUUUAAGUUAACUAAAAACAUAGAAAUCACUAACGGGUUACACUUUCUCUUCAUUAAAAACUAAAACAACAAAACUUCCAAAUUAUGCAUGUGGAAACUUACCCGGCUUUCCUCACUCCAAGAGACAAAAAGCUUAGCCUCUCAUCCUCUGUGGAAAAAUCCUCAGAGUUUGGUUGGCUAGAAAAUGAAAAUGAAAGAGAAGACAAGAAUAUAUAUCAAAAACAGAGCAAGUGCUCUGUUUGUUGAUUCUAUAUAUUAGAUUACAUAUAUGAUCCUCCUCCUCCUUUUACAGUGGAUGCAAGGGAAUAUAUAUAGAGGAGUUUUUCCAACCUUCCUAGCUAAGAAAUCUUGUGGUUGGUGGCUUACAAGGAGAAGAAUGGAAAUUUAUACAAAAAUAUCUGAAGAAAAGAUCUAAAAGAGUCGGUGCACAAAUAUCAGGAAGCACUAAGGACAUUUCGCAGGUGAAAAUGGUGUCUGCGAGAUUUCGCAGACACUCAAGAGGGCUGCGAAAUAUUUUCGCAACAACAAGUUAAACUCGCAGGGCUGCGAAAUUGGCUUCCACCUUGAGGUUCUCAGAGUUCCAGCUUGCGGCAUGUAUCGGGUAGCUUCAGGAGGAAUUCCAUAGCACUGUACAAAAAGGCUGCGAAAUUCUCCCAACAAAAGGCUGAUUUCGCAACACUUUGGAGUGAUCUGCUUGCAAUGGCUGUAACUCCUUCGUUUCAACUCCGAAUUGAGCACCGUUUGAAGCAUUGGAUUCUUGACUUCCUGAGCUUUGAAAUGGUAUAUAGAAUGUAGAAAAUGGACUUGGGGAAGUGCUCCAAAAGUGCGCAUGAAGACUGCAGCUGCUUGUCCUCUGUUUUCUUCACUCUGUUUUUCCUUUCUCCUUGCUUCUCUCCUUGCAUACUUUGAACGACUAUGGCAAAGGGAUAUGGGGCUCCAAAGCUUGGUUCUUCAUGAAUUUGAGCUCUUCAUUGCUUUGCCAUGGAUUCCAAAUAACUCUCCUCAAUCUUGGAUUGUUUUGGUAAUCAAAUUACUAACAAAAACACCAAAACUUACACAAUUUGAUUAGAAAUGAUUGCAAGGGUCCUUAACAUGUUAAUUGAGUUAAAAGGCAAUAACUACUACUCAAAAGUGUUUAAAAGGAUUAAUUACAAGCUAUGAAAUUGCACUUUUUGAGUAGUAAUCAGCCUACAUUCUAAACACCAACUUUUUUCACAAUAGGUGGAGCCUACAUUCUAUAUAAACAUCUACUUUUUUUUUUUUUUUUUGCAAUAUGUGGUACCUUAUCAAGGUGCAAAAGAAUCAAUUGGUGAGAAAAAUUUGUAAUUCAAUCAAAUCAAUUCCACGGGCCUCAAAAAAUGAGAAAUAAUAUUGAUGAUAUGACAAUGAUGAAAGCCUCCAUCAAGUUGAUGACGAAAGAGUCAAAGCCUCGAUCAAGGAAGGCAGCUGAGUGUAGCAUGCAUGAACCAACAAUGAACUCUGGUUUAACAUUCAGUUAUGAACAAUAACAGGAACUUUGAUUUACCUUUUUGCUAUGAACAAUUUCAGGAGUUGUCAACUCUGGUUUAAUAUUCUGUUAUGUGGAGAAACCUCCUUAAGAUGUUUUCACUGUUGUUUACACGGAGGGGCACAAGUAAUUAACACUGCAUUUCUUUGGAAAAGGCGAAGCCCAAGGGAUACAAUUGGGAGUGGAUGAGUAAAACGGGGAAACCAAAUUUGCCCAACCCAACCAGAAAAACUACUGUAGCAGUUAUGUAUACAGAAAGAGCAUUUAUAUGUACAGAAAGAAAAGACGCCCAAACCCCUUCAUUUGAUGCCUUGUGCAACAGAUGCGGAUUUGGAUAUCUGCUCCCAAAAUGGAGAAUAUUGGUGAUUGAAGUAAUGUGCUGAAUAUUGUUAUUAGAAUGGGAUGAUAUGUCAUUUUGAAGGUGAUGGGGUUUUGGUUAGUUGUUUGUCACGAGCGCUCUGAGGCUAGUGGAUGUAGGUGGCAUUAAUUGUGGGUUGGUGUGGUUGUGUUGUUGGUGGGGAUUGAAAUGCUUAAAUAUUGAUUCAAUCACUAUGGAGAGAUUUUGAUAUAUUUUUUAUAUGAAAGAAAGUGAAAGCAUUUAUCAGGUUUCCUCUUGAGCUUUAGAGAUCUUUAAUCAAAUUAGAAGCCUUAGAUAUAUUUUUUUUUUAUGAAAGAAAGUGAAAGCAUUUAUCAGGUUUCCUCUUGAGCUUUAGAGAUCAUUAAUCAAAUUAGAAGCCUUAGUAAUGAUAUUCAGGAAAAAUAAAAAGUAUUGUUUCUAAGAAGGUUGUCAAAAAAGUUUGAUAAUGUAGUUGCUGCAAUUAAAGAAUAUUCCAAAGAUUUCUUAAGAACUAGAAUUAAUGGAGCCACUUAAAACCACAUGAGCAAAGAAUCAACAAGUAUUCCAUUUCACCUAUGGACUAAGCUUUUCAAUCAAAAAGCAAUGUUGCUGAUAACAAAGGUUUUAGGCAAAGAAAGUAAAAGGACGGGGGUUUUGGUAAUGGGCCUAUCUAAGGCCCUCCUCUGUGUCUUCAAAGUUGGUCUAGUUUGGGGCCAGGAUUAAAACUUGGCUAGCGUGAAUGGCCCAAGAAGAAAAAUGGCAAAGUAAGAUGUAGAAGAGCUAACCAUGAGGAGUAGUCGGGAUAGUUAGUGCUUGGAGUUGUAACUACUUAAAAUGGCAAAGAGAGAAUCAAUGAGGAGGAAAAUGCCCCCAUAGACUCUGCACCUAUCGAUAGAUGAAGGGUAUAUCAAUGCAACUAGCUAGGCCAUCACCAAGAGAGAGGUAAGAAAGAACAAUAAGAAAUACUCUUUUUUUAUAAAAUAAAUAUAAAAAAAACCAACUAACUUAACUAUUGGAGAAGCUUAUCCCAGGGCUAUAUCGGGUAAGCCAUGCGUUGCAAGUAAAAAACGCACAACAAGUAGAGGAUUAUAGCUUAAGAAAUUUUCAACUCCAACAAGUGGCGUCGUUUGUGGGAAGUUUCUAUGUUGAAGUAUAGCUUUCACUUUGAACUUGACGUAGAACCCUUUUCUUUUUGUCUGGAGUUGGAAGUUAGACAAUGGAAGACACUUAGUUGUGGGAUUCAAUUAGUAUGACAAUCCCCCGGAGGGCCACUACCUCAAAAACUCUUUGCGAGGGUUUUGAAAGAUUCUAGGUGGAGCAGGAAAGGAGAAUGGAAUCCAUCCUUGCUCAAACUGAGUUGCUAAGGCAAGAAAAUGCCUUGUUGUAGAAACAACUAGAAGAUCAGUAGGUUCACAUUCAAAUGUUGCAUCAACCAGCAAGCAAUCUUGAUCAUAUACGCCAACAAGAUAAUGAUGACAUGGUGGAGCCUUUAGAUCAUGCAGUUCCCCUUGGUCAAGCUCCUCACACCAUUUUAAACUCGCAUGGGGGACAUCGCCCAUUUGACGCUAGGAUUCCAAGAAUGUUGGUCACUGAAAGAGUCAAUGAGGUAGACAACACCUCUCGGUGGGGACCCCAACACCCAUUAUAUUCAAACUCAAGUAGCCGACAACAAAUGAGAUUACCCUAGGUUAAAGUCACGAGAAGGAUGGCUUGACCCCUGUCUUUAGCAGUUUGGCUCCCUCAGGAACAUCCAAAUGAAUUGCCCCUAAGGGCCACAACUUGCCACUUGACAGAUAUGAUGACAACGUCAUUUGAUCAACAUAUUCUGAUGUAUGAACCCCCAAGAGGGUACACCAUUCCUAAGUUCGCCAUGUAUGAUUGUACAUAUGAUCCAUUCAACCAUUUAAUGCAUUAUCGAAAAAUGAUGACGCUAGAUAUCGGCAAUGAUGAACUCCCUUUGUAAGGUGUUCCCAACUAGUUUCCAGGGCACUACCCUAGCUUGGUUUCACAAGUUUUCCCCUAAUUCUAUUCACUCCUUUAGGGAGAUGUCAGAAGUCUUCGUAGCGCACUAUCUGUGCUUAGCAAGGCAAAAGUUUAACAUAAGUAGUCUUUAGAACCUGAAUAAAACAAAAAGUGAGACUUUGGGUCAAUUCAUGCACAAAUUCAACCAAACAAUGCUCCAGAUAGAAAAAUGCAAUAUGGAUGCUUUACUACAAGCAUUCAAACGCAACAUUGGCCUUGGGACUCCAUUAUUUGAAUAGCUCUUGAAAAAAUCGCCAUAGAUAGUUGAUGACUUGUUUAGAAGGGCCAAUAAGUAUGCCCUGUUGGAAAAAGAUUUAUAGGUUGCUGCCAGCCCUGUUUUGGCAUCAACACAGACAACACGAGCAAGAAAAAAUGCAGGAAACAAACAUCAGGGCCCGGGUAACCCCUCAUAAGACAAGAAGUCAUGUAGGAAUAAGGAAGACCAAAGAGCACCCCGAUGGUGGACCCCACUUAGCUUGACUUAUGAAUAGUUGCUUCCCAUUAUGAGCAGUACUAGUUUGCCCGAUUUCAAGUGGUCUUUUGCUCUUUAGGGACUCAGCGCAAUGAGAUCAAACUCGGCAUUGUGAAUAUCACAAAGAACAUGAACAUACUACGGAUGAAUGCUGACACUUUCGUUAUUUGGUGGAGGAAUGGUGAGAGUCGGCUUGAUCUCCCACUAUGUCGAGAAAAGUGAACGAUCGACCAUUGGGAGUAACAAGCAAGCUGCAGUUGUCAUGGUUUAGCCAGGUGGAACCUUGCCAAUCAUUCACAUCAUUCAAGGAGGGCCUAUGGAUCAAUGCUGGAAGUCAAAGCGUCGUCGACGAGCAAUGAUCUAAGAAGCAAUCGAUGUAGAGAAGAUUAGCAUGGAACAAAUUUCCUUUGUUCCAGGGACAAUGGAACCUAUGGAUGGGGUUGUCUAUUUUAACCCUUGGGAUCCGACCUUGGUAACAGUGCCCCAUGAAGAUGCCCUUGUCUUGUCACUCAAAAUUGCUAGAUUCCAAGUCUGUCGGGUAUUAGUUGAUCCUGGCAGUUCAGUUGAUUUUCUCCACAUCUCAACUUAUAAGUAGAUGGGCAUCCCAAUUUAUACUUUAGGAAGCCCAGACUAAGUACUAACAGACUUCAAUAGCUUAACAUCCCGAUCUUUGGGGGAAAUAAUUUUGCUAGUAGAAGCCAGCCUUACAGCCCUAAAUGCCUGUUUUUUAGUCAUAUUAAAUCCUUUGCCUUAUAACACUAUACUGGGAAUAAAAUGGAUUCACAAAAUGAAAGCUACCCCAUCAACUUAUCACCAAAAAGUCAGUUUCCUUAGAAAAACGGGACAUGUUGAUCUAUUUGGAAGCUAACUAGCAGCAAGGCAAUGUUAUCAGGUAAAUGUUAGGCUUGUAGGAGAGGAAAUCGAAAGUGUUUGCACUGACAGCGAGGCCCAACAGAAAUAACAAUUACUAAAAAAAGGGGGAUGAGCAAGAGCCUCCAGUCGUUGACCCACUCGUUUGCACAGAAAUACAAAAUAGGGGACCAUAUAGAGUUACUUAUGUUAGCUUUAUCCUGACAGAUCAAGAGAAAUAGCUAUUAGUAAACCAACUAGAUAUGAAUCCCAUACUUUUUGCUUGGAAGUUUUCUGACAUGUGAGGAAUAUCUCCUGAAGUGAUUAGCCAUAAACUCGGGAUCCACCUAGAAUCAAAGCCUGUUUAUCAUAAAGUAAGGAAACUCAAUUAAAAAAAGUAGUAGAUAGUUCAGCAUGAAAUAUCCCGAUUGCUCGAUGCGGGAUUCAUUCGAGAGGCUAGCUAAUGUAGUAGUUGUGCCAAAAUAAAAAAAAGGCAAGUGGAGGGUUUGUAUUGAUUUUACUAACCUAAGGGAGGUGUGCCCAAAAGAUAGUUUCCUUUUACCACACAUUGAUCAAACAGUUGAUGCCACUUCAGGGCAUAAAAUGUUGUCAUUUAUGGACGUCUUUUCUGGCUAUAAUCAGAUUCCCAUAUAUCUUCUUGAUUCAGAAAAGACAACAUUAAUAACCCAUUUCAGAACUUUUUGUUACAAUGUUAUGUCUUUCAACCUUAGAAUGCAGGAGCCACUUAUCAGCGACUCAUGACAAAGAUAUUCUAUCUAAUGUUAGGCAAAACAACGAAAGUUUAUAUAGACGAUAUACUUGUAAAAAGCUAGAAACGGGAGGAUCACUACACAAAUUUACAACAAGCUUUUAACUUAUUGUCGCACUUUGGGAUGAAGUUAAAUCCAACUAAAUGUGCAUUUGAUGUAUCUGUUGGUAAGUUUUUGGGUUUCCUAGUCAUAGUGUGUGGUAUAGAGAUAGAUCCUGCUCAAAUAAAGAAAGUACAAGAGUUACCUUUUCCACGUAAUAAAAAAGAAAUACAACAUUUAACAGGAAAAAUGGUGGAAAUAGCCCGUUUUAUCUCCCAAUACACUGACCACCCGAAGCCUUUCUUUAAUGUAAUAAAGAAAAUCAAGAUCUUUGAAUGGAUGGUGGAGCACAAGGAGACGCUCUUAGUUAUAAAGAACCAUUUGGUUUCGCCCCCAAUCUUAAAAAGUCCUCAACUGGGAAAUCCCCUAUUUUUGUAUCUAGCAACAUCAAAAUUGGCAAUUUGUGCGGUUUUGCUUAAGUUGGGCCUUAAUGGAAGUCAAUUACCAGUCUAUUAUGUCAAUAAGGCGAUGCUAUAGGCUGAGCAAAACUAUACCCUACUAGAAAAUGUGGCGUUGGCCUUGCGAGUGAUCUCAAAGAAGUUGUGCCCCUACUUUCAGGUGCGUCAGGUGAAUGUUUUAUCUAAUGUCAUUUUUCGAGCUAUCUUACAUAGGCCUGAGUUGUUCGAGCAACUAGUAAAAUGGGCCACAUAGUUGAGUGAAUUUGGUUUGCGGUAUUUACCCCAUUUGUCACUAAAAUGAUAAGUCUUAACAGACUUUAUUAUUGAAUAGCCAGAUUUUGAAGUCGCUCAGACCAAAUGUCAAUGGAAUACUGGAUUCUCUAUGUUGAUGGAGCGUCAUGUGGCGUAAGAACGGGAAUAAGGCUUGUCCUGCAAUCCCCCAUAGGAGAAUGCUUGGAAUAGGCAGUUCGGAUGGGUUUUUGCACUUCAAACAACAAGGCCGAGUAUGAAGCCGUGCUUUUCAACAUAGGCCUGGCAUUGUCAAUCCAAGCUAGCCACCUCGAUAUAUGGAGUGACUCACAGCUAGUGGUAAACCAAGUGCAAAGCGAUGAUGAAUCAAGAGAUGUUAGAAUGAUGAGGUAUCUUGAUAAAGUUAAGCUUUAGCUUCAAAAAUUCAAUGAGUGGAAGAUGACUCAGAUCACUAGGGAAGAGAAUGCUCGGGUAGAUGCAUUAGUCGAGGUAGCAAUUUCCUUAGCAGUUAUGCAAAUAGUAACUUUGCCCAUUUAUUAUCAAGACAAUCCAUCAAUACUAGAAAAAGGCCAGGUAAGUCAGGUGUAUGAUGCCCAAGAAAGUUGGAUGGGACCGAUUAUUAAGUAUUUGGAAGUAGGGGAACUCCUAGAGGAUGAGCAUCAAGUGGAAUAACCACACUGGUCAAGGUCUGAUGCAACCAAGUCCUUCCUAGUUUCUCCUUUAUGAGGUGUUGAAGGUAUUUCCCAUCAUACUUGGGCCCAACUAUUGAUCUCAAUAUGUUCAUGAUCCAGCCAAAAAUACCCCUGCCAUUAAACAAAUUUUUUUUUUGUUAGUUACCAUAUGAAAUUCCAAAACAAGACAUAAUCCUAGGUUUUCACAUGCUCUAAUAUUGUUAAUGUUACCAUACACAAUUUAGGAAUCAUAUUGGCUGUACAUAUAGGAAUGUUAAUGUUACCAUAUACAAUUUAGGAAUCAUAUUGGUUGUACACAUAGGAAAAGAUUGACAGAUUGGCUUACCAUGUAUUUGUAAAUGUUACCAUAUACAAUUUAGGAAUCAGUUAGACUCCAUGUAUAGAAUAUAUAUCAGUAUAUAGAUGGAUGUAGUGAAAUAUAAAAAAAACUAAUCAGAGUUAUCAGAGCAAGGCUUCAACACCUUCUGAGUGGAGUUCGUGAUCUUCUACCAAUCAAAUGCUUGGCAUCGAAAACAGUGUUGAUCGGGUUCAUCGCGACCUAGUUCUUGGUCGUUUCUGUUCCAAUUCUCUUGUCGGCUAUUUCCAUUGUCUCUUGGUUGCAUCAUGUCAUCAAAUAAGUUGGAAUCAUUUCCUAUUAGAUUUACUGGAAAAAAUUAUUGUGCUUGGGAGUUUCAAUUUAAAUUAUUUGUCAAAGGAAAAGAAUUAUGGGGUCAUAUUGAUGGGAGUAAUCUUGGACCUCGUGAUGCCAAGGCUUUGUCUAAGUGGGAAAUUGAGGAUGCUCGGGUUAUGACUUGGAUCCUUAGAUUGGUUGAACCUCACCUUGUUCUCAAUUUGAGGCCUUAUAAAACUAUUGCUGCUAUGUGGAAUUAUCUCCACAUGGUUUACAAUCAAGACAACUCUGCUAGGCGUUUUCAAUUGGAGUAUGCGAUGGCUAAUUUCACACAAGGAAGUCUCUCAAUUGAGGAAUAUUUUUCUGGUUUUCAAACUCUUUGGAUUGAUUAUUCCGACAUUGUUUUCGCUAAUGUUCUCGCUACAACUCUCUUUGUUGUCCAAGCAGUGCAUGUAACCAACAAGCGAGAUCAAUUCUUGAUGAAGCUACGACCCAACUUUGAAAUUGCACGGUCUAAUAUGAUGAAUCGUCAUCCUGUACCAUCUCUGGAUGCCUGCUCGAGUGAACUUAUGCGUGAGGAGUAGCGUAUCAUAACUCAAGCUACCAUGGAACAUCGUGUAGUGCACAUGUUUCAGUGGCUUAUGCAGCACAGGGGCGGAAUAAGGGUUGAGACAUGCGUGUUGUCCAGUGCUUUAGUUGUAAAGAUUUUGGUCACAUUGCUUGGGAUUGUCCCAAGAAGUUCUGUAACUAUUGCAAGAAACAAGGUCAUAUCAUCUCUGCUUGUCCCAUUCAGCCUGAAAGGAAGCAGGGUACUGCUUAUCAUGCCUCCACCUAUGUCUCUAGUUUUGCUGCAUUGCCUGCUGCCUCGUCGGUUGUUCCUAUUCCUACUCCUACAGUCUUAGCAAACCCGAAUACACUCACUCCUGAAAUGGUUCAACAAAUGAUCAUUUCUGUUUUUGGGCUCUUAGGUAAUCAUACGGUUUCUUCUAAGCCAUGGUAUUUUGACUCUGGAGCUUCUAACCAUAUGAUGAAUAUUGUUCUUUCUCUUUCCAAUCUCAAAAAUAAUGAUGGAAAUAUGAAAAUUAACAUUGUUGAUGGCAGUUCUUUGCCUAUCAGUACUGUUGGUGAUCUUUCCUCUUCCUUAACUGAUGUUUUUGUGUCUCCUAACCUCUCCACAAAUCUUAUUUCUAUUGGUCAAUUGGUUGAUAAUAAUUGUAAUGUCAAUUUAUCCCAUUUUGGUUGUGUUGUGCAGCAUCAAGUGUCCGAGAAGAUGAUCGCGAAGGGGCCUAAAGUUGGACGACUCUUUCCUCUUCAUGUUUCUACUUCCACUAUUAUUCCUAGUUUUCCUUUACUUUCCUUUGCAUGUAAUGUUGUUGGUUCUGGACAUAAGAUGUGGCAUAAACGUCUUUGCCACCCAAACUCUCAUGUACUUCAUACUUUGUUUAAUUUUAGAUUAUUGGGAAAUAAAGCAUGUUCUUCUCUUAAUCAUUCUUUCGAUUGUACGUCAUGCAAACUUGGCAAAAGUAAAGUUCUACCUUUUCCUCAUUCCACAUCUCGUGCCUCACAAUGUUUUGAUAUUAUACAUAGUGAUGUUUGGGGGAUUGCACCUAUUGUUUCUCAUGCACAUUACAAGUACUUUGUUGCUUUCAUUGAUGACUUUAGUCGCUUUACUUAAGUUUAAUUCCUCUGGGCUAAGGCUGAAGUUUUUUCAAUCUUUAAGUGCUUUCUUGCACUUAUUGAGACUCAAUUAUUUACUAGCAUCAAGGUCUUGCGCUCUGAUUCUAGCAGAGAAUACAUGUCUAACGAGUUUCAGGACUUUUUUCAAAGCAAAGGGAUCAUCUCUCAACGUUCUUGUCCUUCGACACCACAACAAAAUGGUGUUGUUGAGAAGAAAAAUCGCCACCUUCUUGAUGUGGUAAGAACUUUUUUACUUUACUCAUUGGUUCCUCCUCGUUUUUGGUGUGAAACACUUUCUACUAUAAUUCAUUUGAUCAAUCGCUUACUGAUUCAUGCCCAAUUGGUGUCUCAGCUGAUUCGUGUUCAGCUGGUGCUCCUUGAUUGAGGAAGUGAUCAACAAAAUUUAUUACCUAUAACACCAUACACUAGGGUAGCAAAGAAAAAGCUACUAUAGUAUAGUGGCUCUAGGGUCGUUCACUGGGAAUGACUAACAAGCAAUCAAUGAUACCAAUUCCAAGUGAAUUGGUCUUGUUUCAUUUCAAGGUUAGCUUAAGAAAUAAAACACAAACUUUGAUUGGUAAAGGUUGAGACUUAAACUAACUAACUUAACAGAAGUUUGGAAUAAUUUAGGAAGAAAAGCAUUCCUUGGAGAUUUAGGUUCACUGGGGUGGUUCCUCAUGCAAAAGACACGGCUUUGGUCAGAUGGUUGAUUUCCUCGCAUUAGAGAUUCAACAUAUAGUCAAUUCUCUAACCGGCGAUGUACAGAGACUCCUUCAAUUAGAUUUCACUUUAAUUCUCUCACUGAUGCAACUUGCAAUGGUUUAAGCCUCUCACUAAGCCUUAGCCAUUCAAGGUGAUCUUUAACCUUGGAUUACCCGUCAAAAGCUCGUAAGAGAUAACUAAUGGAUGUCUCCUAGGAGUCCAAAAGCUUAUCAAGUGUUGGCUAUUCUAGAAAAUCCUACCCUGAAGUCACCUACCAGAGGCUCGCAAGGGGUAAACUAGUGCAUUUCCAUGGUUGGAAAUCACUUGCCUUACCAAGUGUUGGCCCAGGUGACUCCAAAGUGUUUUAAGUUAACUAAAAACAUAGAAAUCACUAAAGGAUUUCACUUCCUCUUCAUUACUAGCUAAAACCACAAAGCUUUGCAUUCUUGCACUUGGAACCUUCCCCGACAACCUUAGCUCCAAGGAAUUAGAGGUUUAGUUACUCAUUCUUUGGGGAAAACUCCUCAGAGAAUUCAUAACUUAGAAAUAAAAUGAAAAUACAAAGUGAGAAGGUAAGGCAGUAGAAAGAAAAGAUCUUUACUUGCUUACCCAAACGUUUUCAGAAGGAACUCCUCUCUGAGAACAGGCUCCCGAGAGGUAUAUAUAUCAAACCAAUAUAAAACUAAUUGUUACAAAGAUAUUUAGUCUUUUUACUAACUUAAAAACUAAGGAAUCAUGUAAUUGGUGGUUUACAAGGAGUAUUUUGGGAUUUAGACAACAAAAAUCUAAAGGAAAAUAUCUCCCAAUGUCGGUAGCAAGUUUCGGGAGGCUUCAGGAACCAUUUCGCAGGAGAAAAAUGGUGUCUGCAAAAUUUCGCAGACACCUAAGAGGGCUGCGAAGUUGGCUUCCACCUUGAGGUUCCCAGCUCCCUUCUCGCGGCAUGGUUCGUGCAUCGUCAGAAGAAGAAACACCUUACUGUACAAAAAUGCUGCGAAAUUCUCGCAACAAAAGGCUGAUUCCGUAGCACUUUAGAGUGAUUGACUUGCAGUGGCUGUAACUUCUUCGUUUCAACUCCGAAUCGCACACCAUUUGAAGCAUUGGAUUUUUGACUUCCUGAGCUUUGAAAUGGUAUAUAGCAUGCAUCAUUUGGACUUCAGAAAGUGCUCCAAAAGUGGCUGCUACGACUGUCAUCAAGAAUAGGCUUCAUGGCAGAUUCUCUUUGCUUUUUCUCCUUGCAAUCCGGAUUCACUCUUGGCAAAUGAAUUCUCAACUUUGCCCAAGAUUCCUCAUAGCUCUCCUCAGUCUUGACUUGCUUUGGUGAUCAAAAUACUAACAAAAACACCAAAACUUACACAAAGUGAUUAAAAUUGCUUUAAAGGAUCCUUAACAUGCCAAUUGAGUUAAAAGGCCUAAACUACUACUCAAAAGUGAUAAAAAAGAUUAAUUAAAGGCUAUCAAAUAGCACUUUUUGAGUAGUAAUCACUUACUCUCUCCUAUGUUAAAUCAUGUAUUUCUUUUCUCUAAGUUGUUUGGUCAUUCUCUUUUAUAUUCUGAUCUUCAUACAUUUGGUUGUGUUUGUUUUGUGCAUCUACCUACUCAUGAACGACAUAAACUUACUGCUCAGUCUGUUCAGUGUGCUUUUCUUGGUUAUGCUAUCCCUCACAAGGGUUAUGUUUGUUAUGAUCCCCAUGCUCGUUGUAUACAAGUUUCCCGGAAUAUUUCUCUCCAUCUCAUGUUGAGCUACCAUCUACAUCUGUAUCUCUUCUGCCUAGUUUUUCUGAAUCCCCAACAAUUGUGGGAAUGUUUAAACCUGGUUUUUUUGUAUGAAAGAUGUAGCCGACAUGAGUCCGGUUCCACUUUCUCUAUGUCCUCUUCCGAUGACCCAACGCCUGAUCCUGCUCCUGCUUCCACCACUCUUCGUCGGUCUAAUCAUCUUUCUCAACCCCUUGAUUAGUAUGGAUUCUUCUCUCCUGUCUCUCUUGUUGCUACUUUAUCCACUAUUUGUAUUCCAUUUUGCUACAAACAGGCCAUGGAACAUAAGUGUUGGCAAAAUGCAAUGCAAGUAGAACUUCAAGCACUUGAGAAGAAUCAUACUUGGGAUAUUGUUCCUUGUUCUCCUACAGUCAAACCUAUUGGGAGUAAAUGGGUUUUCUCUAUAAAAAUUUGUUCUGAUGGCUCUUUAGACCGGUAUAAAGCUCACCUCAUGGCUUUGGGUAACAAGCAGGAAUAUAGGGUUGAUUAUGAGGGGACAUUUGCUCCUGUUGCUAAAAUGACCACGGUUCAAACCAUCUUAGCUAUUGCCUCUUCACAGUCAUGGAAACUACAUCAGAUGGAUGUAAAGAAUGCUUUCCUUCAUGGUGAUCUCUAGGAAGAGAUUUACAUGAAGCUUCCCUCUGGUAUGAUUAAUUCUUCUCCUCAUGAUGUCUGUAAGCUAAAAUGUUCUUUGUAUGGGCUCAAGCAAGCGCCCCGGGCUUGGUUUGAGAAGUUUCGCAGUACAAUUCUUUCCUUUAGUUUUACCCAAAGUCAGUAUGAUUCUUCCCUCUUCUUCCACACGUCUGUGUUGGGUAAAGUCCUUCUCUUGGUUUAUGUGGAUAAUAUUAUCAUUACUGGCACUAACUGUGGUUUGAUUACUAAGCUUCAGCGGAUGUUAUAUACAACUUUCCAUAUGAAAGAACUUGGACAUCUCACAUACUUCUUAGGAUUGGAAGUUCAUCAUCGGGCUAGUGGUAUUUUUGUGAACCAGCAUAAGUAUAUUCAAGAUCUUAUCAUUUUAGCUAGUUUGGAGGACACUUCUUCUGUUGAUACUCCUAUGGAGGUAAAUGUCAAAUACAGGAAAGAUGAAGGGGACCUUCUAGAUGAUCCUACUCUCUAUCGACGCCUAGUUGGGAGUCUUAUCUACUUGACCACUACUUGACAUGAUAUCUCCUAUGUUGUUCAUCAGGCCAGUCAGUUUAUGACUUCUCCUUGACAUCUCCAUCUUGCUGCAGUUCGACGCAUCAUCCGCUAUCUUCGAGGUUCACCUACUCGUGGGUUAUUCUUUCCUACUGGCUCCUCUCUUCAACUUGUUGCCUAUAGUGAUGUUGAUUAGGCUAGGUGUCUAGAUACACGUCGAUCUACUACAGGUUGGUGUAUGUUUUUAGGUGAUGCCUUAAUUUCUUGAAGAUGUAAGAAACAAGAUUGUGUUUCUAAAUCCUCUACUGAGGUUGAGUAUCAUGCCAUGUCUAUUGCUUGUUAUGAAAUUAUAUGGCUACGCGGUCUUCUUGAGGAGCUUGGGUUUCCUCAAACUACUUCUACACUUCCUCAUGCUGAUAACACUAGUGCUAUUCAGAUUGCCACCAAUCCUAUUUUUCAUGAACUUACCAAGCACAUUGAGGUUGAUUGUCAUUCUAUUUGAGACACCUUGGAAAGUCGGGUGAUAUCGUCACCAAAGCUUUGACUCAACAGCGGCAUCAAUUUCUUGUUGUCAAAUUGUUGCUGGUUGACUUACCGGCAUUAAUUUGAGGGGGGAUGUUAAUGUUACCAUUACAAUUUAGGAAUCAUAUCAACCAUACAUAUAGGAAUGUUAAUGUUUCCAUAUACAAUUUAGGAAUCAUAUUGGCUAUACAUAUAGGAAAAGAUUGACGGAUUGGCUUACCAUGUAUUUGUUAAUGUUACCAUAUACAAUUUAGGAAUCAGUUAGACUUCGUAUAUUGGAUAUAUAUCAGUAUAUAGAUGGAUGCAGUGAAAUAUUAAAAAAACUGAUCAGAGUUAUCCGUUUCUGUGGAGUUUUUUUUUUUAGUAUUUUGACAUUUAUAUGAAUCAAUCUUUAAAAGAGAAGCAAGAACAAUUGAGUAUCAAAUAUUAACUUCUCUGUGGAAAUAUUUUAGGGCCAUGCUCAAGAUAAAAGGGCUUGAUGUCUUGGGCUGCAAAUAGAGGACAUCUCAGAUCAUUCGGAGCAAACCGUUUAAGAAUUAAACCAAUUACGAACCGCCCAAACCGGCGGACCGGUGACCUGGUGGAAUUGGACGGUUCAAAUCAAACCGAACAGUUCUAGUUGGACCACCAUUUUAAAGGCUCCCUUGGAUAAAAAGAUUCGGCAAAAGCCCAUGCUAGGCCUUGUCUCAUAAUGACAAAGCCCAUACCCCACUCAACCAUAUUGUGGGCUAAGGCUUGAGCCCACCAGAUGAGGCAAUGCAUUGGCCCUCAAUAUGGAUAGCUUUUAUAGGCAUCCUUUGCAUCCUCAUUUCUCUUACAAUCCGAUGUGGGAUUGCUAACCAACCUAAUCAAUGAAAAAAAAAAAUAACUAGUCCCACCCAAGAGGAUUUGAACCUUGGACCCCAAAUUCUAUAGCCAUCCUAGGACACCACUCAGGUACAUAGUUUUUGUUAUCUAAUAUGCCAAACAAAAUAAUAUAUAUUAUUUUUUUGUAAUAUUAAAUAAAAAUAAUAUAAUAUUUUAAAAAAUUAUAAAAUUAGUUUAAAUUUUCAUUUUUAAUAUAUUCACAUUUAAAUAUUUUGCAUAUUUCAUUUAAUAAAAUUAAAAAUAUCAAUAUGAUUUAAUUUGAUAAUAUUAUUGAUUUUUAAUUUAUUCAUUUAUAAUUUAAAUUUUUUAUAAUUAUUUUUAAUUUUAAUAAUAUAUAAAUUAUAUAUUUAUUACGUCACCGGUCCGAUCGCCGGUCCGACCAGUGAACCGUGAACGGGUAAUUUUUCUAGUUCGAUCACCGGUCCGAUUCUGAAAACAUUGGUAACCACACUUUCCUAUAUUUUUUGAAGACUCAAUUUUCUCGCGUGAAGACUUUAUGAUUGACGAGUAGGUAAUGUGAUAUGCUGAUGAAGUCAGCUUCUAGCACAGAUCCCCAUUAAUAGGAUAUUGUUGAAUUGGAGAAUGUUUCCACACGCUCAAAAUGGGGUGUUUUUUUAGCAUCAAGAAAUUGUCGUCUUCAUUAGCUUGUUGGAAUUGGGAUGUAUGACUGAUGACUUGUUAGGAUUUAUCUGAAAAUAAAGUCCAAGCUCUGUCUCUGUCUCUCUCUCUCUCUCUUAUAAGGACAGUGAUGAUGGUCCAAAGAAGAAUUCCGAAGCAUGCAGAGAUUCAGAACUGCAAGUAAUUACACACAGAGUGAAGGCGGCUGGCCAGAUUUAACAUGAGAAAAUCAUGAUUAAUACAUGAUUCUUCACCAAUAAUUGAGUUGAAUGAGUCUACUAUUCAAAUCACAUUGUUAAAAAGAAAAACAGAUAAUAAAGAUUCAAAUCACAUUAUUAAUGAGUGGGCCGGUCUCAUUUAAGAACACGAUUUGACAUGCAAAAUUAAUGGAUCCAUCCAUAUACAACAUCUACCACAACUCAUGAGAAGAAAUUCUGGUUGUUCUAAUAAUUCACCAUUUUUCUUCAUGGAAUUAGUUAUGAAAUAGUCCCAAUUUAGUACUAUUAGAGAGAGUAUCAAGGAAAAUAUUUGGUAGGUGGGCGGUGAAUCAAGUUAAUUAGAUGGUGAAGAAAAACUAAUGAGAGAUGAACUUAAUCAACAAGUUGUACCUCUUUUUUCUGUAUAAUAUGCUAGUUAAUCCAACUGUGUUAGACAUUGCUGCUACUUACAAGUUAUUUUACUUUAUUAUUCAUUUUUUAAUGUUGGGGGAGGUACUGUCGUUUCAUUGAAAACGAUGUUGUAUUACUUGGCAAACAAAGAUGGUGGUAAGUUUAGAAUAAUGCAAUAUAUGAUUUGCAUGCUUUAUUCCUUGGUAAUACUAUGAUUUUUACUAUAAUCCAACUGUGUUAGACAUUUCUGCUACUUAUAAUUGCCGAACAAAAGGUAAUAACUCUUGCUUGAAAUCAAAUUAAUUCCUGAUAUUCCUUUAUUUUUUAUAUGUACACAAAAUGGCCUUCAUCAUAAGUGCUCUGCAAACGAACUGUGUGCUCCUUGAAUGUGGAGAUAUGGCUGCUCCCACGAAGUUUCCAUACCACAUUUUGAAGUAUAGCUAGUUCUCGUUCUGAUAUUAAUCCACACUAAUGCUGGAAGCUUCCAAAACUGCAUAAUACCAUGUUUUCCAUCUUCUUUUUUUUCCCCUGUAUAUACACAUUAUAACGUCCAUGUUACAUGGUUAAUAACCAAAGAAAGAUAAAUUAAUGAACAUGCAAAUGAAUGCUCAUGCUUACAAGAUGAUUGUUUUGAUCUUCUAUGAUAGUGAAACGACGUUGAUCUCUUCUAUAUAUAUAUAAUUAGUACAACUAACAGUCUGCAUCCUUCUAUUCUUGUAUUUGUGUACUGGGGACAAAUCGUUCUUUGUAUUUGUGUACAAGGGACAAAUCAAAUCAUGAGGAUCACAUGACAACACGGCACCAUGCUCAUCACAAAUGUUGUUCAUUUGCUAGCUCAUGAAACAUAUGGUGUGGGCAACCAGGACAAAUCAACUAAUCAUAACAUGCACGACAUUAUGUUCAUGAAACAUAUGCUAAAUAUGGUGUAAUAAACUUUAAAAAAAAAAUUAGAGAAAGAGCGUACGUAAGGGAAACAAAAAAAAAAAAAAAAAAAAAAAAACUAAUUAAAAACAUGAUGAAGAUGACAAGAUGGUGAAAGAGAUUUUUCACCAAACAUUUGAUUAUUAACUAUAGAAACAUUUGACUAUGUAACACUGCUACCUUUUUUUAAUAUUGGGGUAGGUACUGUCUUUCAUUGAAAAUGAUGUUGUAUUACUUGGCAAACAAAGAUGGUGGUAAGUUUUGAAUAAUGCAAUAAAUGAUUUGCAUGCUUUAUUCCUUGGUAAUAUUAUGAUUUUUUACAAAAAUAUUCUUUAAUUGACUUGGGCAGUGUCGGGUCCAGAAAGGCUGCAUCAGUGCCUAGUGAUUCUCAAUCAGAUGUAUAUCUGGACCAUUAGGGAACCAAGAUAAUAUUUUUGAUUGUGUCGCUGUUGUCCUUUAAAACUAUUUAUCCUUGCAUCUAAAUUAAUAAUUUGUUUUCUCAUGCUUGUAGUUUUUGAAAUAAAGUUAAUUCAGGUAGACCAGUUUUUAAUCAGACCUCAAUGCAACAUAUCUUCCCAUCCUACCCAAGAGAAGCUACUGAAAGCUCCUAUGACUGAAGAGAGACAACAAGGAUUCUAUCCUUUUGGAUCGACCUAGCACUAUCUUUUAGAUUCUAUCCAUCUAUUUGUUCUCAUCUUAUUUCUGGGAAGUUCUGUGUUACCCUAAUUAUCAUAUAUAUAUAUAUAUAUAUAUAUAUAUAUAUAUGUUUCAACCCAUCUCAGUGUCUCUUGUAGAUUUAUAAAGGAUAAGUAUUAUUUCUAGUCCAUUCUAAUUAAUUGCCAUUCCCAUAAUUUAAGUUGAUACAAAAUUAGAACUUAUUCAAGCAAAUAAUGGAAAUAAUUCAAUCUAGCUUGUCAUUAAAAUGUUGUGAGAAAUAGAGGUCGCAUUAAAUCACAAUGAGUUUGAAUUGCAUAGACGCACGCACAAAAUCAGAACCAUACAAGAAAUUCAGUGGAAUCAAUGGACUUACAAUACCUUAAUACUAGAAACGCUUAAAUUGGUUAUUAAACAUAUCCCAUUUGGGAUUUAUUUUUACAAUAAGAAUAGUGAAUUAAAAGGCAGACAUUCAGAAACGGGACUCCAACUUAACUAGAAAUUCAUUACAACAGUAGGAUUCAUUCAUAUCAGACAACGACCAAUCCUUUAGAAGCGGCAGCAUGUCCAUGUGGUGACCUAGUAUCUCUACGUUGCUUCUCUUGGGAGAGUAGUCUUGCAAAACUGAAAAAUUAGAAGGAUUUUUUAUUAUCAUAUGAUUAGUUAAUUAACUAAGAAAGCUCUAGAAUAAAACUCUAAAAAUAGUUAGAUACCUUGUGAGAGCCUCCUCAUUGGUCUCGUGAUUUGAAGGCUCAAAGAUACCUGUAUCCAGGUUAACCCUUGAGACCCUUUUCUUUAACAACUCCUCACCAAUUUUCACAAGAUCAUCCAAAUUUUCCUUUGUGGCUAUGUCGACUGAUGAUGUUAUACCGCUCAAUGUAUCAUCCUGUAUUUACCCUUUGUGUCAGUAUCAGUGGUAGACAAGGAACAGAAGAAGCUAUUGACUUUCAGAUAUUUUUAGGACUGAGGAAAUUAUGAAGAAGAACAAAAUUUAAAUAAGAAAUUUGACUUUGUGACGGUAAAUUUAUGAAACCACAAGCAGCAAAGCUGUACCUGUAUCCGAAGAUAGCUUUUUUCCGAGUGAAGGGCUUGAAAAAUCUGUGAAAGGUGUAAGUCGAUCAUAUCUCCGCUUGCUUGGGUAAACACUUUCACUAAGGGGGUGGAACCACCACUGGUCAACCAUCCCAACACACCCCACUUGGCUGCUUCAUCAGCAUUGUAUUUUUCUUCGGCUUUUGAUGACCCAGUUCCCAAGG